GUUAACUUCGCCAGCGGCCCCCUUUCCCGGGGCAGUCCCUGCUCUCCCCUGCUAGAGGGGCACCCUAAUCCGUCACCCCAUCCGACUUCAGAAUGUAUUCGUUGGGUUCGGCAACUCAAUACCAGCAUCCAACCAAAUCUAGCGGAUCAACGGCGCAUCAACUUAGUUCCUGGUCAGCUCGCAAGUUGGUAUUAUCACGUCCUACACCGUCCAUAAGAUGGGGGGCCACCUCCCAUUUCAUCACUCCUCAAACACCCGAGGAGUUGGCAGGCGGAUUUGAACCCGGGUCGACUGGGUCAACUGGGAGCAGAAGUCAGGCCUUAACCUCUGCCAGCCGCCUGCCUGUUGUAUGUAUGGACCUUCUGGUUCCUUUUCACCUUUGCGGUUUUGAGGUGUCGUGUACAGUUGGUGACAGCAAGCAGGCGCCGCUGGCUGAACAACCUGCUGGCUAAUGCCUGGGUGUGAGCCACGGAGGUUAGCUGACGGUGUAUGAGCUACGGGUUUUAGCUUGCGUAGCAUAUGUCAAUCCAAUACUGUGAUUUAUUCCUAUAAUAGUCUGGCAAGCCAGCCUUGUUUAAAAUGCUGUUGACACACGUCAAAUGUGGAUCGUAUCGGCGACCCAUCGCGCCGUCUGCCAGCUGAAACAAUUUACGUCCGACAAAAAAGCAGCGAUUCGUGUACGUAGACGUGUACGUAGCAGUCGUACUGGUGUGGCAUUUCCUGUGUAAUCAGUAAUUUCCUGUGUAAUGUGAGUAGCUUCGGGGAUCAAAUACCUGCGAUUCUCCUCUUUCACAACGAUUGAUAGGUUUUCAACAUGUCAGCAACCAGUCAACCAGCUGCGUCUUUAAAACAAUAUUUUAACAUUCGUGCAAGCAUUUGUUUCGGCGCGUUGGCAACGCGUGUCACAGCACACCGUUGUAACUCCGACACCAUUGCGAAUCCUGCCUGCUUAUCUUUAUGUCUUCCUGCGUAUAUGGCCACGCACUGUCCAGCCAACAGAGGAUAAACCCACCCAAGCACGCUUCAACCCUCUCCAGACCCGUCACACGAUAAAAACUCGGACGUAUGUCCGUACUCUCCUGCUCAGUUCUACUGCUCCCCACCCGAGGGAGAUGACUUUGGGGUUCCCCUUUAGCUCCCCUGGGAGGAGGGCAUGGACCAAUAUCGCGACACGCAACCCAAUCUCACCGUGCACGCAAACUAAAUAGGAGCAGCAUUUACCCCCGAUUCUAAAUCCAAACCCCUACCUGUCUCACUCGCACUUACGUACAUGUGUAGUACCACGGGUCUGUUACUAAUGCACAUACAUACAUGCACGCACAACCCUUCGAGGGAAUUGUAUCGGGGAAGGGAGCGGCAGAAGUAAGACAGGCAGUAUUGGCCGCCUUCACCGGUGGUGGGUGGUGGGAAGGGUGUGUAUGGUUGUAUGUGUAAGUGCAGGGGGGCCUGAAGCGGUCAUUCUUCGUCACUGGCACGCACGCACGCUGCGGCGAGGGCCGCCGCCCCAUCCAAACAUACAUACAGAGAAUCUAACCUGCUUAUCACAGGCCAUCAUCAUUAGCAUCCGUCCCGGCCAUCACUGCGCUCCGCUCCGCACGGAAAUACACAGGUUUUAACACACACACUGGACCCGUGUUUCACAGCUGGACGCUUUCUUUCGGUACACGUUACUCUAUGUGUUGUGAUUGCGGCGUAGGACAUGAACAAGCACUUCUCGACAUGACACGAUAGACGUUCCAUCUCAAUACACACUUAAACUCUUCAGCUUCCUCCUCCUGCAAGCGAUGCUGCUCCUGCUGCUACUGUUGUUGCUACUGCUACUGUGGUUGCUGCUGCUGCUGUUCCUGCAACUUCUGCUACUGCUCCAACCCAUUUUUUCUCUGCCUGCCGUUUUCUCUUUGGUGUCUAUUCAGAGCAUCUCUUUUCAAUUACUGCCCCAAACUAACCCCUCCGUGAGAUGCACGGCAAAUGUACGGCGCCACUGAAAGGAAGCAGCAGCGGGUCGGAGUGGUAGGAGCUGACAGCAAUCCCCCAAAAGCUCUUCUCCUCACUUCCCCCUCCCCUUUUCCCCUCUCCUUACAUCUCUCUGCUAGGGUCCCAUUUCCGCGACACUUUUGUGCCCCUUCUCCCUCUCUCUCUCUCUAUCCCCCCGACACGCAUCUCUACACGUUUCUCUGCAAUCUCCCACACUACUUCCCUCGGCUUUGUUUUCUAUAAUCCAGGCCUAGGCUGCCAUAGCGCCUCCCCCUGCUGCCACCGCCGCCGCCGCAGCAGCAGCAGUAUCGGCCCCCAGCUGCAGCUGCGCCUGCUCCACCACCUGCAGAGUCUGUUGCGCAAUGGACAGCUCCUCGUCUGUGGGUAUGACCAGCACCUUGACACGGCUCGAGGGUGCGCUGAUGUCCCCUUGGCGGCCCCCCACUGCAGCCCGGUUGAGGUCGGGGUCCACUUGCAGACCCAACCCCUGGAUUUUGAAGGCCAGGUGGGGCGAUGGCAUGAGAAACGUGCAAAACCAUACACAUAUAUACAUACAUACAUACAUACAUACAUACAUACAUACAUACAUACAUACAUACAUACAUACAUACAUACAUACAUACAUACAUACAUACAUACAUACAUACAUACAUACAUACAUACAUACAUACAUACAUACAUACAUACAUACAUACAUACAUACAUACAUACAUACAUACAUACAGCCUUUUGCCCCCCUUGCCUCCCCCCAACACACACACACACACCUGCAUGUCCUCCAUCACCAGGCCCCGCAGCAGGGAGGAGUUCUCCCCAAUGCCAGCUGAGAACACCACCGCAUCGACCUGGGUAGGGACAAGGGAAAUGCCAGGGGGGAAGAUGUGUGUGUGGGGGGGUUUGGGGGGAAAUGUGUGUAUGUGCGUGUGGUGAGGGAAGGAGGCGGAGUGGGGAGAUACGCCGUGGAGUGGAAAUACCAAUUGCCGAUGGUCGGUCGAAGUGAAGGGGGACAUUAAGGGGGGUGGAAUGAAAGGGAGGAGGAAUGCGGGGGUUGUGGAGGUAAGAGAAAGAGGGAAGGCGACGAAACCCAACACCGUUUCCGUACGUACAACAGACCGCGCGAGAUAUAAAAAAACUCGACAUUCUAUGCGCAAUUCCGGGGCUUUGACGACAAUAAAACAUAACAUCACAUACACACACACGCACACACACACACGAGCCCUACUCUCCCGCAGCUCCCCCUCCUUUCACCCUGUUCCCUACCCCAGUCUGUAGCGCCCCUCCCCCUAACACCGCCCCCCCGCUACCCAAAGAACCCCCCAGCCCACCUGGCCUCCCAGCACAGCCACAUAAGCGCCAAUGUACUUCUUAAUACGGUGUACGAGCAUGUCCAAACCCAGUUGCGCACGUGCCUCCCCCCUCUGAGCACCCUCAAUCACGGCUCGCAAGUCGCUGGAGCCGGUGAUUCCCAGCAGGCCUGUGACAGAGGGGAGAGGGAAAGGGGUGAGACAGGUGCCUGUCUAAAUGAACCGGUGUCGCGAGUAGAAAGUUCUGGUACUUUAACACGAUCAUUUACGUGUUUGUGUUGUGUGUUAACAUUUGUGUCUGUCGUUGGUGAGUUGUUGACAUGCUAGCAAGCCAAUUGAACGACUGCCGAUGUCCACACAACAGUUGGGGUGGAGAGGGAUGGAGAGAGGGAGCUACGGCCAUUUACAUGGGGUUGCUUUGGAUUCUGUGGGCAGUUCCUUUAGUGCAUUCCUUAAAACGAUCCCCUUUCCUCACUCUUCCCGCGCCCCUCUGUUCCCUCCCCCACCUCCCUCCCCCCUCGCUUUUAAUCCCCCCGUUCACACCCCUCUCCUUCCCCUAUUCACUCCCCGUAUUGCCGUCACCCCCCUGAUCGACCUCCUUCGUGGCUCUCACCGGACUUCUUAUUGAGCAGCGUGUCGGUCUCCUGACAUACAUAAUACAUACAUACAUACAUACAUACACGUGGACUCAGAUUAGUGUGUGUGUGUGUGGAGAUGGGAUGUCGGUGGGGUUUGGGGGGAUCAUACGCACGAAGGGCGGGAUGACGUCACAGCACAGCUCUCAUUUCUACGGGCUCCGAGAUAACGCUUCAAUCAACAAUUCUACUUAGGGUCAACAGUUCUACCUCUCAACAAUUCUACCACUAAAAAUUUCCAAUCCAAGGUACGCCUACAGGUUUUAUGAAUAUUAUUUCUAUAAAAUGACACGUCGCUGGACUACGUAGCUCGCGUCGGUAUGAAGUUAUCCCCGUGUACCACCACAUCCGGCAUUUCCCAAGAUCAACAUGAAACACGGCACGCACAAGCACAUGCACACGCACACACCUUUGCUGACAGGCCCAGCUGGGUUUCAAUGUGCAGUACGACAGCCGGGUCCACGUCACCGCAACGGGUCCCCAUCAGGAGCCUGAGAAGUGGGGGGGGGGUCCCAGGGUUUGGGGGGUUGGGGGGAGAAAGACAAACCACGGGGUUGGGGGGCCGGGGAAGAGGGGGAGGGGCGAAGAGGGAAGAAGUGCAGAGGGACUGGGAACGGAAACAAGGGAGAAACCUUUAGGGCGAUACAGCUUGCAUAGAGAACUCUACAGAGGGCUACCACGGAGUCCAACGGAGGGUGGCGAAGGAGGGAGGGAGGGGAGCAAUCCGGGCAAGUGUGGGAGCCGGGCAGGACACAAGAGCUAUCAUCACCCCAUCUUCCCAUGAGUGGACCUCCUCUAUGGUUUAGCCAGGAAGAUGUGAGAACCUAGGUUUGCCAUCUUGCAUUAGGCCACCGCCCACAGCCCACAGCCCAACAUCAUCACCAGACACAGAUGUCCGUUGCGGACACCCCCCCCCUUCACACACACACACACACACACGCACACACAUAGACUCUCUACAGAGCGACAACCCCCCCCCCGUCAGAACCCCUUGUCAGCCCCUCCCCUCGCGUGGCCCUUCCCCCCGGGUGCAACUAGGGAGGAGGCGCCGGCUAGUAUUUUCCAUCUUAAUAUGAUAGGCCAAGUCAAAAAGGAAAAUCACUCACAUACUAUACACACACUUUAAGCUCACUAUAACACACACACGCAUAAUGCCUGCCAGGUUGGCAUAUACUCGCCCCUCCUCACCCCUCUAACGGUGUCAUGCCCAUGCUGGUGUCCACGCACCGACCACCCCGAACAGCCGCCACACUGCUGCCGUUACCUGCAGCCGGUAGCAGGUAGCGGGGAGGGAUGGGUGAGAGAGCGGGGAUAUAAAGGCGAGAGGAUAAGAGUGGGAGAGCGGGGCAGAGGCACGAGUGAAAGGAAUGAGAGGAGGUGAAGGAGAAUGAGGAAGAGGAGAUGGUGGCGGUGGAGGAGAAGGAUGACGUUGCUUACAUGCGUGGAACAGACGAUACACACUAGUGCGGGUCGUGUGGUGUGUUUCUUUGUAUGUUUGCGUAUGUAUUAUAUGUGUGUUUUAUGUGUCUGUUUGACGUUUCGAAACGCCGCUGGUGUCUGUAUGAAAAACAACUUAGGGUUACCUCACAUCUUCGCAAAGUCCCUCCAUCACGCCCUUACCUCCACAGCUCACCUAAGUGACAAGUGAUGACAUUGGUUUCGGAGACGUCCUUGCCCAGCAUGGCUGGGGGGCGAGAGAGGAGAUGCGGGGAAAGGACGUGAAAGGUGAAGUGAGGGGUUUACAUAGUCGUCAUACAUAGUCGUACAUGAAGGUCGUACAUGGGAUUCGGAAACCGGCCAUAAACCAGCCAACCCUAAUAAUGAGGCGAGGGACAACAUUAAGGGAUGACUGCGACAAAAGCUCUUGAAUCUUCCCUCCAGUGCAUGCAUCACCCACCCACCCGCCGCUUGCUCCACAAGGUACUUGUGACUGGUGCCGUGGAAGCCGUACCGACGAAUAUGGUGCUUAUCGUACAAAUCGUACGGAAUGCCGUACAUGUAGGCGUGAGGGGGCAUGGUGGCAUGGAACGCCGUAUCGAAGACCGCCACCUGUGUCCCGCAGGAGCGUUUAUACAACUAUGUAAACACGUUUUUAAAGAAUCACUGAUCAAGUGUAAAACAAAUUCCAAACACGAGUGCUAACAUACAUGCACAAGUGAAGUACAGAUGUGGUUACGCACCGUACUCGUACGCCGCACGACGGCCAAGUCAAGGAUGCCCAUUACAAGUCGGGCUUCAAAAAAAGAUACAUCCCUUUUCCCAUGCAAGAACCCAAAUGGUUGGACCCCGCCCCGCACCUGCGGUACACCCGAAAACACAUUCUGCGCUGCCUCAAUGCCCUGCAGCCCCGCCGGGUUGUGUAGUGGCGCAAAAACGGCAGCCUCCCGGAUGCGCUCCAGGGCUACGGAGUCCAGAAGGACUGGCGCGCUAAUGUCCAGACCGUGUACGAUGCGGUGCCCAACAGCAACAACUUCAUUAGAGAAGCUUCCAGAUACGUUGUCAGAAAUAAAGUCGAGGAUUUCUUGCAGCGCGCAGGUAUGGUCUGCGGCAGGCAGCUUGAGUUCCCAUUUGCGCGACUUGCCGCCCAGAGGGUCGGGUGAGGAGGCCUUGAGCGUGCAGUUCGCAGAGUCACCUGCGAAUUAUGAUCAUGUGGUUCACGUGUAAAGAUAGGAUUGGGAGAAGGCCGUCAUGUGGGUCGGUCAGGUUGUCGCUGAGGAUGGCAUGUCGGGAUCCUCACCAAUCCGGUCAAACAUGCCGCUCAUGCCGGCAAUCAAGGGAUUCACCCCAAAAAUUUUGAAUUUCAGGCUGGAGCUGCCUGCAUUAAGGACAAGCAACUUUGGAGGCAGCACCGUCCCGGAAAUGUUGCUAUGUGUCGGGAUCUGCCCAAUUGGCGGACGGCUGGUUAGCAUGUUUAAUUUAUAGAACACAGAGACUUAAAGAUGCUACGAAGAGAUUCCAGCAGGCCCGGAGCCAAUACUAACAGAUGACGAAGUUUAGACGGGGACCUUUCCAAGCUUCAAACACAGGUUGGACCUUUUCCAGAGGUAACGACAAUUUCACAGAAAAUCUAUUACGAAUUCUUACAGAAGUAACUCUUAGGGUUUCCCUUUCAAAACUUUUAGGUGAACGGUACGACAACGUCCCGGAAGUACCGCCAGAUGACAAAGAUUCAUGCAACGUUGCCGUCAAGUUGUGCUUGGGUUUUUACAACUGUAGCUAAAUUUCCAAGCUUGUGAAAUCAGCUUUCAAAUUAGGUAAACACGAGUCAGGAACCUUUCAAGGAGGGCCGGCAUACUUGUGCGGAAUCUAAAAAUAUAGUAGGACAAGAUGUCAACGUGCGGCAGCCUCUCGCAUCGCUAUGGCUGCUCACCUUCAGCGUUGCCGUCCAUGCGACUCCGACACUGGGGGUAAGAAGCUAAGCUCUGGUUUCCUAGUGCGGAUGAACUGCUGAAUUUCGGGGAUAACUUAUUUCGAUAUAAUUCAUGGACGUGUAUCGCUAUGAUCGUUGAAAGCGUUAGACAGUUGGCAAAGAUGCGUUGACAGGGGUUGUGCGCGUCUGGCUGGAGACUUUAGGCAUGCGCUUGAAGCGCCAUCUUAGUUAAUUUUAUGCACAGAUAAGCUGAAUUGUCGCUUUUCACGUGGUUCUCCUGCAGCUUCUUUCAUUCCUGAAUCGGCCCUAACGCGCAGGGCCGCCCUGCCGCCCGCCGGCCGGAUUUUGCAUCGUCGGUCUUAUAGUGCCGUUGCACCUAUUGCAAGGGCUUCCAGGAGCAGCAGCAAGCAAAGCAGCAAUAGCGGCCUGCAAAGCCUUUUCCUGUCGGACAUCUCGCUCAUUGGCCAGCGCACACCGUUGCUCCUGGGCUUCUUCAACUACUUUGAGCGCCAUCUGCCGCACGUAGGCUUUUUCGAGCCCAUAGCCCAUGAGGCUUUGGCUUCUUCUGAGCUGAAGAUCGACCGGCAUGUGGAGCUGUAAGUACUCACUGAAGACUGAACAGCCAAAUCCAAAAGCCUUUCCCUUUUCCUUUACUGGGUGGAUAAUGAUCGAUAGCGGGAUGGGAUCUGGGGCCAACGGGCCAUGAGAAAAACGAGUAUGUGGGUAUCGGAAGGUUUUACAUGAUGUGCACACAGCAACAUUUCCAUCAAGGGACCUUAGCUGGCUCCGAAAGAGUUAUGCCUUUCAAUCUCAGGGGUGAGGGAAAAAGGAGGGGGACUAAUAGCAAAAGAACAAAUUGGUCAUGGAUGUCGUUGGAGGAGAGGCGACUUGGGUCAGGUGGCAUAGUGUGCAUGCACGUUGGGAUGCCUCUUAAGACCAACCUGCUUGUCCCACGGAUUACGUGCUCGCCUGCGGAGUGGUUCCUUCCCACAAACAGCCCAUCUUGGUGUGGAGAGCGCAUAUUGUCCACAGGGCGAUCUGGGUCAUAGGGCAUUUGGGUGAUUUGGGUCAUGUGGGUCAUCUGGUGAUCUGGGUCCGUAGGGAACUUUGGUCCUGGGAGCGCACACGUCCUUCAUGCUGUCAGGAUUUGGCCACAGUCUCCCACCCAACACAGUUUCCAGAAGCAACAAGCCGUUACCUAGAUUGUUUUGGACUCAGCGGCAGUUGUGCGUCGGCAUUGGAUUCUUUGUUCUGCUGGCAUCUGUUUAUUAGGCAACUACGGUGCCAGUUACUCGGUUGCUUAGGACUUGUCCAGUCAAUGUUGCUGUGAGAGCGUCUGAUAUUGAUAUUGAAUAUUUUUCUCUCUGCUCACAUUUUCCUCGCCCCUUGCUCUUGUGCUGGAAUGUCGGCUGUUGGUGCUUUGACUUUCUUGUCAUCACUGUAUAUGAUUCCCACACCACGACCACCGCUUAUCGCCAGAGUGUACAAGGUGUUCAAUCUCAAGGGGGACGCCACCCGCAUGACCGGUGUGCAGGACGCGGAGGCGGCACGGGUACGUGGAGUGAGAGGGGCCGGGUGAUGUAAUGUAAUGUAAUGUGGCUUGGGCUUGGUCUUACUACGUGGAAGAAUGUGCCAUUUAAAAGGGGGGAUUUGGUUGUUGAUAUGGCGUUACACGGCGUCCGGCACGAAUAUGUGAAAUGGGCGUUAGGUUGUGCUGAGGAUGUGUGUCGACAGGGGGGUUGAUUGGUGGCCGGAGCACGGCGCAGGCUGAGGAGCUACGUGGGAGUGUUACAACGCCAGUGUUGCGCCAUGGUUCUUUUCUUCUCUCAUUUCCUUUCCUUCGGUAUUUCUUUUCCUGAUUUUCUUCAAUCAACUGCCCCCUGCUGGUGCGUGGCGGCGGUGACGAUGCUGCUGCUGCUGCUGCUGCUGGCGUUAUUACAGAUGAUAGCAAACGGUCAGCACAGUGAGCUCUUGGACCGGAUUUACGCAAACUUUGUAUCGUACAAGGAGGGUCACGACUUGGUGUUGGUAGAGGGCCCGGGCCCGCUCAUGGGCGGUACGGAGCUGGAUGCGCAGGUGAGGUUAAUGCCACAGGGUGGAGGGUGGCUGGUUGGAGCUAUAUAGGAAAGGGAGGGUUUAUCUCCUCUGCUUGAAGGAGGGGCCCUCUGCUUGAAGGAGGGGUUUCGCUUGAAGGAGGGGUUUUACCAGGAGAAGGGUUAAACAUGUAGGGUCGGGGUUUUAGUUUGUUUUUUAUUGGCUGAUCGCGGGGUGGGGUUUGGAAUAUAGGGAAGAGGGGCUCUGGGAUGAACCCCCGGAACGGAGGAUGCUGUAUUGGGGCGACGGGAAGGGUAGGAAAGAAUGUUGUCAACGGCAAAUUGAAUUUCCCCUCUGUCCCAUGAUCCGCAAGGCAUCCCAUCCUUUUCCUCCUCACAUCCUUCUAUAUGACCUACCUCAACCCACGCCCACUCCAGAUCGCUGCCACCAUUAACGCCCCCGUGCUCAUGACCAUGACGGGAUCUCCCAACUGCAGCGUUUCAGAUUACUACAACCGGGCGGUAAGCAGGGCGAGAGGUGGGGGAGAGAGCACGCCUGGGGGCAGGAUGGGGGAAGGAAUCUGGGGCACGGCAGGAUUGCGCGUGUGCAUUUUACACGUUGAGUGUACGUCCGGCUGGUUUAUUAAUUGCUUUUAAGUAGCUUUUCUCCUUUUGCUAAAUAUUUGUGAUUCAAACGAUGAAAGUGGCGCGUGAAUAUGGCGCGUUGCCCGUACUUAUUAAUGUUGAGAGGAAGUUGUGGGAACGAGUAGCUAGGUUGUCGUUGUUUAGCCUGCUGGAGCCCUGCACCUUUCUUUUAUUGUUGUUGAUCAUUUAUUUAUGCCCCAACCAUUGUGACCGUUCUUGCUCAUCUCCCCCCCGGUCCUUGCACGUUGACCGUUGCGCCUCACCCCGCACAGAUGGUAAAGCGGCAGGUGUUUUUGGACCACAAGGUUGAGGUGCUGGGUCUCGUCAUGAACGGGGUGAGUGCCGAGCGCUGCUGCUAUAGCUACUACUGCUGUCACUGCUGCUGCUGCUGCUACAGCCUAUCAGUUCAAUUCCAGUCCCAAGCAUUUUUCUCCUUUCUGCGUCCGGAACCCUAACGAAUUACGCCCAUGCAUUUUAUUAACAAUAUAUUAAACCCCUAUGUGCAAUUCCGGUAGUUACAUGUAAUGUGCAAGUAGUACCUAAAAAAAUAGAACCGCAUGUGCAUUGUAUUUACCCAUGCAAUCCUGCUGCGUUGAUGGUUUCGCACCCUGUCCUGGAUCCUUGAAAUCUAAUAUUCGCAGCUCCCGCGCAACAGCCACGCGCUCAUGACUGCCCAACUAAAGGCCCGGUUCAACCAGUCGGGGCUGCCCUUCGCGGGGGCGAUUCCACAGGACCCCAUCCUGAAAAAUGUCCGGUGCGCGAAUGGGAGUGGUUUCAGCGGGAGCCUGGUGGUUUCGGGGCUGGUGGAAAGAGGGUCUGGGGGGUAUGCGGGGGUGGGGUAGGGGUGGGGUGGGGAAGUCUGUGCGCGUGCGUGUGGGUUUGGGCGGCACGCAGAUGCAUGCUCAUGGGUUGGGACUGCACGGGGUUUAGUUAGCACUACUUGUUUUUCUAAGUGUUGGGGAAUCGCGCACGUGGGCUUGCAUGGAUAGGGGGAGUAUGGUGCAUCACCUUUUUACCUCCAGUAUUGAGAAGCUCCUUUUUAUGCUUAUCGCUGAAUUUCAGCACGCUAAAACCCUAAUGCUUGGCAUUUGUAAUUUCCGUGUUACCUGUCUCAUCAGAUACUUCAAUUUUAUCAUAGCAAGUUUAAUGCAUGUGUUGUUACGCGUACGGCACUAAUGGUUGCCCUUACAGGUUGGACGAGGUGCAGACGGCCCUGCAGGCCGUACGGUUGUACGGCGAUUCCCUGCUGACUGACGUUGAGUUUGACGACGUUGUGGUUGGCUGCCAGCGGUUGGAGGAGCUGCUGGAAAUCCUGGGGGAAAGACCUGGGGGCCGGUGGGUCAGCCUGGGGCCCAUGUGUGUGUAUGUAUGUAUACAUGUGUCUCGCUUUGAGACGUCUGUAACUGAUUCUUUCAUCAGCAAAAUGCAGAUGUGUCACCCCGCCUUCUUCCCCAAAACGAGUACACACACACGCACACACGUGCACACCUCCCCUUGCGCAGCUCCGCCUCCUGGCAACAGCAUUAAGGUCGGCCAGCUUGGCCUUUUCCUGGCUUCCUUUCCAUCAUCGUAAGAUCUCUCCCCACCCUUGGGUCGAUGCCUUGAUCGCUUACGACUCCGGCAGUUUCAGACUUUACACGCCUCCCAGCAGCUCAUUACUAAUUUCCUUGCAUAUGAUCCCCACCCUUGGGUCCCCCUCCCUCUGCCCUCCCCCCUUUCCAGUCCCCUAGUCAUCACCUCCGCCGAUCGACUGGACAUUGUGUUGGGGCUGCUGGCGGCCCAGCUGUCCGUCAGCGGCCCGGGGGUCGCUGGAGUGCUGCUCACGCAGGCGGGCUCCUCGCGGUCCGGAAGGAACUACGCCAGGUAGGCGUUGUGUGUUUGCGUACGUACGUACAUACGUACGUUUUCUUAUGUAUAUAUGUAUUUAUAUGUAUGUAUGUGCGUUCUUGUCUGUGUGCGGUGAGACCGUCGUGUGCCAUCUUCGCCACGGGGUCACAUGCAUCAUCCUCGCCACUUUUAACUAUGCGCAGCUCUUCUGCCCUAAUUCAUAAAAUGCUGUUCCUCGCACACAUGGAGAGGUGCUCCUCAGGGGAGUUGCCAAUCCCGCACACUGGUACCGCACCAAGGGGUUUUUCCUUACCUUGGAACUGACCUGCUGUCCAGCAACUCCUCAAACCCCCGUCUUCCUAUCCCAGUCCGCGCGGCAAGUGCCACUUCGUUUUUCUUGCAUUUGACGUUACCCCGUUACGCCUUCGCCUCUCCCCGCAUCACAGGGAUACCAUUGACCGCAUCUUUGCCGGCCUGGUGAACAGCGGCCUCUACAAGGGCAGCUUGCUGCCGGUGCUGUCCACCGAUAUGCCGCUUAGAGAGGCGCUGGCUAAGAUUGGCAGUAUGGACGCGGCUGUGCUGCCCUCCUCCUCACGAAAGAUUGCGCAAUGCAAGGCAGGUGGUCCCCCGGGGGAUUGGUGGUGAUGUUGGGUGCGCGGGGGAUUGGGGGGAGGUGGCUCGAGGCAAAGGUAGAAUCUGCGAAGCCAUGUUGCAAUGUUUACACGUUGCGAUUCUUUUCAGUGUCCUGGCCACGUUUUACCUGGUCCCGCUUCCCUCCCCUCCCCUGUGUGGUUCGUCUUUCCCUCCCCUCCCCCACCGCCCGUUUACGUUUGCUACUAUCUUGCCCUGGCAGCAGCUUCAAUCGCGUGUGGUUCGUCUUUCCCCCACCGCCCUUUUAACUUCGUUGCCGAUCUGGUUUCCUCCAACCGCCCCCUUCUCGCGGCUCCGUUUUGCGGCUCAGUCCUUUACAACACACAUCCGUUCUCGCCGAUGGGCUGCUAUCGUCGAAAAUAUUAGUCCUGCUUGCAAAUCUUGCAUCGUAUGGUUUGAUAACCCCUCCUCUCCCGCCUUCACCCGUUUUCUCGCCUUCCCUCCCUGCCCUGCUGCCCCCCGCAGCGACUAUUCGAGCAGUACGUGGACGCCAACGCGGUGGUGGCGGAGCUGCAGCGCAUCAAGCCCACGCGGAUGACACCCAAAAUGUUCAUGCAUACUCUUAAAACCAUGUGCAGGUGGGCUGGAGGGGGGUGGGAAGGGUAUUGCGGUUAGGGUAGGGCAGGGCCAUCCGGCGAUGAACUCGAUUGUUGGCGACAUCUCCUGCCCUUCCACUACACACCAAAACCCGUAGCCUUGCGAAACCACCUCUCCUAAAUGUUCUUUCGAUAAAAAAAAAUAUUUUACUAGACACAACCCUUGUAGCCCUUGUAGCCUUAAUAAUAAAGCCUAUUUAUAUCUUCAGAGAUACAUUAGAAACCUCUAGAAUUCAGGGUAUGUUUUGUCCUCUUCAUAUCCCGGUACCUCCCCUGAUCCUUCUCCCUCUUUCCCCCCCCCCCCCAAAAAAAACACACACGCACGCACGCACGCACACAGGGAGAACCCCCAGCACAUCAUCCUGCCCGAGUCCGAUGACAAGCGCGUGUUGGCUGCUGCUGCCGAUGUGACCACGCGGGGCCUGGCCAAGAUCACCUUGCUGGGUGACCCCACCACCAUCACGGCGGAGGCGGCCAAGCUGGGACUGGACCUGUCCCAGUGCAACAUCCACAACCCCAACGUAAGGACGGAGGGGACACUGGAAGGGGGCCGUGGGCCAUGGAAAAGGGUCGCGCCGCGCAGCUAACCACAGCCAUUCCACCGUACCGUACCGUACCGUCCGCACCGUACCUAGCCACCCAGUUUACCAGCUUGAAGCACAUUCCGAUACCUCCCGUUGGUGUUUGGGGCGCGUCGGUGGCCCUUUGUUUAUUAACCCUCUGCUACUUCUGUAGCAGAUGCUGUAGCAGAUGCGCAAUUGCCACUGCAAUUACCGUCUCAUACGGUCAGUCCGCGCUACCCCCUUUCCCCUAUCGUCACCUCCUCCAUCACCACCUACCUACCUACUCACCUACCUACCUACCUUCUGACGGCGAUGGCCGCGUAUACAUACAUACGUACAUGCGCACAGACCGCGGGUCGCUUUGAUGCGUACGCUGAGUUGCUGGUGGAGCUUCGGAAGCACAAGGGCAUGACUCCGGACCGGGCGCUGGAUACACUACACGGUAAGUGUGUGUAUGUACGUAGGUAUGUAUGUACGUGUUCUAGUGCUCUUGAGCCGCGGGAAGGAACUGGUGUGUAUGUAUGUAUGUAUGCAUAUGUAUAUGUAAAUGUAGUGGUGGGUAUGGGGAAUUUUGUGGGUAUGGUUCAUAGUUUUCCUUGAGGUCCUAGGGCUGUACAGGGUUUUCGUCGUGCCACCUAGGUUUGCCUACCACUACGUCAGGACAGGGUUGCCUUCCUUUUCUUCCGCGCCGUUCCGCCAAACCCCCCUUGGCUGUAUCUUUUUUAGGCUCCCUCUGCUUUGUCUGUACAUUUAUCUGUAUGUGCCUACGUGCAUGUCAGCUUGUCUGCCCCGCUCGCUGUUCAGGCGACAUGAAUUUUUAUGCCACGAUGAUGAUCGCGGCGGGGGAUGCGGACGGUAUGGUAUCGGGAGCCUGCCACACAACCGCCUCGACUGUCAGACCAGCGAUGCAGGUUCGUAUGUGUGUAUGUAUGUAGUGUAUGGGCGACGGGGCCAGCCUUGGAUGGGGCUGGCUGAUGGCUGAUGUGCUGUGUUGCUCUAAUCGCACAAGAUUGUUGAGGGUUAUUUUGUGCAUUUUGUGCCAUUAGCGACGUUUGGGACUUUGUGUUGCGUUGCAUGGCUUCGGGGCAUUUGCAUGCAGUGCUAUAAAAGGAGCCCCCGGACCGUUGUGUACGCGAGGGGAGAUAGCAAGAGAGGGGAACCAUCGCUUGUCCUCCUAAUCCUCCUGUGUUCCUCGCUGCAAUGGCCUGAACCUCCGCUCCAGGUUCCAAUCACUCCCAGCCUGCCAUUCAAUACACACACGCGCACGCCACUUCCUUGCAUUAACGUCUUCCCCGCCGGCACCCCGCUACACACACAUACGUACAUACACACACGCGCACAGGUGCUCAAGAGCGCGGACUCUCCCCUGGUGUCGUCGGUCUUCAUCAUGUGUUUGCCUGACAGGGUAUGUGCAGGGGAAGGGAGGGGAGGGGAGGGCAGAGGGAUGGGGGACGGAGGGAGGGUGUUGCGCCUACAUGGCGUUUGAUGCCUCUCUUGUCGCUCCUGAGCUCCAUCUGCCGCCUCAAGCCGCCCACCCCAUCCCCCGCCGCGUGUGCCGUGUUUCCCCGCCGGCGCCACUCAGGUGGUGGUGUACGGCGACUGCGCCGUGAACGUCAACCCCACCGCCGCGGAGCUGGCCACCAUCGCCAUCACCUCCGCCGACACCGCCGCCGCGUUUGGCAUCGAGCCACGAGUGGCCAUGUUGUCGUACUCGACACUGGGCUCCGGAACCGGUCCGGAUGUGAGUAGGGGUGAAACCGUGUGUUGGCGCCCCUACCGCUUUGGGGAAGGUUGCGAUUUCCUUGGGCAAAAUGUGGUGCCCGGAUGUGCUGUAAUGUUUCUAUUGAUACGAUUUGCUGCUAUGCUUUGCGAUGUUGUGCUGCGCCGUUGCAAUCGAAUGAAGAACAGCCUGGUUGUUGGUUGGUGGUUGGUGGUUGGGAUGGUGGUUGCGCAGGUCCUGAAGGUGGAGGAGGCGGUUGCACUGGCCAAGGCCCGCCGACCCGACUUGAAAAUCGAGGGACCCAUCCAGUACGACGCGGCUAUCGACCCCAAGGUGCGGGAGGUCUCCCCACAGAGGCCGAAAGGGAUGGCGGCGCUUAGGGCCUUUUGUUCUCUUCUGGCGGUUAUGUUUUACAUACACAUCACUUUUCAUAUUUCUGACAUAUUAUAUACAUAUGUAUGUAUAUUCCAACCUCAGUCGGAGGGGAACCCCAUUCUGCAAACAGCUGUGGUGCCCUGCUGCGGACGCGUGGUGGCGGUACUUUUCAAAAGGAGGGAUAUCUUGCCGUACUCUUGCUCUGGCUGACAGUGCCAGAACAUCCUAACGUUGCUGGGGUGCAUCGUGUGGAAAAGAGCGGGACACAUCUUUUGCUCCCAAUUACCUACUUUUAACAUGUCUUACCUACCUGCCUGCCUACUCGAAAGUCGCCGUGCAAACUCCGUCGUACACUCCCGUCAGGUGGCAGCAGUCAAGGUUACUGGCGGCAGUGAAGUGGCGGGCAAGGCUACGGUGUUUGUGUUCCCGGAUCUAAACACCGGUGGGUCCCCGCCUUGAAGGGCCGGGGUUGCCGGGGGGUGUUGCGGCGUGUCAGUGUCAGACCUUGAACAGGAUUUUCGGAAAAUGUAGUACGAUGGAUGUAGUACGAUGAAAGGAUGAACGGCGCAGAGGAUGAACGUCUGUACCUGUCCUGGUAUGGUGGAUGGCGUUGGCCAAAUGGAUUGCGCUGUCAUCUCAUUCUCUCCCGCCAUUUCCCCCUCGUACGGCCCUCUCCUCCCUCGUCCUGCACCCGCCCUCUCUUUAGGCAACAACACGUAUAAGGCAGUGCAGCAAAGCUCGGGAGCCAUCGCCAUGGGCCCCAUCAUGCAGGUACCUGUGUGGGGUGGGUGGGUGGGUGGGGAGCUGGGUGAGUGAACCCUGGCAGUUGGGGUGAGGGAGUCUGCCGGGGAGCAGAGUAGUAGGAGUCAAGAGGAGCAUGGGGGAGGGGAUAUUUCCGGGCUCGGGUUCGGGUUCGGGCACUGGUAAGGGGCACGCAUGGGCAGAGCCGGGAAGGAAGUCGACGCGCAGGUUACAGGACUCCGCAGGUUAUGCCUGAGGACUUCCAUGUCUCAAAUCUUUCCGACUGCUUGCAAUCGAGAAACACUGAAGCAUCUACAAGUAGGCCAUGCUUUGCCGUUUCUUAAACGUCAACUUGUCCCCACUCUUUUGCCCUUUGUGCUUGCAGCCUUACCUUCCCUGGCCUGUGCGUUUUGUUAGAUGGUCACGCACUUGACCAUUCUACGUAUAACCUUUGCGUCGUGUGAUGUUCUCCCUCCCGGCACACACGAACACACGCACGAACAAAAACAUUACGUGCCCGAACACACGCACGAACACUCGCACAGGGUCUGCUCAAGCCGGUGAACGACCUGUCUCGCGGGUGCACCGUCCCCGACAUCGUCAACACCAUCUGCGUCACGUCCAUCCAGGCCAGCAGGCUUCGCCGGGGCAACCGCCAGAGCGCCGAUAGCACGCCCACGCAAAGCAUGGACGGCGGGCCCGGUCCCAGUAACGGUAACGGCAACGGUAAUGGCAACGGUAGUGGUGUUAUUCCGCCGCAGCUGGCCAUUGUUUAAGUUCCUGGGGUGGAUCUUUGCAGUGAGGUGCGGAUAGAUAACCGACUUCUUGUACAGAAUGAGAAAAAUACGUGAAGAUUAAGAGGGAGAAGGAAAAGGACAAGAGGUAAAAUAGGUGUUGGGUCGUUGUGGAGGUUAAUAAAAAUUGUAAGGGUCCUUAGGGUUGAGGAGCUGUGUUUGAAGAGGUGGCGUGAACGGCUGGCGGUUAGGCGGCUGGCAGGGCUGUGUGGAUCUGUGCAUUGGUGACCGAUAUGUGUGAUGGACUCAGCUGCAGGGCGGUGAUUACGACGUCGGAACACUUGGGCAUCGGCAGGGAAGAAAAAGAGAUAAAUGGGCGCAUGCAUGAGCAUCGGUUUAUGUAGAAGAGGGGUUAAGAAGAAGGAGAAACGUAAAGCAGAAGAGCAAAAAGUUGGGUUGGGUUGGCCUCUUCACGCUCAAAUGGUUCACGCGCAAGUGGUGUGUUGUAUGUACGAUUAGAGACCCCAAAAAAUUGUAGGGAAACGAAUUGAUAAAUCUACGGCGAAAUGUCGUCGUCGGUCAGCCGUCAUCGUACGGAACGACGCCGUAUUAAUCAGCAGUACUGGUUACGUAUUCCAUUUUAGACAUUGCCAAGAUUCUUGUUUGUGUACGGCACCUGCAUGGCGGGCGCGUGUGGGAUUGAAAUGUCAUUUUCAUGUUGGAUUACGGCGGCGUGCAUCAAUUGCGUUUCUGUACAUGCGCUGCAUUAUGGUUUGUGCUGCGUAAUGAGUACGGCAUCGGUAUACAAGAAGCCGUGGUGAAUCCACCUCGCCCUGUAGCUUUAUGUUGCUGUCGUGCCCUUGUCUUUAGUUACACAUUGUUACUACACUCUGGCCAAUGUCUUUCGUUUUUAGCUUGCAAUCUGAGGAUUGCGUAAAUAUUGUCGUUAGACAGGGUUUGCGAUGGGAUCUUAGGAUGGUGAUUGGGGGGUGUCUUGAAUCGCCGCAGCCAUGUCGCGCUUCUUCGCCUGUGGUGUCUUUUGGAGUUUGGCCGCAAAGAAUUACAUGGCAGCCACCCGUGGGAAGGGGGAGGUAUGUCGCUCGGGUGUAGUGGGUAGUAUAUCUGAGGAUGUAGGGGGGGAGCUUCCAGAUCAAACCCCCAUGUGUACACGUACAGCGUUCCGAGGGUGCUGCGUCUUUUGUUUGAGCAAGAGAAUUCUUUCCAUGGCAUGGACUUUUGCGUUGUUUCGUCUGUAUAUGUCGUCCUUUUUGAGGAAACGUGAUGGCGUUUUGACUGUGCUUCUAAUUUCGCGCUCUGAUAUAGUGUUUGCGAGCAAAUUAUGGAAAAGACGUACGGCGGCGGCGGCGGCGGUAAUAGAGGCGUGCGGCGGAUAAGUUGAGCGUAUGCAGUACACACGCGCAUCCCUCCUUUUGCUCUUUACUUGUUUUUUUCCCUUGUUGCCAUCUCUCCUCUCCCUCGUGCAUAAGAAGCAGAGGCAAAAUGGGCUGGCCGGAGUGUGCUGUGGUCUGCUAGGAGUGCGUUUGCUGUGUUGUUUCUCUUGUGCCAAAGGAUUUAUUAGUCGGUGUCUAUCGGGAGGGAAAGAGGUCGCGACAUUCGCGAAGUGUGCAAAACUAUGCGGUCCUGAGAAGGUGAUGACAAUGGAGUAAUGUGAUUGAAAGUGUGGUUCAAUGGAUGGUAACAAUCAUGAGAGCGCGGAGCGGACGAUCGAUUUUAAUAAGGACUUGUUAAGCAGCCCCUCGCACAAAUGUGAGCGGUCGUACUCUGCCGAAUAAACGGUUCGUACAUCGUCCAAAAAAGCCAGGAGCGAAUUUUGCCGCGCGGAUGCGCGCGUGCGAUUCGCAAAAUGCGCCUGUAUAAGUGUAUAUAAAUUUUCGUGGAGAAAGGACGAGGUGCGCCAGCGCGUUGCGCAGGUGGGCAUGUUGGCCACAGCCGCACGCGGCAUGCAGGCUGGACUAUUGCGUGGCUGCAUUGCAGUAACUGAAAGCACCGAAAGCCUACGUCGUAGCUUGCAAGACUGGGCUCGUGAAACUGCCGCGGGAAGAGGAAGCGUCUGACGAAGAGGCAGUUGUGUGCAAGCAAACGGUCGCGUUUUUGGUAGUGCAACGUAUACAGCACCUUGUUCAGAGUAAAGUCAAAUUACAAAGUUGCGCAAAGUAUAACAUACAUAAACUUAAUUAAGCAUAAGANNNNNNNNNNNNNNNNNNNNNNNNNNNNNNNNNNNNNNNNNNNNNNNNNNNNNNNNNNNNNNNNNNNNNNNNNNNNNNNNNNNNNNNNNNNNNNNNNNNNNNNNNNNNNNNNNNNNNNNNNNNNNNNNNNNNNNNNNNNNNNUGCCAGGCUUGCCGAGCACGAAAUGAAGGGGGGUUCGCAUCUCACCACUCAACUAAGCAUGCAUGUGCUCGGUUGAAUGCUCGGUAGCGUGCGAGUUUACCCCUAUCAGGAUGUUUGUUUGCAUAUCCCUCCAAGCGAGAGGGCUUGGUCCAAGCGAGAGGGCUUGGACCUAUGCUGAUGUUCGUUCCAAGAAGUGAACUGAGGACUGAUGCUACGGUGAAAGGUAUGCACGUAAAUUCGCCCGUGCGCCAAACGCCCUGUAACUCGCUUACGCUAAUCUCACAUUCCAAUAUGCCACUGCACUUUCUUCUCCAGCCUGGCCACAUUCUCUUCCUCGCAAACGUACUUGGGCACCUUACAAUCCAACACCAUACGGGCUUUGGAAACGCGGGCAGCUGCUUCACAAGGACCCCCCCCAUGUGUCCGGUCGUACUUCGCGAAUAAACCGUUCGUACAUCGUCCAAAAAAGCCAGGAGCGAAAUUCACCGCGCGGAUGCGCGCGUGGGAUUCACAAAAUGCGCCUGUACAAGUGUAUAUAUUUUUUCUUGGCGGAAAGGACCAGGCGCGCCAGCGCGUUGCGCAGGUGGGCAUGUUGGCCAAAGCCGCACGCGGCAUGCAUGCUGGACUAUUGCGUGGCUGCUUUGCAGUAACUAAAAGCACCGAAAGCCAACGUCGUAGCUUGCAACUCUGGGCUCGUGAAACUGCCGCGGAAGAUGAAGCGCUGGCGAAGAGGCAAUUGUAUGCAGCACCUUGUUCAGAGUAAAGUCAAAUUACAAAGUUGCGCAAAGUAUAACAUACAUAAACUUCAUUAAACAUAAGAACAGAUAAGACGUUUAGAGCCUUGUCGGUGACAUGGACGCCGCUGUUGGCUUGGAACAGCUAUUUGCUGUGCAUAGGGACGUGCCCGCGUUAGCCGUGUUGCAACAGUCUCAGGAUGGAUUUCAGCCAGCAACAGCCUCAAGAGCUGCUGCACAACCACCGGGAAUGUCUUCAGUUGAGCACGUGUAGUUUUGGUCGGCGGGGUCGAGCAACGUACGCAAUGCGCACAGAAACCAAGGUGCAGCGUUCUGUAACAUCGCCAACAUAUCCGGUACGCGGUGGCAGGCUUGCCGAACUCGAAAUGAAGGGGGGGUCGCAUCUCACCAUUCAACUAAGCAUGCAUGUGCUCGGUUGAAUGCUCGGUAGCGUGCGAGUUUACCCCUAUUAGGAUGCUUGUUUGCAUAUCCCUCCAAGCGAGAGGGCUUGGACCUAUGCUGAUGUUCGUUCCAAGAAGUGAACUGAGGACUGAUGCUACGGUGAAAGAUUUGCACGUAAAUUCGCCCGUGCAAUAAAUCGCCCUGUAACUCGCUUACGCUAAUCUCACAUUCCAAUAUGCCACUGCACUUUCCUCUCCAGCCUGGCCACAUUCUCUUCCUCGCAAACGUACUUGGGCACCUUACAAUCCAACACCAUACGGGCUUUGGAAACGCGGGCAGCUGCUUCACAAGGACCCCCCUAUUUUAAGCAGCCCCUCGCACAAAUGUGUCCGGUCGUACUUCGCGAAUAAAGUGUUCGUACAUCGUCCCAAAAAAGCCAGGAGCGAAUUUUGCCGCGCAGAUGCGCGCGUGCGAUUCACAAAAUGCGCCUGUACAAGUGUAUAUAAAUUUUCUUGGCGGAUGAGGACCACGUGCGCCAGCGCGUUGCGCAAGUGGGCAUGUUGGCCAUAGCCGCACGCGGCAUGCAUGCUGGACUAUUGCCUGGAUGCUUUGCAGUAACUGAAAGCACCCAAUGCCAACGUCCUAGCUUGCAACUCUGGGCUCGUGAAACUGCCGCGGAAGAUGAAGCGCUGGCGAAGAGGCAGUUGUAUGCAGCACCUUGUUCAGAGUAAAGUCAAAUUACAAAGUUGCGCAAAGUAUAACAUACAUAAACUUCAUUAAACAUAAGAACAGAUAAGACGUUUAGAGCCUUGUCGGUGACAUGGACGCCGCUGUUGGCUUGGAACAGCUAUUUGCUGUGCAUAGGGACGUGCCCGCGUUAGCCGUGUUGCAACAGCUCAGGAUGGAUUUCAGCCAGCAACAGCCUCGAGAGCUGCUGCACAACCACCGGGAAUGUCUUCAGUUGGGCACGUGUAGUUUUGGUCGGCGGGGUCGAGCAUCGUACGCAUUGCGCACAGAAACCAAGGUCCAGCGUUCUGUAACAUCGCCAACAUAUCCGGUACGCGGUGGCAGGCUUGCCGAGCACGAAAUGAAGGGGGGGUCGCAUCUCACCAUUCAACUAAGCAUGCAUGUGCUCGGUUGAAUGCUCGGUAGCGUGCGAGUUUACCCCUAUCAGGAUGUUUGUUUGCAUAUCCCCCCAAGCGAGAGGGCUUGCACCUAUGCUGAUGUUCGUUCCAAGAAGUGAACUGAGGACUGAUGCUACGGUGAAAGAUUUGCACGUAAACUCGCCCGUGCAAUAAAACGCCCUGUAACUCGCUUACGCUAAUCCCACAUUCCAAUAUGCCACUGCACUUUCCUCUCCAACCUGGCCACAUUCUCUUCCUCGCAAACGUACUUGGGCACCUUACAAUCCAACACCAUACGUGCUUUGGAAACGCGGGCAGCUGCUUCACAAGGACCCCCCUAUUUGUAACGAGUACGUGUAGAUAAUAAGCGUCGUACAUCUUAUGACUUCGAGUCAAAUCACGAUGUAAUUUGCAUCAUCCACACAAAUACCUUAGUCACCGGUGAGGAAACGGAAGCAGAAUGGGUGGGGACGAGAUGCCCUGUAAACAACAGAGAUCCUUCAGACUUGCCGUGUACAGAACAGCUCCGGAGAGAGGUACCUGCAAAAUGACGGGGCGGACGAAUCUUUCCGCGACUCCGAAUUGGAAGAAGUAUACCGGAAAAUUGGGAGGAGUCACAGACUGUUAGGAUGAUCAAAGCGCCGGUCUCCCCCCGGUCCUACUUUAUUGCUCUUCGUCGGCCCGGCAAGCCUGCCACCGCGGGGUUGGAGGAAUGUAGCCUCCAGAUACACCGCCGCAGCAAACGAAUAGGACGAGCUGUAAUGCAAACCUAUAUAGGACUCUCCAGCUGCCGAGGCGGGUUGAAUGAGGCCACCAGCUGUCUACAUGAAAGACACAACCCAACAUCUGCAGGAACAGGUAGAGCCUGUAGAGAGAAAAACAAGGUUACAAGAUAUACACUUGGGCAGUCUUGUAAGGAGUUGGGCAACCUUGCUGAAGCAGUUGGCAUGGAUGGGCUGGAGUUACGGAGUGUGACGGAGCUGAGCGCCGUAGAUUGCAUAAUUGCUGGUGGUCAGCUCAAGCAGGCUCGGAACGCGCAGUUCCUGCGGCUGCGUGACGAGGGCCGCAAACCCAAGUGGCUGGGCCCGUACAUCGAGUACCAGCGCACCGACGGCAUGUACUACAUGGUCUCCAAGUACGACGUGUCCGACGUUCCGCCCCCCCCGCCCCAGCCCCCGGCCGGGAACGGGGCCGCGGCGGGCACAAGCGACAGACGCGUGACCGCAGAGGGUGCUGGCGAGGGGAGCGCCGCCUAGAGUGCUAUGAGUCGUGAGGCUAAAGACAUCAGGGUAUUGCUUUGGAACGUGUGGGGUUUGUCGGUAGCUAAGCUUACCGACCCAUCUUUCCUCCGCAUUGCCCAGGACCACGAUGUGCUAGUAUUUACGGAAACACACUGUUCUGCGCAGGCCGGGAAGCCGGCCAAGGCCCUGGCCCUGCCAGGGUUUCAACUGCAUGUAGCUGAGCGAGCCUGUAGAGGUGGAGCCGGGCCCCAGACGGGCCGGCUGCAUGGGGGCGUGUCUGUUUAUAUCCGGGACGCGAUUGCUUGGGAUGUCACUUUGUUGAGGGUUGACACGGAUAUUGCGGGCUGCGAGUCUAUUUGGUUGCGUUUGGGCGCCAAGCAAACAGGUCGGGAUAGCACCCUGGUGGGUGCAUGCUAUGUCUCCCCCAGGGCGUCGGUAGUACACCACGCGUCCCUGAGGGCACACGAGUCUGACGGACAAGCAGCGGACGAAGUGUUUGAUCAUCUGGCCACCGUCGUGGGCGCCCUCCGCCAGUCGGGUGAGAGGGUCCUGCUUCUGGGGGAUUGGAACGCGCGUGUGGGGGGGCUGCCCAACCACCUCUCCGACAUCCCGGACCUAGACUACCUUGAUGAUUUAGGAGAGGAGGUCGGGUGCCCUUUUGUGGACGGCGAGGCAUACCGAGCGCUGCUGGGUGUGCCCCGCCGGUCGCUAGAUCAGGAGCAUAAUGCGUUUCGACGUAAACUGCUCGAGUUGUGCCGGGUUUCAGAGGUUGUCAUUCUCAAUGGGCGGGCACCGGGUGACACUGAGGGCAGGCUCACGUACGAGUCCAGCCGGGGGGGAGGCAGCAUGAUUGACCUUGUGCUUGCGUCCCCUGCCUUGUACUCGUGCGUGCGUUCCCUCCGUGUCCUGCCUCAGCAAUCUUUUUACCGUGAAGAACGCCGCUUGAGCGAUCAUAACCCCGUGUCCCUCCACCUCGCGUCGGUUUGGAGGCCGGACCGGCCACCCACGCGUAAACCCAAGCCGACGUUUCUUGUCUCUGAGGCGCACAGGUACACAGACAUGUUCUAUAACCCGGAGGCCCCCCCUGUGGUUGGUGUCCGGGCGGUCGUGGAUUCCCUGCGUGCUGGCCAGAUUGGUGUCACCCAGGCGGUGGACACUAUCGAACGGAUUUUGCUGGGUUGCUUCGGUGAUGCCUUCGGGCCUGGGCCGGUUUCCAACGGCAAGGCGGCGUGGUGGAAUGAUGAGUGUGCUGCGGCUAAGCAGGCCAUGCUGCAGUAUCGGUCCGAUGUGAUGAAGUGGGGGUGUGCCGCCCCGGCUGUGGGGCAUACGAGUUUUCAAGAGUUACGUCGUCAGUUUAAUCGUGCUAAGCGUAACGCGCGACGGGAUCACCGGCUGCGAGCCUUGGAGUCCUUCAUAGCUACAUGCAAACGGGAUGCGAAGACCCUAUGGCAACGUCUGAACGGUAAGCCAGCGUCCAGAUGCAAUGUGGAAGACGUGUCGGAGUGGACGGACUACUUCGAUCGCCUUUAUAAUGCCUCAGCCUCCUUCGACGAGGUGCAGGAGGCCCGUGUCCGUGCCAUCCUCAACUGUAUCGAUCUCGGUGCGGGCUCCCAAGUCGGGGCGGCGUGGCGUGAUUCAGAACCGGUGCAUGCUAGGCGGUCUAUGGCCGACGCUAUGAAUGGUCCGCUCACACUUGAAGAGGUCGAGGCGGCUUUGUCGUCCCUGUCUAAUGGGCGUUCCCCGGGUCUGGGUAUGGUUCCGGCCGAGUGCUACAAGUAUGCCAAGCGAAUCCCUCGUGAAGGUGACGAGGACAGGGUGUCUGCCAACGUUAUUGCCCCUGCGAUUCGAGACCUUUUCCAGCACAUUUGGGAUACAGGGGAUGUGCCUGACCAGUUUUGCGUGGCGUCCCUCAGUCCGUUAUUUAAGAAAGGCGACCCCAGGGUCAAGGACAAUUACAGGGGUCUAGCUGUGGGAUGCGCCAUUGCCAAAUGCUAUGCCAAUGGUUCUCGACAGGCGGCUGGCGGCUUUGGGGGAUAAAGAUGGUGUCCGGUGCCGUUUUCAGGCUGGGUCCCGUCAAAAGCGCAGUACAGUUCAUCAGUUGUCCGUUGUCCGUCAUCUUAAAAGUCGUUAUGAGCGGCCCGGCAGUAAUCAGGCCCUGUAUGCGUGUCAGGUGGAUUUUGAGAAAGCCUUUGAUAGAGUGCCCCGGGCGAGCCUGUGGCAGCGUCUUGAGGAGAGGGGUGUUCAUGGACCCAUGUUGGCGGCCCUUAAAGCCAGCUACGAACGUGUUCUUCAACGGGUCAAGGUUAACGGUCGCCUGGGGUCCAUCUUUGCCUCUCUGCAGGGCGUGAAGCAGGGGUGUCCCAUGAGUCCCAAUUUGUUCGGGUUCUUCAUUGAGGUUAUUGCCGACUACCUUGAAGCGAGGGAUGGUAUGGACGAAUGGUUUAACACACGUGCACACGAAUGUCCUGUCAUUAAUGAUCGUCGGCUGCCUCUGUUGUUCUAUGCAGACGACCUUACUUUGUUCGCGACCUCGUUGGCGCGCCUCCAGUUCUCGCUUAAGCUGCUUAUUGAGUUCUGUGCUGCUUUUGGUAUGCGCUGCAACGUUCGGAAAUGUGAGGCCCUUGUUGUGUCUGCUUCCGACGAUGUCGUUAAGAGGGCGUUUGAGGGGGUGAGGCUCAUGCUUCCUCUUCGUACUGAUGGGUCGCUUUGGCACCCACCCAUGGUUGGUAGUUUACUUGUUCCUAGUCCUAUUAACUGGUGUGGUCGCGUUAGGUACUUGGGUCUCUAUUGGGGCCCUACGUCCCCGUUUGCGAGUUGUGUUAACGAACUUUUGGAGGCAGGGCGACGGGCUAUGUUCGGUCUUAGUAAUCGGUUGGAUGAGAACAGGGUGUGGGCUCCUGCCGUUCGGCUUCAAGCGUUCGACACCCAGGUUCGUUCAGUUCUCUGUUAUGGUGCUGAGGUCUGGGGUCCUGAUAGGAUUGUCUCCGUUUUGCGGUUAGGUAAAGGUGUUUUACCCGCUGGUAAGUCAUAUUUUGAUUUGGCUUUGGAAGAUGGUAUGGUUCAGGUCCAGCGUGACUUCUGUUUACGUUGUGCUGGGCUCAAGCAGGUACCUUACAAGCUGUUGUACAGGGAGUUGUCUCAGUUGCCUUUGCAGUACUUUUGGUUACGCCUUGCGUUGUGUUUCUGGAAUAAGAUAGUCAAGUCCCGUGGGUCGGUCUAUCAUGAUGUGUUAGUAGAUGAUCUCCGUCUGGCUCUUCUGUCUGAUCUCAAAGUGGAUUGCUGGUCGUCUAAAGUGCUCAUCAUUUUGCGUUGGUUGGGUCAUGAGUGGCCGGCGUGUGACUCUGUUUCUCAGAAGGUAGAUGUAUACUCGUCUCAGUUGAUUCGAGUGGGUGAGGUUCUGGAGAGGUUAUCUGCGUUCCUUUUAAGUGACUGGGAUCAGUUCAGCCAAGGGGGUGAUCCACGUGUGUUCCAAGGUAAAGGGGUUUCGCUUUGCAGGUAUCAUAACUGGAUGGGCUGCAAGAGAGGGCUCCGAUCCCACAGGCUACCGUAGUGCUACUUAUAGUUCGUGCUACAAUAAUUCGGGAGGCACCGCGAAUAUGUAGCACGUACAAAUUCUAAGGUAUCCCAAGGGACCGCAGCCCCGAAAUAUCGUACCCUCCGAAGCCGGUCGAUCAAACUUCGCAAAAACUAGGAUUUCAAGGCGGAAAUCAGCUCUUAAAUACAUAAAAUAUAGUCAUAAACGUAGGACAUGAACAACGCUGGAAAACGUGCAAGACAGGCAACCCUGCUUCAAUGCGGGAUGAAACCGCUAGCACCAAACGCUCCGGUGAGCGACCGAGCUGGAUUUGCACCAGUUAGGCUUGAUGAUGCUGUUUCCGAGGCCCAGCGUGAGCGAAUGGAGCACGAGGAGGUUGCUAGGCGCGAGCGCAAUGCGGUCAAUGCUACGGCAGCCGUUCCUGUUUGGUGCAUCCAGCUGCGUCGUAAUGCCUUUUACGUCGGGGUUUCAGCCGCAUCAAGACACGUUUCAGUAGCAACCACCCAAACAUUGUAUUGGCCCGGCCGGUUGGUUAUUAGGUCGUUGCCACUGGUACUGAACUGUACGAUCGGUCCAGAAUUUGCUAGGGCGUUUCCAAAGUGCGAAAAUGGUGAGAGACCAUGAGCCUAAGGGUUCCCGGUGGAGGGAGACUGACUGGAAGCUGCAGUUUGAAAAGCCCCGAAACUUUGGAAGGGGCCCCGAAAUUUGUAUCAUGCCCGCAAAAUCUGGUCCGGCCUUCCCCGAAAUUCAAAGAGCACGUACAAAUUUCAGAAAGUUUUUUGACCCCUCCCCGAACAAAGCGAUCACGAACUAUAAGUAGCACUACGGUAUUUGCGUGUUUAUUUGCCGGUCAACCAGUUGCGUAUGGUUGCCAAAUUCCGUCUUUGUUGUUGGCCUUUGGAGGUCAACAAAGGGCACCAUAGGCCGAGAGAGUGCCGUACGUGUCAGGUCUGUACGUCGGGAAAGGUUGAGGAUGAAUAUCAUGUGCUUAUGGAGUGUGAGGCGUAUACUGAGUUGCGUAAUAGGUUUCUGAUUAACGUUGAAGAUACUGAUAUGCGCAAGGUAUUUCUUAAUACCAAUCCGAGGAAAAUCGCUACUUUCCUUACUGAGGUUUUUGAUGAGCGUCAACAGCGAGCCUCACGGCUCGUGAGGGCACCCGCCGCGUCGGCGGCGGAAAUACUGUAACCACAAUUGCUGAUGGUUGUGGGUUAGAGAUAUUUACCCAAUGGAACUUAACAGACCAUAGGUAUCCAGAAGAGGAAAGGUUUUUAUAUAACAAAGCUUAUAAGAUCAUUGACAUUUAUUAUUCCGGCAUUUCUAUUUGGGAUUUGGGAUGGUGAGCGAAAGCCAUGGGCCACGGAAAGCUAAUUUUCCAAUCCGAUGUAUGUGUGAAUCGAUUUUUAAUGAAUGAUGGGGGAUUGUAGUAGCUUCUAGUACACCGGUGGGGUGGGGUGGGGUGGGAAGGGAAGGAGUGGCCAUGGGGUGGGGUGGGGUGGGGAAAUAGUCCGCGGGAAGCUAUCUUCGCGCAGAUGUAUGUGAAUCAAUUUAAACACAGACAGUGGCGGCAAUAUGCCAUAUGUACACCAGCCAUGCCGGAAAGCAAGAAGGCAGCCUGCAAUGCGAUGACGGCUUGCGGCUACAGCCAGCAGGCCUACUUCUCUUAUAGCCGAAUCUAUCCGAAGCCACAGAUACCAGCUCCACGCGCCAUCAGCAUGUAUUCGUACAAUAAUUGCCGUGCUCAUCCUCCGGAAGAGUUCGCGGCUAAAAGAAUUACUACCCCGGGCCUUAUAUAUGCCACCGUUGAGUAUAUAACCUAGCAGCAACAACACGUUGUCGCAGCCCACUACGAGGAAAUGCGGCCCGCCUCCGUUCAGCACGUUAUUGUUCAUGAUAUGGCGUUAAUUAGACUCUUCUUCUCCGCCCCCUUCUCCUGAGCUGUGCAGGAACCCUGUGGCAUUCAGCCCUCAGAAAAAAAACCAACCUUGUUUGCCAGCGCCCUAUUGUUUUGCGAACCUCAACACCUCAAAAAUGUUUGCACGUCGACGACGCGGCGACGCCGGUAGUUGGCAAGCCCCAAUAACGGGCCAGCUCGAAUUGCCAAUCAGCACUCGAUCAAAAUACCUCAACUCCCCCCUCUUACGGCCUUCCUGGAGCGCUAAAAAAUUCCACAGCUUUACCGAACACGCAGGGCUACCUAACGAAUCAUCAGAGCCGUGCAGGGCACAUCCUCAAAUAGUUUCUUAUUGUAUUCCUUCUUUACUUUACUUUACGAUCUAGAAGUACAUAUAACACAGUAUGGCAGCAGCCCAGAGACACACGUACAUGCAUAACAAAAGUAUACACACACAUGCUCCCUCGCGACGACGUCCUUAACAUCCACACUGUCGGUUUCUCGAAACUCGGUCUCCACAGGUUCAGGCCAACCCACGGGUCGGUCCCCAAACAGGUUUUGACCCUCUGAACGGGACAGCCGCGCAGCACAUGAAAAAUCCUCUAAAGGCCUUUUCCAUCCUGUCCAUGAUGAUGUGACAGGACAGAGAGGGCCGGACCGGGUAGCCACGAUUACCCCCGCGGCCGCCGGUUGCUCGUCAAGCUCUUUUAUUCAACGUGCAGCGGCUGCCACCACGACCCUACAUCCACCCACGAGCACAUCCCGGCUCUGUAACGCUCAGUUCCGUCCCGUGACCGCUGGCUGUCCCUCGGCGGCCUUGGCUCCGUUACCGUUGCCAGUACCGUUACCGUUGGCUGCAACCACUCUCUUGGCACCUGUUGUUGCGGGCGAAGUGCUCCGGCGCGGCGGCUCCAGCCCCCAGGGCUCCAAGGCGCGGCGCAGUGCCUCCGGCGCCGCCGCAUACGAGAAGAACAUUCCGUAGUUGGUGACGGGGACAUCCGCCUCGGUCAGGUCCGCUAGCCGCUGAGAAACCUGCGGUGGUGUCGGAGGAGGUGCAGGAGGAGGAGGAUGAGCUAGCGGGCCUUACAGACACCACCUCCCCAGUUUGCCAUCACACGUUGGCCGCAUCCUCCCUUUCCCCAACUACGGGCCGUGUCCCAGCCCUCCCUACCUUUUGUGAGUCGAUCAUGCACGCCCCGCAGUGAAUGGCCAACUUGUACUGCCCCAGCUGACCGCUCUCCAGCUCGGGAAACUCUGAGGGGGAGAGAGAGGGGGGUGAGGGGGUAAAGGGAAGCAGGGGAAUAUGACAUGACCCCUGGCAGCACACAUUCAGGAACGAGGGAGCUUUCCCAAGGCGAAACACGUCAUAAACGUGUCAUACAACGUGUAUGACACAAAGAACAGUCGUCCUGCUGCUACUGCUACUGCUACUGCUGCUCUUGCCACUCACCCCUGCCGUACGCGUGGUCGAUGUUCAGUUUCUUCCCCCCCACCAUCUGGUCCAGCUUCUUGGGUAUCUGCACCAUGCCGAUGUCGUUGCACUCCUUGGUGAUGCGGUUGUGGUUACACGCCUCAGAAAUGAGCACCCUGUCGCCCUCCUGCAGCCCUUCAAGAGCCUCCAAGCCGCCCACCCAGGCGUCCAGGCGCCCGCCGCUCAUGGCGUACGCCAUGCAGAUAGAGAAGGUGGUAAACGGCACCAGCGGCCGGCCAGAGACGGGGUCCAGAGUCCAGGGGUGGACCACAUCCACCGCCUGGGAGUCCGUCACCACCAGCACCGGCCCGCAGCUGUUCUCACUCAGCAGCCGGAUCACACCGCCGAAGCGCUGCCGCUCCGCCUCCCGCGCCUCCGGCCCCAACUUGUUCCUGGCCGCGUCCAGGUCCAGUCUCACGCACAUCACGGUGGCCCAGUGCCGAAUAGCCUCCUCCUGCACCAUGGCCUGGGGCCGCAGCAGCCGCCCCCCUGGAGUCUCCGCGUCCAUGGGGAUGACCAGCAGCAGCAUGGCGCCGCGGCCCAGGGCCCAGCGGGGCAGGCAGCCGGGGUGGGGCUGACCCCAGCGAGGGGAGCGCUGGGCACCGGACUGUGAGACGAGGGUUGAGGGGGGAAAGAGGGGAUUGGUGUGCUGCUUGUCCUUUCCGGCCCUCCUUUGACCCAGCCUGGCGGGACCUCCCUCCCCCCCUCAUCACCUUGACGAAUUCCGCACAUCGGGUACUUCGCUCGUGCAGUGGAGUGGCCGCCAGGUCCAGGGCCAUGGCGGGAAUCUGUGGGUCAGCGAGGAGCGGGACAGUGAGGGGAGGAGGUGGGGGUGAGGGAGGAGAGGGAGGGGCCAGAGGGGGCCCCCGUGAUUAGGGAGAGCUUACUCAAGACACACCCCACCUGCACCCCACCUCACUCCACACAGAGAGCAGGCCCCCUCCCUCUCCCACCACCCCUCUCCUCUCACCUUCCUGUCCGGGUCCAGCGCCGCGUGUGCCUCCGCCAGCAGCUCCCCCACCCUGGAGUCGGAGGGAGUGAGGGGGGCACCGCCGCCGCUGCCGCCAACACACGGCUUCACGUUGAGAAGCAACACGGGGGAUACCUGUGUGCAUGUAUGUAUGUAUGUAUGUAUGUACGGGUGGCACAUGGACACAGAGGCGCCAGGAGUAGGAGAGGUCAGAGGUAGCAAGGUCAAGGAGCAGGACAUGGUGGGCAGGAGAGGGACGCAAGCCGCGACGUGUGGCACCGCAGACUCACCCCGUACUUGGCCGCCUGCUCCAUGACCUUGCGUUCCCAGCUGAGGGUGGUGCGGGGGUCGCAACCGGGCUGGGACCUGGCCCGCUCCAGGUUGUCCGUGUCCACCACCACCACCGCCACGUCGCACUCCUUGAGGCAGUUGAGGGCCUUGCGCCGCUUCUUAUCGCCCAGCACACCUGACACAAGAAAAGGCAAGGAAAGGCAAGACAGCCAGACAGGAAGGAAGGAAGCGCAGGAAAGGGGAAGGCCAGCCCAACCUCAGCGCCCAACAGCCCGCCAGUAACGCCAGGGAAACCACAACGCAGGUGAGGAGCUGCUCGGGAAGUGCAAAUGCGUCUCAGGAGAACACGCCAAGUUCAGUCAAGGAGACGUCAGUCAAGAACAGCACCCUUCCACGCCCCAUCCCUCCCUUCCUCCCGCCAUCAUCUCCCCCUCUCCCCCCUCUCUGUCUCACGCACCCUCCUCGUCCAGCCCCGCCGUGUCCAGCAGCUUGGCCGGGCCCAGGUCGUGCAGCUCCAGCAACACCGUCUUGACGUCCGCGGUGGUGCCGGGGUGGGAGUCCACGAUACACGCCUCUUGCUGGGCCAGCGCGUUCACAAGACUGGACUUGCCUGAAAAGGGGGGAAGAGGGGGACCGGCGCAGCAGGGUAGGUAGGUAGGGAACUAUCUGAGGGUAGCAAGAGGGGUGAUAGGAAGGCGGUUUCAAAGGGAAGGAGGCCGAGUAGGGAGCACGGGAGGGAGGUAAAGGAUAUUACGGAAGGGUCCAGGCCAGAUAGAAGGAGGGGAGCUGGCAGCCACGGGUACAACGCGCGUUGUGGAUACCGGGAUGUGGGUCUUGAUUGUGAGUGAGGACAAUCCAGUAUUGCUUAUAGGGCCUAGUUUGCUAGAGCCUAUAUACAAUACAGAGAUAUAAACAAUACAGCCGCCUCCAUGUUGCAAUAAGGCGGCCUCGGGGGAUAUCUUUGCUCGCUCUUACCUGCGUUCAUGAUACCGAACACGCCGAUGUUGAUGCGCGGCACACCUGCAGCAGUGGUGCUGGAUAUGCUGCCGCCAGCAGGAGAGCUGCUGCUGCUGCUGCUGCCAGGAGCUGGCGCCGCUGAAGCGGCGGCGCCGGUGGCGGCAUUGGCGGCGACGCGGGCCGCACGACCCCGUCCUCCUGAUACCGCCAAACCCGCGGGCGGCCGCAGCGGCGACGAAGGCACUAGAAGGGCCCUAUGCUGCUGCUGCGCCGUACAGCCGUACACCCCCGAACGCGGGUACAGGCUAGAAGCCCGGACGCGGCCGGUUGCUACGGAGGGCUGCGGGGAGCUCCAGCUGGCUGACGUGGCGGCGGCUACAGCUUUAGAGCUGCUACUGCUACUGCUACUGCUGCUGGCGUUACUGGCAGCAGCAGCCACCGCAUGGUCCUGGUCCUGGUCGUGGCGGUGAUGGUCAUGAUCAUGGUCAUCAUGGUCGUGGUCGUGGUCGUGAUCGUGGGAGCGUUCUUGGCGGUUCUUGGCGGAUUUCUUGCCCGUGUUGCCGUGGGGCCGCAUGACCCGUGUGUCGUGAUCCUCGGGUACCUCCACCAGCCGCCGCAGCGGCAGGGGCGACCGGGGGGUGGCGCCCUGACAGGGCGGUGAUGACAAUGGGGGAUCGGCAGUUUCAGGGUUUUGUUCCGUUCUUAAGGGGGGGGGAAAGGAGUUUGCUUUGCGGUUUUAGGACUUUUUGAGGGUGCCUGAUUCUUAGGUCGUUUUCUUGGGUUGGCCUGGUUUCAAAAUAUAUGUUUGGGAAGAAAAGGUUGGAGGAAGUUUUUACAUACCGGUCGAGGGUGCUUUUAUAAACCGACGGGGUAAGAGGCGAUAAAAGGCGACGACGGAAACGCAUGCGGUUAUCAACAGACGGACGGCGUCUCCCAGGACGACGAGUCCCAGCAGUGUACAACAGUACUGUACAACAGUAUUGUACAACAUUCGCUUCGUGAUGCCCGCGCAUCCCCGUGACGCCUCGGAAUGCACCGCACAGAGGCCCCACACACCGGCCGCCACAGCCACCCCCCCCCAACACACACAGCCAUAUACUCACUUGCUCUAUGUCAUCCGCCUCCGCAGCCGCCGCCAGCACAGGGCUGCUAUUGUCGUGCGGCACUCGCACCCCCGUGAUCUGGUGCAGGUAGCUGGCGGGGUCACCCCACACACCCGCGGCGGAGGCCUUGCCCACACUCGCCAGCCGCAUGUCUAAGCAGCGACGGCAUUGUACGGCAGUGUCCGUGAUGCACGGCUUGCCCUCGUACAGUUGGUAAUCCUCCCGGUACCUACCGGAGGGUGUGGGGGGGUAGGGAAGGGUGGCGGCAUGGAUUAAUUACAUACAUACACACAUACAUAGACACACAAGAGUUCCUGCCCGGGCUCAGAUCAUCAAAUCACACGUACAUACAUACAUACACACAAACAACCCCUACCACUUACUUUGUCGGUGUGAGGAUGGGCAUAACCACAUUGGCUCCCCGUUCCAGUGCGAUCUCACGACCCGUGGGGAUGAUGGCCUGAGAGGGGAAGGGGGGGAGAGGGGGAAAAACGGGUUUCGGAGCGCGUCUUAGCUUUUCUUAAAGGGUCAUAGGACACCCACACGGUGCCUUACACUGACAUUCACGUACCUGCCGUACGAUACUUUUUUCUGGCCAUACUGUACUGCAAAGUAACAGGAUCUAAGGAAGGUGAGUGACGGAGGUGUACGACGCUCGCUUCUGCUUUCUCUCGAAGUACUUACCGAAAAUACGAAUGCAUGUCUGUGUGUUUCGUGUAUUGACACAUUCCCCCCUCCACUCGGCCACAUGUUCCCCCACCUCCCACCCCCACGCACACACGAAUAACAUAACGCCGCACACAAACACAAUCUCCCUCCCUUUCCCUCUCCCGCUUCCUCUCCAUUUGCACUCCGAAGGGCCCCCCGACCUUCCGUACACUCUUCUCAGCCUUCCCUCCCAGCAACCCCCCAACAUGCUCUCCCACACCUGCAUGGCUGUGGUGGCGGAGAUGUUGACGUUACCAAGGGUGAUUCGAACCUGCGCCACACCAGACCAGACCAGGCCGGGCAGGGAAAGGAGGGGAAAAGGAAUUGCAAGCCAAGUCAGCGAAACCUUGCCAAGUCCUGGAAAGUAACAGUCGACAUGGAGGGGCGCCCUUCUUGAGGAGGGCAACGAGGGCGGCCGGACGGAUGUAUGUACGUAUGUAUGUAUGUAUGUAUGUAUUUUACAACUCUAGUAAUGUACAGAGUUGCGUUGCCUUCCCAAACUGGAUCUACUAACGACGGGCCACCCGAGGACAUUCCCCCCCCAGCCCCCCCCCCAGCUCUCCCCCCUCCCCCCCAGGCCCCCAGGCCCCAGGCCCCAGGCCCCCAGCCGCACCAGCGCAUUCAUGGCCGUGGUGAGCUCAAACAUGGACUUCAUGUGCGCGUUCUUAUCCACUUGCGGAUACAGCUCCGUCCAGCUGCGAGUGGCGGGAGUGCCGUCCUGCGUGAUGAAGGGACCCAUGCCUGCAGGAGAUGAAUCCAGGGAUGGGGGUUUGGGGGAACGAUUCCGCUGGGUUGUGGGUGGGCGGGGUUGAGGAUAGGGUGAGGUUGAGGAGGUGUGGAUGGAAUGAGGGUGCAAGGUGAGAGAGGAAAUAAGAAAGGGAACCACUCCUCCCCCCCCUCCUCCCCCUCCUUCUCCCCUUCCCCCCUCUCCUCCCCCUCCUCUCCCUCUCCCCCUCCAACAGCUCACCAAUCAUGUCCGCCCGCUCUUCCUUGAAGAACACCACAUCGCCCGCCAGGUCCCUCAGAGUCUGCCCCGGCAGACCCACCAUCACUCCGGUGCCCAACAUGUAGCCGAUGCGCUUCAGCGCCCGCAAACACUCCACUCGGUGCUGCCAGCUCAAGGGCGGCGGAUGCAGGGCGGCGUACAGGUCCGGGUUGGAGGUCUCGAUGCGGAUAAGGUAGCGGCGGGCACCGGCCCUGCAUGAUUGAUUGAUUGAUUGAUUGAUUGAUUGUUACAGGGUGGGAGGCCUCUGGGCCGAUUGCCCUGUAUGUAUUUAUAUCUGUCUGUCUGUCUAUCUGUCUGUAUGUGUGUAUGUGCGUGCAUGUAUGUGCGUGCAUGGUGUAUCUGCGCGUGAGUGCGUGUGCUCGUGGGGGUCAAGGGGGCAGGGAAGGGGCUCACGGGUUGGGAGAGGGGUGCAUGCUUGCCGUCUAGAAGGCGGGGGGGAAUCCCUAGGCUCUGUGCGUGCGUGCGGAGUUGGGGCUAUGGACCGGGAUGGGUAGGGGUGGGUAGGGGUGGGUAGGGGUGGGUAGGGGUGGGUAGGGGUGAAGGGAUAAUUUAUGCAAGAAGGGAAGCAUGUCGAGGGGUGGGGUGGGGUGGGGUGUGGGGUGUGGGGUGGGGUGUGGGGUGGGGUGGGAGCCAUAGGAUAACAAAAACCCUCCAAACCCCCAAAAGUUGGUGACACAGGUUCCUGCGAGAGCCAGUCACCCAGUACGACAGCGCACUCGCCACCCAACAGCAACCACCUCACUUGAAAAGCCGCUCGUAAUGCUCAUACGGCAGCUCCCCAACCGACAACGACACCGCAACACCUAGCUCGUCCUCCGCCUCAGGAUUCGUUGUGGCGGCACCGGUACUGCCGUUAGGGGUGCCGUUGGCGGUUGCGGUGCCGUUAGUGCGUGGCGUCGCGAAGCUUCCCUCACCGCCCGCCGCCACCGCCCGCCUCGCUAGAUCCAGUUCCACCGUUUCUUUGCGGAUCGCUCGUACGACAUGUUCCAGAUAUUCAAGUCGUUUUUCCGUAUGUAGCUCACCGCUCUGCGUCAAUAGUGAAGUGCGGGUGGGGUGGAUUGGGGUGGCGUGGGCGGGGGGUGGGGGGAAAGACGAACCACGAGCGAGAGAAGCUGAUGCCAAGGAAACCACGGGUUGGGGGUAAACGGGAGAGGGAGGGGUGGUGGUGGUGGUGGUAGGGGGGCCAGCUGUAUCUUUAGAGGAGGAAAAGAAGUACGGCGCUGCGGCAGAUGGCGCACACAACUGCGCCAUCAACUUAAUACCCAAGAAGGGGGAAGAAAGUACUAGCAUGGAAAUGAGGACAUACAUACAUACAUACAUACAUACAUACGCACCUGCAACAUGACGUUUCGGAUGCCGUUCUCCAGAGCCCACUUGGCCACCUCAACCACCUCCUCCUCGGGCAUGGUGUACCUGGGCACGUGUACAUACGGAAAAUUGAAAUAUGCGGACACGUACAUACAUACGUACAUACGCACAUACCUGUAUACGUCCUUCUGGUUGUUGCGUAUACCGCAGUAGCUGCGGGCAGAGGGGAACAGACACGUGUGACCACGGCAUGGCAACAGCAGCAGUGGCAUUGGCAGUAGCAGUAGUAGUGACAGUAGCAGCAGUAGUAACAACAGUGCAGCAGUAGUAGGAGCAGAAGUGGUAGUAGUAGUAAUAGCAGCAGUAGUAGCAUCAGAAACAAGACACAUUGGAAACUUACUUAGAUUUGAACUCCUGAACCCCAAUCUAGCCUUUCUCCCUCCCUCCCUCCCUCCCUCCCACUUCCAUAACCCAAAUCCAUCCGUACAUCCGUGUACCCCCUCCCCCCCAGCUCGACCGUGUGCGCACAUCCAAGCGCGUGUGUUUUAACCCCGCCAUCACACUCCGGCCAGGCCUCGCCUCUCGUCCCACGCUGAAAGCCACCCUCGCGCCUCGCGCCGCCAGCGAGCAUGUGCGUCUGACAACCCCCCUCUCCCCAACUCCCCCUAUGAGGGGGACCCCCCUUGGGGGCCCUAUUUUCACAGUGUAUACACACCUACUCUACAUGCCGGCCGUCCCGCACCUGCAGUCGUUUUGACAGAUGUUGGAAAAUUCCACGAGGCCUCGGUAGUAUACACCGCCACCGCAGUGCCUGAUAUGGUGAAGAUGUGACGGCAGGAGGGGGCAAGGAGAAGGAAAAGGAAGGGCAUGAUAUCGCGCGCAUAUAUGACGACGAUGGUGGUGGCCAUGGUGAUGAUGGUGAUGGUGAUGAUGGUGGUGGCCAUGGUGAUGAUGGUGAUGGUGGUGAUGAUGAUGAUGAUGCUGAUGAUGAUGCUGAUGAUGAUGAUGAUGAUGAUGAUGAUGUGAUGAUGCUGAUGAUGGUGAUGGCGAUGAUGCUGAUGAUGGUGAUGGCGAUGAUGAUGUGAUGAUGAUGGUGAUGGUGGUGAUGAUGAUGAUGAUGUGAUGCUGAUGAUGGUGAUGGCGAUGAUGAUGAUGAUGAUGAUGAUGAUGGCGAUGAUGAUGCGAGGAAAAGGAACGUGGUUUCGAGGCUUUCAGUUGUUUGGUAUAAUCCUAGGUUCUUGAAUGGACCCUUACUUUGCUGUUACUGCCGCCGCGUGGCCGUACAGGGCUUUCUCCAAGGUUGCGUCUCCGCGGCGCCACACCGCCUCAAGCACACCCAGCACCUUGCAUCAUUUGUGGUGGUGGAGUGGGUUGGUUUGAGCGAGUGCGGGGGAAGGGAGAAAUGGUCGGUGGUCAUAUGGGUUAUUGAAGAGCGUGCCAGGAAAAGACACGGAGGGCGCAGGUGAGUGGGGGAUGUGUCAAUGGAGAGACACCCAAAUGGAAAACACGCCGGCGACGUGACCAUACACACUUAUGGAGUGGAGUGUGUGUGGGGGGGGAAGGGGGAAGAAGAACCACGAACGAGUGAAGCUGAUGCCAAGGAUAGACUGACACGCCAGAGGUAAAGUAAGCAGUAACUAACCAGUGCGUGGCGAAGGGGGGGAGAAGAAGAUAGGGUUUGCGUACGUGCGUGUGUGCGUAGAUGUGUGUCUAAGGGAUGGUGGGGAUCAUAUAUGCAAGAAGCAAGGAGCCAACUACGGCUACGUCUGAAGGGAUAGGAUAGGGUGCAACUGGAGCGGUGGCAAUCCUCCUAAGAGGAGCUGGUUCUUGUUAGAUACAGAUCCGGGUCAAGCGGAAAGAUGAUGAUUGGUUUACAUACGGAGAGGGCGAGGAUGGCGAGGGAUAGAUGUUUGCAUCAAUUCCGUCCGGGGUUUGAAAUAUAAAUCUAUCCGCAGGAAUAACAGGUAAGGCAUGUUAUUUUGUUACUGGUAGGGAGGUUUAAUUAGUUGGCAGGGGGAAUGCAUCUCGCACCUGGUCGCGGUCAAGGUCUACAGUCGCUGCGGGGGCAAGGCCUCCAGGGCCAAGCCCUAGAAAGCGGCCCAGCACAGCUGCGCUCUCCUCCGCGUCAGCCUGAGCCUUUGCUUUCCUCUUAGCAGCUGCUAUAGCAGCUCGUGCAUGAGCUGGUGGUAGCUGGUCUGGAGGCACAUCUGCCGCGACGGAAUGUGCCGAAACGCGGACGGCGUCCCUCCGAGCCACGGUGCGUUGUGAAGCAAUUGACAGCUUACGGGACAAGAAGCCUUUGGGAAUACCUUGCGGCAUUUGUAUGACCUUGGAAGAGGCCGCCUGGCGCGGCAAUUCCCCGACACUAGCCAUGAAGGAUGUUGAAAGUGCUAAAAGACUGCUAAUGGAAGCCACCUGCACUCCAAAUAUCAGAGUAAAUUCAAACAAUUACAUCAGUUUUGACAAAGAUGCGAAUUUCGUCUUAUUCAUCUUCCAUGCCGUAAUUGGGUACAUACUUCGUAAUGCGUACCGGAACGACCCAGUUGGGGAAACCCUAUGAUUAUAAGAAUCCGGUCCCUAACGAUGGAAACUCGACAUACAAUUAUCCUUCGCAAAUAUUCACAUUAAGGAUAACCGAAGCUAAUUUGCAAGACAACGUAAUUGAGUGACACCUCAGCGACAACUGCAGAAGCCCAGGCUACACAAUACAAUUACAGCAACUGUUGUCAUAUUAGUACAUAACCAUGCAGUCAGCGCUUUGCCACACCGGGGGCCGCGUUUUGCGCCCCAUCGACCGGAGCUCCAGGGCUUCCGGAAGCGCACCUCUACCUGUGGUGCGGCGCGCGAGCACGGUUGCACGUUAUUUGCCCUCAAGCAAAAUUCAGCACGCAUGGAGCGUUGAACGCGAGACUCACCACACGUGAGUUGUUCGCCUGUCGGGAAUUGCAACUUCGAAACCUCCUAGAAUGAUUGAAAAUGUUUCCAAGAGUUCUAAGUCGUUUCAACUGUCUGUGUGACCGCAGAUAUGUGGACCCGGCCGAGUGGAUUGAUGAGGCCGCUAUCUUCAAAGCCCUCGAGUUGACAAAGGAGCACGCCAAGGACCCGGCACGGGUAUGGAAGGCCAGAAACCUUGCAGACUACUCUUCGUCCGUCACUUUUGUGUUCUGUAUGUCCAUAACGGCUGGGAAAUGAUCGAUGGUUCUGUGUUGUGAAGAACAGCCUGUUCGUCUUUAAUGCACGGAGGGUGUAAGGUUGAAGGCAACAGCUUCGGCAAAUUAAUUCUUCAUCCACGCACCGUUUGACUUUUAGGUUCGCGACAUCCUCGCCAAGGCCAAGGAGAAGGCCUUUGUCACGGAGCAUGACCCCGUCAACGUUGGCUCCAAGUCAGAGUUUGUACAGGUGGGAGUUAUAACUGCACAGUUUAGAAGGAUUAUGGGCCCCAUCGAUGCUGGAAGUGCAAAUCGGUGAUCACAUUAACUGCCUCACCUGUUAUCUAAAGCAUGGCUUGGCGCUGCCUUCCCUACCUGUAAGCCUGCCGUGGGUAUGAUGAGCAGUUAAUGUGCUUUCUUUUUCACGGACAUGCCUUCCAUUCAUAGAUUACCCCUUGCUCUUUACACUGUAACCUCCUCACGCAGGGUUUAAGCCUGGAGGAGUGCGCCACACUCCUGAAUGUGGACGAGAACAAUGUGGAACUGGUGGGACGGGGACUAGGGGUCCUGUAGUUCGUGGCUGCGGUCGUAGCGCUGGAACGGGUCGACUACACUACGGAUCAUGGAAAAGCAUCACUGCUGCUUGCGACUGUUACUGCUGCGCAAUGGUUCCUUAUGUCCCGACAUCCCUCCUUCCCUCCCUGGGCGUGCUCCUACAGAUGAAUGACAUCUUCGACACGGCUCUGGCCAUCAAGAACCGCAUUUACGGAAACCGAGUUGUGCUGUUCGCGCCGUUAUACAUUGGUGGGUCGGAUGAGCUUGUGGAGUGGGGUUUCGUGCAUAAAAGUGAACUGUUUAGGUUACAAAUGUAAAUCUCACUUUUUGGUGACCCUGACAUCCGCUCCCUAUCGUUGAUGCCAUUCGCAGCCAACCAUUGCAUGAACACAUGCACGUACUGCGCCUUCCGGGCCGGGAACACGGGCAUGGAGGUGAGCGUGUGUGCGUGUGUGUGUGUGACUUAAGGUGUUUCGAAAACUCCUCGCAACUUUAACAGUGACGCGGCGAUAAAGGUGUUCAUCCUGCCUUGCUUGAUUCCUCUUCAUCUACCGCCCACUUGCCGGCCCCACCACAGCGCUCCGUGUUAACCGAUGACGACCUGCGUGAAGAGGUGGCGGCGCUGCAGCAGCAGGGCCACCGCCGCAUCCUGGCGCUCACGGGAGAGAGCCCCAAGUACUCGUUUGAGAACUUUCUUCACGUAAGAAGAGGGAUGCAGAGGGAUGCAGUGAAGUAAUGGAUUCGUGACAUGCAAGCACCAUUGAGAAGUUCUAAUGUGUUCGUUAGUUCUCUGUCUUGCCUUCUCCCUCGAAGCGGCAUUUAUAUAAUACGUUUUUUGUCCGUCUGCCCUCUGUUCUCGCAUUUCCUCGUCUAGGCGGUUGACGUGAUCGGCUCCGUCCACACGGAGCCCUUUGGCAGCAUCCGCCGCAUCAAUGUGGAGAUUCCGCCGCUGAGCGUGUCGGACAUGCGGCGCCUCAAGGAGACUGAUAAGGUGCGAGGGAGAAGGGAAUAAAGGUUGUGUGGGGCUCUUGAAGGUUCGGGAUCUGGGUCGGGCGUUUUCGGGAUCUGGGUCGGGCGUUUUCGGGAUCUGGGUCGGGCGCUUUCGGGUUCUGGAUCGGGCGCUUUCGGGUUCUGGAUCGGGCGCUUUCGGGAUCUGGGUCGGGCGCUUUCGGGAUCUGGGUCGGGCGCUUUCGGGAUCUGGGUCGGGCGGUUUCGGGAUCUGGGUCGGGCGGUUUCGGGAUCUGGGUCGGGCGGUUUCGGGAUCUGGGUCGGGCGGUUUCGGGAUCUGGGUCGGGCGGUUUCGGGAUCUGGGUCGGGCGGUUUCGGGAUCUGGGUCGGGCGCUUUCGGGUUCUGGAUCGGGCGCUUUCGGGUUCUGGAUCGGGCGCUUUCGGGAUCUGGGUCGGGCGCUUUCGGGUUCUGGGUCGGGCGGUUUCGGGAUCUGGGUCGGGCGGUUUCGGGAUCUGGGUCGGGCGCUUUCGGGUUCUGGAUCGGGCGCUUUCGGGAUCUGGGUCGGGAUGGGGCAUGUUUGGAUGGAUGCAUGACUUGUUCAAUGGGCUUGUACCUGCAGGUCGGCACGUUCGUGCUGUUCCAGGAGACGUACCAUCGGGAGACGUUCAAGAAGAUGCAUCCCUCGGGUCCCAAGAGCGACUUCGACUACCGAGUCCUGACGCAGGACCGUGCCAUGCGAGCGGGUUUGGAUGAUGUGGGCAUUGGCGCGCUGUUCGGCCUGUUCGACUACCGCUACGAGGUGUGCGCCAUGCUAAUGCACUCGGAGCACCUCGAGCGCCACUACAACGCCGGGCCACACACCAUCAGUGUGCCGCGCAUGCGUCCUGCGGACGGCUCCGAGCUGUCCAUUUCACCCCCUUACCCGGUGGACGAUGCGACGUUCAAGAAGCUGGUUGCGGUCAUCCGUAUCGCGGUGGGUAGUGCUUUAACAGGCUGACACGGGCUGACACCAUGUUUGACACCAUGUUUGACCAGCUGACACCGUGUUUUUCGUAUGUCAUUAUCCUGAGAUUUCCUCCCGUUUCCGUACAGGUGCCGUACACGGGAAUGAUCCUGUCCACCCGCGAGUCGCCCGAAAUGUGAGUUCCAUCGGGCUGAUUUAGGGGGAAGUGUGGUUGAUGCGAUAGCUGGAAUUCUCGGAGCAACAGGCCGUUGGUAGGUUAGUCUCACUGACCUGACAACAACAGUUGAGUCUACUCCUCACAAGUCUUUGCUGCGCGUUUUGUACACAGAAGCCGCUGUUCCUAACAUCUGCUGCUGUUCCUUGGUCUGCUGCUUUAUUUCAUCAAGCCUUACUCCGGUUGUCCCUGAUUCCUGCCUGUCCUUCCCUGGCAUUUCAUCCGCCCUGUGCUUGGCUUCUCGCCGUUGUUCCCCUCAGGCGCUCCUUGCUGCUCAAGUGUGGCAUGAGCCAGAUGAGCGCCGGCAGCCGCACCGAUGUGGGCGCCUACCACAAGGACCACACGGCCAACACCGAGGCCAACCUUGGCAAACUGGCCGGCCAGUUUUCGCUGAUGGAUCACCGGCCCACCAACGAGAUCGUGGACUGGCUCAUGGCCGAGGGCUACGUGCCGUCCUGGUGCACGGCGUGCUACCGGCAGGGCCGCACGGGCGAGGACUUCAUGAAGAUCUGCAAGGCCGGUGACAUCCACGACUUCUGCCACCCCAACUCGCUGCUCACACUGCAGGAGUAUCUGCAGGACUACGCCGACCCCGACCUGCGGCGUAAGGGCGAGGAGGUGAUUGCCCGCGAGAUGGGCGAGCACGCCAGCGAGCCGCUCAGCGGGCAGGCUCUCAGACGCCUGGAGCGCAAGAUGAAGCUGGUCAAGGAGGGGCAGCAUGACGUGUACCUGUGAUGAUGGGGGAAGCGGACGAUGGAAGACGGGGGAUUAGGGCGGAGAUCGGUUUGACCAGAGAGUGACUUUGGAGUGAGGUGAGGUCUACUGCCGGCCUGCAGUUUUGGCUUUUGGGUCGCAACCACCGGAGUUAUGGAUUGGUGUGGGGAGUGAGCUUUUCUGGUCCGGCGUGGCGGAGUCUUUUCCAUGCUUAUCCGCAAAGAUCUUUUGAGAUUCUAGUUUGGUAGAAUUCUUUAUAAUUUGUUUGGUAAAUGCGUGGGUAAUGCCACAAGCAUUGCAUGUGUUCAUGCUUGACAAGGAAUAAUGAAUCUCGCUGCUGUGUGCACGCGAUGCGGAGCAAUGAAGGAAAAAUGACACUUGUUAGGGAUGUGGAGGAGCUGGCUCUCUGUUUUUAUUUUUUGGGGCAUGUUUUCAGCUGAAAGCUGCUCAACCCCAAAUGGUUGUUUGGGGCUGAGGAAUUGCUCUGCUUAGAAGAGCGUGCAUCUGAACAUUGUACGGUACGGGAAUCGGUGAUGAAAUUGCCUGAAGAUGCACGAAUGAAGGAUUACCAGGUAUUGACCUGAGGAAUAUGUGGCCCAGUUGUUCAGGCGCCUUAAAUCUCAUCUUUAAUGUAAUCCAGAAAGCUGUAAGAAAAAGGGUUCCUAUUCAAGCUGCCGCGUGCCUAUUCAAAUGUAUAUGAGUCUUACCUUCCGUCUGGUGGCCUACGAGCUUAAGCAUGUGAUAUAAUGUAUUGGCCAUAGCAGACCCGACGCGACAUGCUGUAGCUGUAAGGACGCCGCACGCUAUCAUCCUGCUGUGAAAGCAACCGCAUUACGCAGGGCACUCACAUAAAUUGGUGCGGCUUUAAAGCCGCACAAAAUUUUUUGUUAGGUGAGUCGAAACUGGUGUUGCAGCUGCCCGUGGAAGACCUGGCCCAGAACUGCACUUUUCAGACUGGAUGCAGGCCGCCCACAUGAACAUAGCAGACCCAGACUGCGCUUGCUUCGUAACAAAGAAAUCCACGUCUUAGGAGUUUAUUUAGAGAACUUUGCGGCCUGACUGAAAAACUGAAACCACGGUCGACACCUUUCCGGGCCAGAAACCUACGGAAUGAAAUCCUUUUGGAAUGGACACCACAGACGAAUUCCUUCCCUAAGUUUCCUUUAUGGUGUCGCGGUUGCUUACCUUCUCACGUGUGCCUGCAGUAGUGGUUAUCGUCCUGUGCUUAUUUUGGCUGCGUUGCUCUGAGUACUGUAUCGCUUGAUGAACAGCUUGCCAGAUGCCGCUUCCAUCAACUUUUACAUCUGUCGCAUAGAGACGACUUUGGAACUGCAAGUCGGUUGCCACCACAGGCGCGUGACAAAUGCGGAUUAACUUGGAAAUAGCAUGUCUAACGUAAUUGGAUUACCUUCUUCUGCGGCCUCCCGUCACAUGUCAGGGAGAUGUUGCGCCGAAACCCUUUUCGGCGGAACACCAUUGUCCUCUGUACCUCGGGAUGUACAGCAAAUUCAUCAUCAUGACGGUACGGCUUCUUUAAUGCGGGCUAUGCGAAGCUUGAGCCGGGUUAGCUAAGGCGUAGGGCCUUACGGCCGUUUUAAGUGGUACGACUUGAGGCCGGCGAUCCGUGUCCUCAGGAUCGUCUUUUGCAUAAAUAGCGCGUGUUGCAGGUUUUCUGUAUCUUGUUUUUGUUGUUCAGCACGCGCUGAACAACGAGGCAGGUCCCGCGCCUUCGGCGCGCUUUCUGUUUUUUCCGCUGUGCUUUCAGCUCUUCAGCAAGACCCAUCGGGUAGAGUGCCCUGAUUGAAGGAGCACCAUUAUCGCUCCGUCGUCAUCGUCUUGAAGAUCAUGGCAACCGUAGCAGUAUCCGUCCAAGCCGUUUUAGCGGUUUUUGUCGUUUUCUGCGGCGUUGCUGGCGCCAUGAUGCCGGGCCAAUAUGGUUCCCAGCCCCCUUCCCCAUAUAUGCAAGGUCUGCUGGGUGGCGGCGCUACGCCGCUAGGAGGCGGAAUGGCGCCCAGCGCGGUACCGAGAGCGGCAACUAUGUCUGGUGCGGCGGUUGCUGGGCCGGACAUCGCUGCAAUGUUACUCCAGAUGCAACAAGACCUGGCCGGGGUCCGCGCGCGCCUAAAUAGUCAAGGUGCGACCUCGGGNNNNNNNNNNNNNNNNNNNNNNNNNNNNNNNNNNNNNNNNNNNNNNNNNNNNNNNNNNNNNNNNNNNNNNNNNNNNNNNNNNNNNNNNNNNNNNNNNNNNNNNNNNNNNNNNNNNNNNNNNNNNNNNNNNNNNNNNNNNNNNNNNNNNNNNNNNNNNNNNNNNNNNNNNNNNNNNNNNNNNNNNNNNNNNNNNNNNNNNNNNNNNNNNNNNNNNNNNNNNNNNNNNNNNNNNNNNNNNNNNNNNNNNNNNNNNNNNNNNNNNNNNNNNNNNNNNNNNNNNNNNNNNNNNNNNNNNNNNNNNNNNNNNNNNNNNNNNNNNNNNNNNNNNNNNNNNNNNNNNNNNNNNNNNNNNNNNNNNNNNNNNNNNNNNNNNNNNNNNNNNNNNNNNNNNNNNNNNNNNNNNNNNNNNNNNNNNNNNNNNNNNNNNNNNNNNNNNNNNNNNNNNNNNNNNNNNNNNNNNNNNNNNNNNNNNNNNNNNNNNNNNNNNNNNNNNNNNNNNNNNNNNNNNNNNNNNNNNNNNNNNNNNNNNNNNNNNNNNNNNNNNNNNNNNNNNNNNNNNNNNNNNNNNNNNNNNNNNNNNNNNNNNNNNNNNNNNNNNNNNNNNNNNNNNNNNNNNNNNNNNNNNNNNNNNNNNNNNNNNNNNNNNNNNNNNNNNNNNNNNNNNNNNNNNNNNNNNNNNNNNNNNNNNNNNNNNNNNNNNNNNNNNNNNNNNNNNNNNNNNNNNNNNNNNNNNNNNNNNNNNNNNNNNNNNNNNNNNNNNNNNNNNNNNNNNNNNNNNNNNNNNNNNNNNNNNNNNNNNNNNNNNNNNNNNNNNNNNNNNNNNNNNNNNNNNNNNNNNNNNNNNNNNNNNNNNNNNNNNNNNNNNNNNNNNNNNNNNNNNNNNNNNNNNNNNNNNNNNNNNNNNNNNNNNNNNNNNNNNNNNNNNNNNNNNNNNNNNNNNNNNNNNNNNNNNNNNNNNNNNNNNNNNNNNNNNNNNNNNNNNNNNNNNNNNNNNNNNNNNNNNNNNNNNNNNNNNNNNNNNNNNNNNNNNNNNNUCGUGCCAUCCCACCAAGUGCCAAUGGGAGCCCUCGCAGUCGGUUUACCAUUUGGGCAUUACAGUUAAUACUGCGGAGGGGCUGUUUGAGGUGCCUGCGGGCAAGUUGGCCAAGUUGCGUCGGUUAGCUGUGGGGCUCCGGGUUACGGCCAAGAAGAAUCGCCGUCUGGUUCAGAAGCGUGAGUUGGCGCAGCUGUGUGGUUUUGCUCAGAGUGUGAAGCUCGCCCUCACCCCCGCCCCCCUGUUUCUCCGUAAUUUCUACGAUGAUCUUGCGCAGCCGGUUGGUUGGUCCGGUAAAGUGCGGCUGUCCCGUGGGUCUAUGCGGGACCUAGAUUGGUGGGCGGAGGUUCCCACCCGCCAUUGUUCGGCAGCAAUCCAUUUGGGACCGGCGGCGGUUGAGCUGUCGGUGGAUGCGUCCCGCCACUCUUGGGGUGCUGUGUUGCAUGGUCGCACCGCGCGAGGUUACUGGUCGUUCGAUGAGAUUCCCGCACACAUCAAUUGGAAGGAGUUGCGGGCUGUGCGUUACGCUCUGGAGUCUUUUCUCCCUCUCGUUCGGCAGCGUGUUGUGUUGAUUCGGGAGGAUAACACCUGCACUCAGGCAGUUCUGGGUCGCCUGUCUUCGCGGUCACCAGCUAUGCACGCGGAGUUGCAGUGUCUGUGGGAGUUCCUGCAAGAGCACAGCAUCGUUUUGCAGGUGGAGAGGGUCGAGAGUGCGGCAAACGAGGCGGAUGCUGCCUCCCGUUGGAUCGAUCGGGAUGAUUACCGNCUGCACCCCCGCUAUUUUCGUCUCCUAGAGCAUCUGUUUGGGCCGUAUGAUGUGGAUCUGUUCGCCUCGCAUCUCAACACGCAUGUCCCGCGUUUCUUCUCGCGUUUUCACUGCCCCGGUUCGGCCGGCGUGAACGCCUUGCUUCAGCCCUGGGGUGGUUUGAAUGCUUACGGCUGCCCGCCCUUGGAUCCGGAUGUGUUGUUGGCCGUGGUGCAGAAGGUGCGCGAAGAGAGGGCGUGCGUCACUUUGGUCGUGCCAUACUGGACGGCGCAACCUUGGUGGCAGUUGCUGAUGGAGCUGGCGGUGGACAUAGUGUUUCUCCCCUCGAACACGGAGCUGUUCGCACCGGGGGAAGGGGGGUCGAGCCGCUUCCUGCCGCCCCCGCAGUGGCAGGUGGUGGCGGUACGAGUGCAGUGAUCGACUGGGCCCUCCUGCGCGGCACACGCAGUGGUUCUGCCCCGGUUCCCCGUUAUGCAUUAGACUUUCGUGCUGCGGCUGCUCCCCCGGUUGUCACGAACCUGUUAGUGAAGCAGCUGCAGGCCGCCGCCCCAGGUCAGGACCACUCGGCUCGCCUGGAGCAGAUUGCGGCCGUCAUUGUGUCUCGAGUAGGCUCCAAGACUUGGCAAUCGUAUGCGUCUCAUUUCGCGGCAUUCGUGCGUUUCUGCGUCAGUGAAGACCUUGAGUUCUUGCCGGCGUCCCGGUAUACCGGGUUGUUGUGGGCACAGUACCUGGCUGCCCGUGGUUCUGUUCGGGCUCGCACCGCGCAGCCCUACUUCAGCGCGGUUAAUACAGUGCACGAUUUGUUAGGGCUGGCUAAGCCGUGUGAUGGGGAUAAUGUGCUGUUGUCGGCGUUCCGUAAGGGCUGGGAGCGGCUGCAGGUCUCACUGGCCCCUACCUCGUCCCUUGUCCUCGCCUUCAGUGCUUCGGACGCCUGGAGGCUAUACGACCGGCUCCCGUCCGUCCCGGUUGCGUCGGAUUUGUUUGUCCCUCUUUUUGUCGUCGUCCUUGGCUUCUGUCUAUUUUUGCGUCCCGACUCCUUGCUGUCUGUCGUCUGGGCGCGGGUUUCGGUUGUUGAUNNNNNNNNNNNNNNNNNNNNNNNNNNNNNNNNNNNNNNNNNNNNNNNNNNNNNNNNNNNNNNNNNNNNNNNNNNNNNNNNNNNNNNNNNNNNNNNNNNNCGAUUUGGGGGUCCGUGGCUGCCCUCGUGCGGUCGCCUUCUUUGGCCCUCUCGCGGCCCGGCGUGUCGCGCCGGUGAUGGGUCAGUACUUUAACCGCUGAGAGGGGGUGUCUUUCCUUUUGGCAAUAGACUCGUAGCAGGAGCUAAUGCGGGCUAUGCGAAGCUUGAGCCGGGUUAGCUAAGGCGUAGGGCCUUACGGCCGUUUUAAGUGGUACGACUUGAGGCCGGCGAUCCGUGUCCUCAGGAUCGUCUUUUGCAUAAAUAGCGCGUGUUGCAGGUUUUCUGUAUCUUGUUUUUGUUGUUCAGCACGCGCCCCGCCCUCCCACCCUGGAGGCCGCGUCGCCCGCCCUUUUCGCUCUACUACAUUAUUUCUUUUCCUUUUGGUUCGGUGCGGCCUUUUCAUCGAUCAGGCCGUAAGAGCACAGCCAAUAUCUGUAACAGAAAUGGCAAUGGCAAUAGACUCGUAGCAGGAGCUAAUUGAUAUAACGCAAUCAAUUCAUAAUAAUUCAUAUGUCGUGAAAUAAAACAAUUUAAAACAUAAAUCAUUGACACAAUCUGAAUACCAAGCUUGUUGCAAACAGUGAGGUCUUAACGGAGACUGCAAUACCUCUAUAAACAGCAGGCUUCUACAACAAACAUGCAGACAAUUGCUUACCACCCGCGCGUUGGCUCAGCACGGAUUGGCUGGGUUCAGCAGGAUGUCAUUAGACCGGCCCUGCUUCCGUGUUGCAAUCGCAAGGUCACCUCCACGUCAACUUCACUGUUGGGGCGCGCAAAGACACCAGGUACAUAAAUCUCCUCUAAUUAAGGCUCGAGUUCGUGAAGGUGACAUGUAAGCUUCCCGUGUCUUACUGUUAGGAAACCUGCCUGGGGUUGUUGUUGCCGCCGCGGCUGCGGCUCCAGCGGCUGGCACUGCUGCGAUUCCGCAUUGGAAACAGGCUAUGGACGAGCUAGGUAAGGCUAACGCAUGAUUUAACUGUCGUUCUUUCUUUGAACGUUAGUAGCUUACUACGUAGCUAUUCGUUGCUACAUGUUAUGAAAGAUAUGGAAUUUUUGUGUAUGUAUUUAUUGUUAUUCACGUAACGCGAAUUGUUCUCAGUCAUAUCGUGUUAUCACGCUGGCCAAGCGCUCUCAUAUUUUGUUCCUGUUUUCCGGACUGUGCCGAUAAACAGACAAGCCAAGGGAUCAGCGUAAGAUUAUGAUUUGCCAGGUGAGAGCUAACACCGUCUUGAAUACUCUGUAAUUUGGUGCGUCUCUACCCUCUGUCCCGGUAUUGAGGUCAGUUAGUCGUUAGGCGGCCAUGCUAUGGCCGAAAAGCUGUUGAUACAUGGCUGAAGGAUCAUCCCUUUUGAAUAAUGGAUAUUCAAAUAUCUGGAAGGCCAUUUUCAGACUUAUUCCAGUCUUCUGCUCGACAGGUGGCCCCUGCAGUUCGCGUGGCAAUUGCCGAGUGCUUCGGCCUCGCUCCUGGCGCCACAACACCUGGCCAGCUAGCAGAGUCUCUUCGACGCCUGGGCUUCGAUCUGGUGUUCGGUAAGCUACAAUUAUGUGACGACCCGCGGGGCAUCGUUUGCUUUUUUUAUGUUGUUCUUUGAAGCACCAUCAGUCACGCUGCCGGUUCAAGGUCAAGAACUGAAGAGCAUGUAUUAAUUCAUAGUUGAAACUCCCACUCGCAGACACACUCUAUGGCGCUGACCUGACGAUCAUGGAGGAGGGGACAGAGCUGAUUCAUCGCCUUCAGGCUCAACUGGAGGCUCACCCGCACAGCGAGGAGCCCCUGCCCAUGUUUACUAGCUGCUGCCCGGGAUGGAUUGGUAAGCAAAUAGUCGCUUGAUCGCUCUAAUGCAUCAGGCGAUAAGGAACGGACAGGCAGGACUACUUGCUUGUAACUCUCGCUUUUCAUGCGCCUGUUUCCGGUCGUCGCUUUGGUUGAAUACUUUCCUUCAUCGCCAAAUAUCCCCAGUCGCCCUUUUCGCCCUUGAUCCGCAGCUCUCCUUGAGAAGUCCUACCCGGAGCUUAUUCCGUACGUGUCGUCGUGCAAGAGCCCCCAGAUGAUGCUUGGCGCCAUGGUGAAGACGUACUUGGCCGAGAAGAAGGGCAUCUCGCCCAGUGACAUCAGCAUGGUCUCCAUCAUGCCGUGCGUCCGCAAGCAAGGUGAGUGUCACAUCUCAAAACGAGUAUAAAGAUAGUGGUAGUCAUAUACAGGGAUAGUGUGAUAGUGAUAAUGUGUAUCAGGUACACCUCCAGAAAUAGUGUCCGGUGAAAUGCACGUGUUGUCGUACACGCAGGGCCUGACACGGUGCACAGCAACUAGUUCUUACCUGCCGUUGCACGGGAUACCGUGCCGGAUACAUACAUAUAUACGCUGAACAUGUGUACCAUGCCGUACAUGUGCCAUCUGCCACUACCAAACAUCCAGUACAAUGAAUGGCCCCCGUUGUAGACCAGGUGCCUGCAGGCUGACCGCCAUCAGAAGCACAAAACUGCUGGACGCUGCGGUUAUCCUCACUCCAUGUCUCCACCGUGAAUUACGUCACGCAGGCGAGGCUGACCGCGACUGGUUUUGCUCGGGCGGCGCGGGAGUCCGUGACGUUGACCACGUGAUCACCACUGCCGAGCUGGGGAACAUCCUCAAGGUACGGCAAUUCGUACGGCGUAUUCGUUUGCCUCGGACCAGGGAAGGCGCCUAUUUCUGUCCGGGUCUGAGGGCACAUUGGCCUUGUUCGCUUCGUUGAUCAUAAGACUAAAUAGACUAAAUAAUAAUGUCGACAGCCAUCUGGGUCGUCACGACGCCGCCACCAGAUUCUGUUUAACAAUCGUUCAUCAAAGUGUGCAAAUGUUGUUCAUUGCUGCUGCACGUUAUGCCCUUUCUUAAGUGUCAUCUGUUUCCUUCCGUUAAAAAAACAACAGGUACUUGGCCUCCUUGACAGGCUGCGCUGACCAUACAUGUAUUCAUCGCCUUACUGUUGAUUGCAGGAGCGCAACAUCAACCUGCCCGAGCUGCCUGAGGGGUACUGGGAUCAGCCCCUGGGAACGGGCUCGGGUGCGGGGGUUAUCUUCGGCACCACGGGCGGUGUCAUGGAGGCAGCCCUGCGCACGGUGAGUUGGUCCGCCGUGUGAUUUUUUUGAUAUCUGAUACCUCGGCCUGCUAACGAUAGUUCUAGUUUCUAUGUUUAUGAGGCGCACGGAUGGAGUAUGCGCAGGUUGUGUCGGGGUUACCUUACCACGGCUUUGGGAUGUUUUCUCUGCCAGCCAUUAUGGGCCGCCCGGCAUUCCUUGUCUCUCCUGCAGGCUUAUGAGUUGGUGACGCAGCAGCCGCUGCCCCGUCUCAAUCUAUCCGAGGUGCGCGGCAUGGACGGAAUCAAGGAAACAGAAAUCAAGAUGGUGCCGCCGCCUGGCUCCAAGUUUGCUGAGCUCGUCGCUGCGCGUGCGGCUGCCAAGGCUAUGGACGAGGCCGCGGCCAGCGCCGGCGCCAUUAAGUGGGAUGGUGGGUCCAACUUCACCGCUGAUGACGGAGCUAACGGCAUUACGCUGCGAGUGGCUGUUGCCAACGGACUGGGGAACGCAAAGAAGCUGCUCACGAAGAUGCAGGUGCGGAGUGAACAAGUAAAGGUAUUACUUUUUGUCACGCGUGUAAUAAUUAGCGCCUCUUGGCGUUUUGCAUUUUUUCUGUACAGAAAUCUUGAUUGGACACACUUUUGAGGACCUUUGCUUGAUAACAAGUGUUUCUCCUAUCUUGCACGUCCUUGCGUGUUGCAGACUGGCGAGUGCAAGUACGAUUUUGUGGAAAUCAUGGCUUGCCCCUCCGGCUGCGUCGGUGGCGGCGGCCAGCCGCGCAGUACGGAUAAACAGAUUACGGCUAAGCGGCAACAAGCGUUGUACAACCUGGACGAGAGGUCAACCAUCCGCAGGUGCGUGGUGAUGCGGUUGGGCGAGGUGCAUAACUUGGCAUCGGUUGCUUUUUGUUGUAUGGGGCUGUACGAGGUCCCUCGCCACGCACUGCAGCACAUUUAGAUUUAGACCUAAAUCUAGAUUUAUUAAUAGUCACCAUCACUUUUCCCGGCCACGUCGUCUAUUUCAGGAGUCACGAGAACCCCGCCAUCCAGACGGCCUACAAGGAUUUCCUCGGGGAGCCCAACGGCCCACGGGCCCACGACUUGCUGGUGAGUAAUUAACAGCCCACUAAAGUUAGGAAGGAAACCCGAAAACAAGGUGGGAAAAAAAGUGCAGCGCGACUCCCACAGUCUCAGGACAGUUUACUGCAUGAUGCGGUGUGCCAGUGGCCAACAGCCGCUAUCCAUCUUGUCCGCGCUCCAGGGUUUAGCUUGAAAACGUUCGCUGCGAAUUGUGUCCGCGUCGCAUGUCGUGUUUCCUGGUUUGUUUCACUCGCGCUAGUGAAGAUCGCACGCAGGCCGGGUAGUAGUGAUUGGAAGGGAACUGGUGCGCCCACCGGCUCCAACAACGAAGCUGACACCAGCUGACCUGUCUUCGUUUUCCUGUCCUACCUCUUCCUGCAGCACACGCACUACGUUCCCGGUGGUGUCGAGGCCGAGUAGAGCGAGGAGGCACGCAUGAACCAACAUAGGACGUAGGGACAUAUACCUGUCUGCGAGGCGCUCUUCCAAUAGGGACAUCCCUUCCUUGCGAGGCGCUGUGCUCCUGCAUUUUGAUACUCAAGAGCGAGUGGCCCAAAUUGCGCACACGUGCGCCUUGUCUGCUUAAGUAAGCGCGCAUCGCAGACAUUAGGUUAAAAUUCAAUUCUUUUCUGUUUUCUUUUUUUUUAGGUGCAAGAGCGGUCAGUAGCGAUUAGCAUGUGCUCUGCUAUAGGUUAGGCCGCGCUCGGCUACCUUCCAACGUCGUCCUCUGCCAUUCGUGUGGGACGAUGUGUGCUGUGCAGCAGCUUUGCUGAAGUGUUUCCGCCACAGGUCUGAAAUCUGAGAGGCUCCUGCGGGGAGAGGUUGUGUUAACGCCAAAUCCAGGUCCUGCAUAAGUACGGUUGUGGAUGCACACGUCGGGGUGGAUGUGUAGACGUGGGAUGUCCAUGGAAUAAAGCGAACUAAAAGCAAGUGGAUGGAGCUGAGAAGAUUGCAAUGCAAAAAUGCCAUUCACGAUUGUUUUCAAGAAUUAAGUGACGAGGGGUGUAUGCAUGGCCGUACAUGCUUUGGUGCAGAUUGCCCAGCUUUGCUCCGUUAGCUAUUUUAGUGACGGUAUUCUUUCUUUGGUCGUCUUCUGUCAAUUUCUUCUUCUUUCAAAAUCUAGUGCUGACUGAUGAACAGCGGAACUUGCGGAACUAUGAACUGCUUCUUCAACGGAACACACGCCCUUGCGGAUAGAUAUGCCGUGAUUCCUUGGUUGUCAACUGAGAGCCAUGCAUGGUGCAGAGCUGAAAGCGAGCGAGGGGUGAGAGGAUGUUGUUUCUGUAUCUACAACGAGCUGCGAGCCGAUGGCUUCGAGCAGACGUGAUGAAGGGUCUUGAAGUCAGCGAUACACAUCGGUUUGCGCUGUAAAUCCAAUGCCUUUCAGCUAAACGUGGAUAUGCUGCGUACAUGCUGUUGUGAUUAGUGUUAUGGUUUCGUGACGUAAACACUGUAAACCUGUGGACGGACUGCUUAUCUGCAAGACAGGUUGAUCUGUGUAGAAUCUAGGAACGCAAUUCGCGCCACAUGCAUCACCACUGCGCGCAACAGGAGCAGCGGCCGCGUCAAAACAAUUUAAGAGUGCGCAUAUACCACUGCGCGGCGACACGGGAGGUCCCUGGCCCCCACCCGCCGCAGGUAGAGAAGUGUAUGCAAACAUAGGCGACCUGCUCUAGGGUUACAACAUUGUAGACCAAGCCUUUAGAUUAAAGCUUUAGAUCAAGCUAUAGAUCACAGCUUUACAUCACGGACACCGCACCCCCAGCACCCCCGCUUUUACAAAAAGUGCAGUUUUCUAAGGAACAUUGUAGCAAGCAGCCCGAGGCGGGCUUGCGAUGCGUCUCUCUCUUCGUAGAAAGACCCUGUCCUGUACAUAUCUAUUACACCAGUCAACCUCCAAAUCGUCUGCCGACUGUCCAACCCGCUCCGGUGCACUCGAUCAGCCACAACCCAUCACUGGCACCACCGCCUUCGCCAUCGCCAGCACCGCCAUUCUGCCUGGCCGCAGAGGUGGUCCCGCCGCCUCUUUUGCUGCUGUGGGUAUCCGGUUGCGGCCCUGCCGGCUCCGCCUCUACCGCCGAAGCCGUCGCCAUCGUUCCCGUCUGGCCUCUGUGACCCGUGGGUCGGUGCAGCACGAACUUGACGCCGGGUAGGAGCUGUUCCGCCACCACCAUGGCUGUACGUGUAUGCAACGUGGGUUCGGAGCAUCGAACGCGGGAGGUUCCGGAGGCUAAGGCCAUCCAGAUGAUGAGCUGGUCCUGCAUCCUGUAUCCAAAAAAACGACAGCGCCAAAGGUAGGUAGGCAACUAGGCAGGCAGGCAGGCAGGCAGGUAGGCAGCUAGCAUCAGCAGCAGCUACAGCAGCGGCAAUACGACAGCAUCAAGCAGCUGUCCGGAAGGAGAUCUUCACGCUGCUGAGCCUCAAAACUAUCGAGCCGCCAUAUCUUCAUGUGUCUUGUUGCCCUCCUAAUUAACUGUCUGUCUGCCAUUUUCUGUUCUCCCUCAUCAAAUGGUUGUCUAACGGGCCGUGCUUUACUCCUUACUCUUUCAACUAGAGCACCAUGGAUUGACCAACCGCUUCACCGCAAAAAAGCUCUUUCCUUUCGAGUUGCCGUAGUUUGCCGUAAAGCAGUCGUACCAUUGAUCGACGCACGUGCCGCUGGUCAACGCCUCUGCAAGCUCCGCCGCCGCACGCUCCCCGAUCUCCUCUGCUGGUACCCCCCGCUCGCCCUUGGCGCUCGCUCCUGUACGACAUCCAACAGAAUAACGGUGGACGCGAGUGUACAGAAGAACUGAGAAACACUCGAGAAGAAACACACACUGGUUCGGGACGAGAACUCGAAUUCUCGUUAAGAGAUGAUGAGCUCAUCUCUAUACGGUGUGCACCAAGUAAUAUUCUGCAUUGCUCCUUGCGCAAUCAUGCAUUCGGUGCCCUCCACUGGUUUAGAAUGAGGGCGACGGUUCAGGGCCUGCCAGGAGUGUACAGGUUGUCAAAAAACAUCCAGCAAAGUCUUAUUGCUCGAAUCAUGUGCCACACGCCCGUGCCGGCUACCUCACUCCCUCACCCCCUCACCCCUCAACCCCUCAACCCCUCUCCCCAAUAAACCCACACAAUCCAGGCGCCCCAGCCCACCUCACCUAUCCGACAUCCCGUGUCCGUGUCAGCAAAGAUCAGCACGCCGCAGCCGUCACCUGCAUCCACGAUUCCAACCGCGCCAUCAUGCCACAUCAGCUGUCUCCUAUGACUCUCAACACGUUUGCCAGUCUUCUACCUCCUCUCCUUCUCCAUGCCUUCCGCGCUGGAAUCGUCUGUCUGUUGCUUGUACGUAUAUCUGUUUACCUGCUAACUAAUUAGUCUGGUUAAGGUGUCUGCGGUUGGCGGUUGGCGGUUAAUUAUAGGGCUCGCCCACCCACCUACGGCCCGAUCCGGCGGCUCGUGGACGGUCUCGACCAGCACCGGCACUCCCCGACCCGUGGGUCCCAGGUCCUUGAGCGUCCGCCGUACAGCCGCCUCCGCCGAGGCCGCCAUCCGUUUAGCCACCGACGCCCCCACACGGCCAGCGGUGAAGGUCUUGACCACAACCUGGAUGACCAGGAUAACGGGAGACGUGCACUUGUUCGUAUAUUUUGUGUGAAAUUUCGUGUGCACGUAUGUGUACGCCUCUCAAGCCAAGUAAGGCAAGUGGAGAACACCGGAAGGGAGUACGGCAUUUUUUGAGGCAAAGCAGACAGGCGGGUGCUUGUACCGAUAAAACACUGCACACGGCCGCUAAAACCCACAAAUGCUGUCAAGGUAGGUGCGUCCUUGCCAACUGCUGUCGUACGGUGUUACCGUACAAACGGCGUCGUUAUUCCGUCCCGGUGCCGUACCUGGGAAAGGUUUCCUCUGCGGGUGAGGUCCAGGGGGGGCAGGGGGACUCCCUCAGGAAGACCGGGCACACUGGCUGUGACCACUCCGCCGCCACGUGGGUAGAAGCCUCGCCGUAUCUGACCGUGCACGACAGCGGCAGCAGUAGCAGUAACAGCAGCAGUAGCAAGUGAUGAGCAGGUAAAUAGGUGAGAUUAAUGUGCGCGUAUAUUCCAAACAAAUGCGAAUCCGAGAACCUUGAUCCCGACUCAACCCGACACCUAGGCCCCGGUCGAAACCCGAUAACUAGACUAAGUCUUAAGUCCUAAGGUAUGUCCUGAUGUAAGUCCUGAUGUUGACAUAACGCAGCGCAACGCAAUAACACAAUGAUAGCAACACGACAAGAUUACACAAAACGAAACGGAGGAGUGCGGAGAGGACGUAGCGCCCCUCCCUGUUGGUGGAGCGGUUGGGGUUCAGCUCCCGGGUGGGUGCCCUGGGGGGGGGUGCCCUGGGGGGGGUGCCCUGGGGGGGCGGGUCAAUGUCCCACCCUUUCGUCCACCCAGCAACAGACGACAGACCCCACCCACCAGCCGCACAUCCAAACACUCCAAUAGAUCGCCGUACAGGUUCCGGAGCAACGGUAUUAGUACGUCAGUCAGGUAGGCGAUAGGGGGAGCCAUGUCCGCGUCUGUGCCGCCCCGGAGCUCCAGGUUGGUGCAGCCGCUGCAGGUGUACGGCAUCAUUAACAGAUGAGGUGCGCAAAUAAAAAUAGUAGCAUGUUAAAAUCAUCAUUUGCAUUACCACCGUCGUCAGUUCAUUAGGUCAUUGAAAUAAGCCCUUGAUUGUACUUCCACUCGACAUGCCGAUAUGCAUGCACACGGUACGGCCGUACGGCACUCGCAAGAUAUUUGUACGGACAUACCGGACGCGCCUCGCACUCGCGCCUCGAGCAUGUCGACAAGUCAAAACUAUGGUUUCGGUUGUACAGAUCGCCCAAAGCUCAUGCUGAUCAAAAAGCCGCUUAUACCGCCAUACAGUACUUGCCCUGUACAUUGCUGCCGUGCCGGUACGGCUGUAUGCCGUGCACCGACUGUGCCGUACUGCGUAGGUGCGUGCGAACAUCUGGUCGACAGCGGGUUAGACGGCGGUGUAACAACGGCGGCAACAACUAAAAACGGCAAUUAAACCCCGAGUACGACUAUCUCAACUGUAGCGCCUGUUUGCCUGUAAUGCAAGGCGAGACGCCGUACAAAGGUACGACACCAACGCACCUUGUGCUUCUGCCCACUGCGCUGUCUUCUCUGCCUGAUUGGUGCGGUCUCCUCCCUUCGUCCGAUUGCCCUUGCCGCCCUUGCGAUGGUGAUGGUGGAUGUUGGUGCCUCGCAAAUACACAGACCGGCAUGGCCGCCUGUUGUGUGUGUACACACACACACACACACACACACACACACACACACUUUUUCACACUCACUCUUAACGAUUUUCGUUGACAGCCACAAUAAGCACCAGCUUCCAACCACCAUCACUAACAGAAUAACAGCAGCAGUAGCAGUGGCAUACGUGUACACAUGUGGCAUCAAGAACAAGAGAAAAAGUGCCGUACUUCUUUACAAAAUAUUUUUUAUAUGUUAUGAUAACACGUAUAAAACACGUAUAAAACACGUAUAAAAAACGAAUUUCUCCAACAACAGGAGGUUCAUGCCUGCCCUCAGGCGCCGACAUGUCACGACGAUCAGCUUCUGCGUCCUCUCGCACAAUUUCUCGCGCACCUGCAGCAUUAGCGUGCAACUACCCGCAGUCUUUGUGUCGGCGCUAAAGCUGCUGCCCCCACAGCAGGGAAGCGUUCCUGGUCGCAGGAUGAUAUUGCUGCUGCCCACAUGCCCACCUGCAAGCAGUAGCAGCCGCGUAGAGAAGGGAGCGCAAUGACGGUUGACGACGUGGUGGCAAGUAUUCCUUUACUUCCCUAAUGAUGGGAACGGCGGCACAUCGACCGAUCCGUAUUUCCUCGUUUCAUUAGGCAAUUUCAGCAUGCGUACCUUCGAGGUGGCCACCACAUAAGGCCUCCACAAGUUUUAGACCUGUGAGGUGUUGCGGCUGUAGCCCAGGCCUGGUCCGUUUGGCGCGGAUGCGGUCAACUGCCACUGAGACGCCGGUGAUGGCGGCCAUUGCGGACGCAUUGCGAAGAAUUUGACCACCGCCCUCCAGCAUACUGCCUGAGAGGCAAGAUAAGGUGUAUUAGGCCACGAAUGGACGAAGAGUUGGAGGUGAAGGCCUAGGGUUGCGGCCUUUGGGAUUCGGCAUGGGAACGUAGCGGAAGGUCGGCCCGGAAGGCAGUUGGGUAUCAAGGCACAUUGGUCUAUAAGGCCGUUAACUUUCAGAGCUUACGACUAGGUGAGAGUCUAAUAAUUGUGAGGAUAUUAUGCGGAUCCCAAGAGCUGUCGCAAACGCAAUCUUUAAUGGUAUGGCUUACCAUCAAUGGUAAUCAUUGUCGUUAUUAUUACAAAGCGAGACUGCUUAUGAUAUGAUUUAUCACCUGAAUAAGGUAUCACAUAUUUCCUCAAUUAUAAACCCAGAAUUCCAGAGCUCCGAGACCGAUACCGGAAAAGUUUUAUCACCCUCGUCUUUACCUGUGACUUAAACACGAGCUCAUAGAUAUUUUGAGUGAGUAACCUGCGCUUCAUUCUUUUAACAUCCUACCGCACGACCAUGGUUGUUUCCCAUUGCUGUCGCUUCUUUGGGAGGGCGUUGCUGCCACACAUAAAGAACCCAAAUCCACGUGGGUAAUUAAGCGGUUCCAUGGGCGGCAUAUGUGCAGGAAGCCCAUGUAUGAGUCAGUCGCGUUAAUUUGGUAUCAUCCAGAACGGUCCGCUCUGGUAUCAUCUCGCCACCGUUUGAUAUCACCUGUACUAACAAAAACAAAAAAUCAUUUCUACACAAUCCUACCAAAUUGCUUUGACACUCAAUGGUCAAGCUUGGGCUCAUCUUUGAACCGUAACUUUGUCCCACGGUUCGGGUUCCUUGUUACUCUCCGCAACUUUAUAUACCGCUGCGCUACUAUACAUUAUUGCUGAAAUCUUUGCAAAACUUUCUGUGCUAUAAUGCUCGUGGUUACAUCUGCAGCCCGCAGCGGCAUCGCUACCUCGAUGUGCGGCGGCGUCAUCAGGCACAGCACCCGCACAAUCAGCCACAACCAUUCUGUCCACAAAGCGAGCGGAACGGCAGGUGGAUCAGGCGGAGAAACCGUGUCUUCCCCCCGUCGUACGCAUGACAGAGGUAACCCAACCCCCCGGGAGCUCGGUUUCCGUAUGCCGGGAGAGUACGAACCCCACGCCGGCACGUGGAUGGCCUUCCCGUACGAUCCGUACUUGUGGCGCGACGAGGCGCGACCGGCGCAACAGCAACAAGUGGAAAUAGCCCGGGCAAUCUCCCAGUUCGAGCCCGUGUGGAUGCUGGCAGACCCGAAGGCACGCAUGAUGGACAUACUUACAGUGAUUUUGUCGGGGGAUCUUUCCUUAGCCGCUAGCGAGUCGCCUCGUAGCUGUGAUUGCACCUGCCGUACGCUGCCAGCAGCCAGCAGGUCAUCAGGCUGCUGGCGAUGUCACCGUCAAUCAUUUAGCCGCUGUCUGUACGACAGGUGUACGACGUGGCACGUAGCUACUUCCGCGGGAUCUCUGGGGUGGAGGUCAUCAACAUGCCAACCAAUGACGUUUGGACGAGAGACUGGGGGCCCACGGUGAGUUGUCGUACGUACAGCCACCUCGUCCACAAUCGGACGUGACUGCUGUCCCAGUAGUGUGUAUCCCUAUCCAGAUGUGUGAAACAGGGGGGUGUAUCUUCGCCCGUGGCAGCUACCCUGCGAAACCCUGCCUUCCCCGGUAUUUUGGGGCACCCUCAUCCAGUCACCCUAGUUAACUUCUCAGUGGAUCGCUCAGGUUCCGCACCCACCACCAGCAUCCAACGGAAUCUGCCGGGUCGACAGCGGCCCAACUCCGUUCCUGGUCGGCUCGCAGGUUAACUUUAUCCCAGGUCACCACCGUCCAUCAACUAGGGGCGCAAUGCCUUCCACCAUCAGAAGGACUUUGACCCUAAUGGGUAUCAAUCCCGGGAUCUCCCGGGGGCAAUGGUCGCGCCUUACCAGUAGUGCCAAACCCUAUAUAGAUGUAUGUACAUAUGUACAUAUGUAUGUAUUGUGUCCUCCUUUUUCAUUUCCCUUCCUGAUGACCCAUCUUGUGCGUGCAUGCUGUUGCCGUACGCUCGUACAUGCAGUGCGUUGUACGGGACGAUCCUGUAACCGGCGAACGUGAGGUCGCUGCGGUGCACUUUGACUUCAACUGCUACGGCUCACCCAUAAAAAUGGAGCACGGCCUGCCGCCGGUGCGCUGACUGGGCGUUAUGUGGCUUAUCAUGCACACACACACAUGUUUUUUUAUGGUGUUAUGUGCGUGGGGGGUUAUCAUGCAUGUAUAUCUGUCCAUUUGCCCUCCCUGCCUGCCUUUAGCUGCUCCCCGACUGGUCAAAAGACCGGGCGGCGGGCCGCAGCCUAUCGCGACAGGGGGCCGCCGCGACCGGGGCGCCGAUGCGAGUGUUCGAGUGCCCGCUUCACUUGGAGGGCGGUGCCGUACAGAGCGACGGAGCCGGGUACGUGGACGCACCGGCGCAUGGGCCCAUGGGCAUGCGGUCUGUAUAGAAAUCUACAUAUAUAAAUCUGUAUGUAGGUACGUAUACUGAGAGAUCUGCAUUAAGGUACCGUACCAUGUGAGUUCCGUACUGGUUCGUACUGGUCCGUACUGGUGUGUACGUGGGCACCGAGCGAUGUUCCUUUCUGAUGAUGACGAUAUUGCGUGCGCUGCUGCUGCUGCUGCUGCUGCUGCUGCUGCUACUGCUACUGCUGCUGCUACUACUGCUGCUGCUGCUGCUGCUACUACUGCUGCUGCUGCCGGCGCCACACCAGCUACUACUAGUAGUAUUAAAUGUAGUUCACCUUCACCCGUCUGCUGCUCUACCCCCCUCGCGGAUCCAUCCAGUCCGGUGCACAUUACACGGCUCCGGGCCCGGUAUGUCGGCUAACAAGCAAGCACUCGUGCGGCACCUACCCACAACCUAGGGUUUGGGUUUUGCUUGACUCCGCAUGCUUUCCCACCCGAAUACAUACAUACGUGCGUACAUCCAGAACACUUUUGGUGACAGAGGAGUGCUUGCUGCACUACUCGCGCGAUCCGGAACUGGACUCGGCGGGGAUCGAGGCCCUGCUGCGGGACUACCUGGGGGCGGAACGCGUGGUGUGGCUGUGGAAGGGCAUGGUCGGCGAUGAACAGGUAGAGGAGUGUAGAGGAGGGAGAGAGAGAGAGAGAGAGAGAAUAAGGCAUGGUAAGGCAUCCACUGAGUACGGAGCUGCAUGCACAGCAGCAGACAGAUUAGUAAUAACUAAGGAGCAACGAACAUCAAUCGACAGGGUACCAACGGUCACGUGGACAACGUAGCUGCCUUUGCCGCACCGGGCAUUGUGCUGUUGGCUUGGAGUGAUGACGCCGACGACCCGCGCCUCCGGGAGGUCUGCGCGCGCAACCUGGCGGCUCUGGACAGACAUACAGACGCACAGGGUCGUCCGCUGCGCGUCAUCAAGGUGCCCUGCCCACACCCGCCCCUGGCGGUGCGACCGAACGAGGUGAACGCUCUGGCGGCGGAGGGACUGGCGGCGGGGUAUGCCACGUGCAUGCCAGCGGGCCGGCGGCUGCCGGCGUCGUACAUUAACUAUUACGUGGCGAACGGCGGCGUCGUGGUCCCCCAGUUUGGCGGAGAGCAGGUGGGUGAGCAACGGAUUAACGGAUUAACGGAAAGUGGUUGAUGAUGAGGCAGCAGGUUAAUAGUGGGACAGGCAUUAUUCAUCUGUGCGGCAGAACGGCACAUAUCUGUACGGCGUACGUAUGUACGACCUAGCAAUUAUGGAAAAUUUGAAGAGCGGGGUUUUAGCUAUGACGUUGCGCGAUGCCUCAUCAUGCACGGCACGCCAGUAGUACUGCCCGUGGCUCAGAUCAUGAACACACACGCACCAUGGAGUGAUUAUCGCGUGUCGUACAACCGUACAAAAGUGAAGUACGUCACCUGACAGGGCCGCAGCGACGAGGAGGCGCUGGCUGCUGUGGCUGCCGCGUACCCCGGGCGGCGGGUUGUUGGAGUUUACAGUCGGGAGCUGCUUCUGGGCGGCGGGAACAUCCACUGCCUCACACAGAAUCUGCCUGCUGCUGCUGCUGCUGCGGCCGCUUCUGCUGCUGUUGGGCCGUCAAAUCAAGUCAUGAAGGGUUCAUAACGAUGAUGCCGAUGAGGGGGAGGAGGAGGGGGAGGGGAAGGAGGAGGGGAAAGGACAGUGAUGAGGAUGGCAGGCGUGUAUAUCCGUGUGUAUAUCCGUGUGUAUAUCCGUGUGCGGUAUGCAGCUCCGAUCGUAUAUUGUACAUCGCAUAUCCGCGCAGCCGUCAUGUCCUUCAUCCUGGGUGAUGCACGGCCAAUGGCGGCCACUGUUCUGAUACAUCAGCAGACAUUGUGCACUCGUUUGAUCUAGAAACACAAAUAAUACCGAUAGGUAUUUAGGUAUUUAGGGUUUAGCUAGGCAAUACAUACGAACACAUGUUGACGACGUGUGCUUAGACAUUAUUGUAUGUUGUUACAGGGUGGUAUAGCUUCACCAGCGGCCCCCUUUCCCGAGCUCUCCCCUGCGAGAGGGGCACCCUAAUCCAUUCACCCCAUCCAACUUCAGAAUGUAUUCGUUGGGUUCAGCAACUCACCAUCAGCAUCCUUAACCAAAUCUAGCGGAUCAACGGCGCCACAACUUAGUUCCUGGUCAGCUCGCAAGUUGAUAUAAUCACGUCCUACACCGUCCACAAGAUGGGGGGCCACCUCCCAAUUCAACACCCCUCACACACCCGAGGGGUCGGCAGGCGGAUUUGAACCCAGACAUUAUUGUAUGUUGCAUAUCCGCUACAGGUUCAGAUCGCUCGAGCUGCUGUUGCAUUUCGUCGCGGCGUGAGGUAUGGCACGAGAGACCAUUGCAUUGAAAUACAGCAAGGAUGUAUCUAUCUGUUGUUUGCAAUUCACGGAUGAUUUACGCAUCAGUUAAGUACUAGAGGCACGGUACGUCGUCGUAACGAAACCCGAAGCACGCUACAUAUUAACGUGCCUAUUUUGGCUCUCUCAUCCAGGAUUACCCACCUAUUUUGGCUCUCUCAUCCAGGAUUACCCGCCUAUUCUGGCUCCCCAGCUUGUGCGCGAACUAAUAAGCGACCUCUGCCGACCCCUGGUCUACCUAAUUGCCCGACUACCUAAUUGCCCGACUACAUCGUAUCUGAAAAUAUUUUAGCGUCUAUAGGUCGAAAGAUCGCCUAUGGCCCUUACAUAUUUGACAGCAACCGUCCCUUUCCAAUCAUACGGCGAUUUAUUGAGUAAUGAAACUAAAUAUGCUUCCGUUGUUGAUCAUGUAAUCCUAGAAUUUUCGGCAACUGUUCCUGAGCAUAUAAAAGUUAAAUUAAACCACUGUGGGCCAAGGUUUAAGGACGUUAUAAAUCUACGGACUAAGACAGGUAUACUUAACCCCGCAUACAAACGUCGUUUAGUACUUCAGCCUUUAUAACUUCUUAUAAUCUGCUGACCAACCGAAAUAUCGCGUUAUCAGUUUUUGGAACCGCUUCACGAUUAGAGUAGUCAGCUUCUUCGAAAGAGCCGAAAAGGGCUCUCGGCCCCGGUGCCGCCAGUCGCCCAACAGUAUUCCGCAAGGGAGGCUGUACGGCACCGGGCUGCAAGUGGAGGAACGGUGUCGUGUUUGGGCUCUACAUAUACGCACAUUAUUAUGGACAGCUGCGACGGCCGGGUUCGGCGGCCGCCGGCGGCGUUGGAGUGAUGUAUGAAACAUGUGUUCCCCCUUUACCAGUGAUCACAGAUUCGAGUCAGUUCAUGCGAAAAGCAUGAUAAGCAUCCUUUUGAGGUAUGGUAUCCAUGGAUACUCGGUGUCUAGCUGCCCGUUGCCUAAAGGAUGCAUGCACAGCAGCUGCAGCUGAGAAAAGCGGCAACCAAACGGCCUUCCGGCAGUCUGACUGCCACAUUACAACUGGUAUUAACAAUAUGGAUGGAGGCUCUGCGAAUGAAAAACUAAAACUCAAAAAUGGCGGGUCUCAUGGUUUUGCGGGUUUUUUCAAAGAUUUAGAAUACACUUGCUAAGGCCCCAAUGCAAAUCCAUGGACGGUGCAUUGCGCGCCGCCUCCAUCUCAACAAGAACGGCUGAGCAUUUAUAGCCUCUUGGUAGUGCGCGAACCCAGUUCCCCAUUGCCAGUCGAACUGGAUAAUAGGACAUGUAUGAGAUGUGCGUGAGACGGAACAGAGGGAAGUGCUGGAGCAGUUAGCAUGGAUGGGCUGGAGUUGCCGACCGAGGGUUUCGCUGCGUUAGGUCUUAAUGUGCGUGACCGCUUACCCCUGCUGAUGGUCCUUGUUAUGAGCGUUGAUGACCAGCACGGCUUGGGAGAAUUACUUCACAACAUCUGGGUUGGGCGCUCAUCUAUGAUAGAUUGAUUUUUUGAUCUGGACUUGCUUGACCCUAUCCUCGGCCCCUUUCUCCUUUUUCUCUCUUUUCUUCUCUCGCUUGGUUUCUCGGUCCAUGAGCCUCCUGCCUCGUCUGGGCCUUGCGAACUCUCAAGCUUGUCAUCGCAUCACACCACACCACACCACACCACACCACACCACACCACACCACACCACUCCACACCACACCACACCACAAUACACCACACCACACCACACCACACCACACCACACCACACCACACCACACCACACCACACCACACCACACCACACCACACCACACCACACCACACCACACCACACCACACCACACCACACCACACCACACCACACCACACCACACCACACCACACCACACCACACCACACCACACCACACCACACCACACCACACCACACCACACCACACCACACCACACCACACCACACCACACCACACCACACCACACCACACCACACCACACCACACCACACCACACCACGCCACACCACACCACAUCACAUCACAUCACGUCACAUCACAUGCAUGCAUGACUGCAUAUACAAAUAGCCAGCAAGAACUAACUAUGAAUAACCUCUGUCAUGUCAGCAGCAGGUGGUUGGUCAAUCACAACUUCAGAAAACUACCAAUCGGCGAAUGCAGAUUCCGUGAUAUGCCCAGAAUACAUCAGAGGUAAAGCCGGAAUAGUUUGAUCUGGUUUGUGAUGAGGUAGCAAGGGAGAGAGCACGCAUGCACGUAUGUACAUGUAUGUAUGUACGCAUGCAUGUACGUACCAGCAGUCGCAUGACGACGGGCUAUCUAUCACCGCACGAUGCGUUAUAACUAGCACCAGCAGCAGUAAACACGCCACACACGGGCAUGCCCGUGCGCACACAUCAUGUGCAAGCAAAUCAUGUACAGGAUUGUUGGGGAGCAUGUACGUAGUAACAUACACAACAUGCAGAUAGUAAGAAUAACGCAGCGGUACAUGCAUGUCGGUGUAUGUGCAUUCGUGCGUUUUGGUGCCAUCAAACGAUAGAUGGCGGGGAUGGCGGGCAUAGUGUAUGUGUGCGUGUUUGGUUGGCUGCCUGGUUAUUAAUCACGCCGCAAACGGAUGGUUUGGUAUUUGAUGCAGGUGCCCCCGGCGGUGCGUGUACGCCUGCACACAUACGCACAUACAUACACGUUUAUUACACAUACACACGCACACACACACAUAAAUACACGCAAAAACAGGAACAUCGAUGAUGUACAUACAUACGCACGCACGCGCACAUUUACAUGUACACGUAUGACGGCCUGGAUUACGCCGCCUGAAACGUACAUGCAUAUAGGAAGGACAUGAUGUGACAGUCGUCAGCAACAAUUAUGGCUUCGCAGUUGCAAGGUUAAAGCAAGGAAUAUGUAUAGACCUUGCCUGCAUGCGCAUAUGUACACGAUCUUGUUUCGCUUUUGGCACAUUUUGCUAACAAAUUUACGGCGGGUGUAUUGCAAGCAAUAAUGACUAUAAUGAUCUGUUCCAAGAGGUCCAAUAGUGGUGAAGAAAACGAUCGUGGUAGCGCAAUCCGUCUACCCCAGCUCUACUCUUCGUCAGUCUGGAGCCCACUGUAACAACCACACACACACACACACACACACACACACACACACACACACACACACACACACACACACACACACAGCAGAGAAACAACCGAACAACCAAUAAAGCGCGUCGAAUAGUACAACCAGCAGCAGCUCACAUGCGCCUGCUGUAUAUUCCGGCUGCUGCUGCUGCUGCGGUGAUGUUGUGAGCAAUGCUAACGACGGACUCUAAGUACUUGGAGCACUGUCGCUUUAGUAAAGCCUAUCUGUGCGCAUGUUUUUAUUCUUUGUGCGUUGCUUGUACGAUAAGAAUGUGUGUGUCCGCAUCAACUUUUCAUCCCGCGCCAUCCAGCAGCUAAUAUGUUGCGAAACCGUCCACCCAUCCAUCGAUCCAUCGAUCCAUCGAACCAUCGAACCAUCGAUCCAUCGAUCCAUCGAUCCAUCGAUCCAUCGAACCAUCGAUCCCUCGAUCCAUCGAUCCCUCGAUCCAUCUAUUCCUCGAUCCAUCCAUCCCUCGAUCCAUCCAUCCCUCGAUCCCUCGAUCCCUCGAUCCAUCCAUCCAUCCAUCCAUCCAUCCAUCCAUCCAUCCAUCCAUCCAUCCAUCCAUCCAUCCAUCCAUCCAUCCAUCCAUCCAUCCAUCCAUCCAUCCAUCCAUCCAUCCAUCCAUNNNNNNNNNNNNNNNNNNNNNNNNNNNNNNNNNNNNNNNNNNNNNNNNNNGUGACUUGGUCAUGGACGGGUUUAAGGGUUCUAAGUGGAAGGGUUCUAAGUGGAAGGGUUCUAAGUGGAAGUCGUAUGAAGACGUCGACCCACGCAUAAACAUGGCGCCCACUCUGUUCAAUCGACAGAUGUCGCUCGCUCGAUAUAAGGCUCAAUAACUACCGUCGAGCGGCGGCGGCGACGGCAUGUUGCAUCCGUAAUGUGCAUAUACAUUGUUUCUCUCCUGUUGCUGCGCAUUUACUAUACGCAUGUCAGGAAGGUAAAAAACAUUUAGAAUAGAAUGAUUUUACCGCCCACUCCCGCCGCCGCUUCGAUUGCACUCUUCUGCGGCCGCGCAGCGAGCCAGCUGCAUCAGCCCAGCUAAGCUAACAAACCAUCCACGAUAUGACCACCAUCCAUGCACGCAAGCGCCUGCUGCUGCCGCACGUUCGCUGCUGACAGCAGCAACCUACCGAUGCGCGAAAUAUUAGUCGCAAGGCAGUAUUGCUUUCUGUGACAGACAGACAGACAGACAGACAGACAGACAGACAGACAGACAGACAGACAGACAGACAGACUUGAAUGUAAAGCCCUUAACAACCCUAAACAAAAUGCUGCGCACCGCCCGACGACUACUUAAAGUGUGAUAUAAUGCUUUUCGAUGAACUCACUCUCAUCAUCAUCAGCUGACCUUCCUUUAAAAAUGGACUCUCCCCCAACGAACUCUCGCUAGCUAACCUAGCAAGCAAGCAAGCACGCCAGAUGAAGCACGCCGGAGAGACGAUCUCGAGAUGCUCCUGUAUGUAUGUCCUGCUGGAGCGCAAUGACAUACACACACAUACACACACGCGCACACACACACGCGCAAACACACACAUAUAAUAUAUAUGCACGUGCGGUGUGGUGGCUAGGUAACCACACAUCAUGACAUGCAUAUCGCUACAUAUCUCAUCAUGCAUAUGCAUGAGAGCAUGCAUACUCUCUCCUCCAUGCAUGCAUGCACACCGACACCUGCAACUCUAUAUAUUCUUGAUGUCACGGCCGCCUUCCAUUACAAACUCUCUCUCCUCUCUCUCCUUCCCAUUCUCUCUCGCAUAUGCAUGUACGUGAUGAGUCAUCUAGCUCCCGCAGCGUCUCGAAUAACGAAUAAUAAUUUCCGUUCACACACGUGCAUGCAUGCGCAUUCAUCGAUUAGCACGCUCCGUACGUUAACAAAUUCGUGCACAUACAAGCAUACGUACAGUAAUACGUACAGUAAUGUCCGUACGUAAGCUGGAACUAACAAGAAGACCAUCGCGCGCUGAUGCACGCAUUUCUUAAAGGCCUCGCACGCCUGGAAAGCGGCAGAAUGAACUAGACACGUACCAAGAAAUUAAAAUAAAAAAAGCUGUGCCUCUGCUUGUAUGUAUCCUUCCUUCCGUCUCUCCGGCCGGCUGCUUAAUAGUAAGUCAUUGGAGGGCAAUGGAGGAUUGCUUCUCUCAGAAAUGCAACUAAAGCUUAGUAUUACUUGUCAAUGAGAGCUUCGUUCAUUGCUCGUCCAUGCGCUCGUCCACGCACUCGUCCAAAUUUUUAACCGAAUAAGAGGGUAAAAUUGUUCUUCUCAAUCGCAUCCAGGUGGCCUAACCGUUGGCUUACGUGGCUAGUUUUUUUGCAAGCUUAUCGUACAUCAACCACCUGUCUACGGCUGGCUGGCUGGCUGGUUGGCUGGUUGGUUGGCCUUCCGCUAACAAAGCUCAGCAAUGCGCAACAGCAGCAGAUCAGCCGCACAUCCAUCAGAACAUACAUCCAGAAAUCAUAAAACUUGCGAGAAUUCGGUUGCUUAGCAGAGUGAAAUGCAAUCAUCGUACUUACGCCUUUUAAUUACGGGUAGCAGGAGCACACAUACGACGACGACUACGUAGAUCAUUCCACAGCAUCCUCCCUAAUACUUUGGAGUAGCGCUUUAAUUAUUUGCUCGCAACAAUACCCACACGCCCUUCUAUGUCAAACCUUGUCAACUACACAUCACCAAUAUAAAGUACUGCGGAUAUGUAAAACCCGCCGUCCAUACAUAACACGCACGGCAGAAUGUGCAGAGGCUAUUGCACCGAAACAAUUACGUACUGAGCGAAAUUUAAAUUCACAAUUUGGCUAGUUAGCCAAAUUAUGAGUGCUCAUACGAUGUCAAGCGAUGCUUUCCGCUGGAGCCACGUGACCAAAACCGAAUAUGGCCGCCAGUCGCGAAAACGAAAUGCGAGAGGUUUUGUUGCCGGCCUUUGUCUUCGCACUUUUGUUGACGGCGACAGCAGUUAUUAUCGUUGCUGAAACUGUAACUUCCAAAGCAGAAUCGUCCGGCAGCAUGGCUGCAGACAGUGCCGCGCCGGCGGCGGCGCCGCCGUCGUUCGCUGCGAAAUCGCUUCCCGGGAGUCCGUUGCUACCAACAACAGUGGUGUUGCUAAGACGGAAAAUGGUGACCGCCGUCGCCUCUGCUGCUGCCUCCGCCACUGCCGGUGCGAAAACCGACGCAGGCUGAGGCAAUAGUGAUAAACUGCCGCUGUUACCUGCUACUGCAACUUGCCGUACAGUGUUGUGGUAAAUGCUGCUGCUACUGCCUGCGGCGGCGCCAGAUUCCGGAUGGAUUAUUGCAGCUUUAUUGGCGAAGUCAAUGCUUGAGGAGCCCGCACGGAUGGAGCUCCUUCCGUACAAUCCUGCCGGGGUUACUACAGACCCGCGGGUCGUUUGCGGGUCAGGUUCCACAUGUACAGCAGGUAGCGGACCAGGUAAGCUUGCAGUCUUGCUCUUGUGCAUGCAGGCGGUAGAGGUAUCAGCAAGAGCAGAGGUCGGCGCGAGACGGGCCUUGGGACUUCCGCACGCCGCGGUCGCUAAUAAUUUGGGAGAGCCGCCAGCGGCGGGAUCUACCUGCCGAGGUGGCGGCGGCAGCGGCGGCGGCGGCGCGACAUCCCCCGCCAGGGGAAGCGAUAAAGCCAUCUUGGCGAGACCGGUUCCUUUGUUGCGAUGAGUAAGAUCCGUACGGAACUCAGAAGAGCGUGUCGUACGAGUCCCAAGACGGCUCAUGUUGCGCGGCUGAUGAUGAGCUGCCAUCCCCAUAGCUCCAGUAAAAACUUGCGAGGAGUACAACAGCGCGGCGCCGGGACCCGGUACGGCAAUGGAUCGAGUUCUCCGCGUGCCGCUGCCGCUGCCGCCGCCGCCGCCGCCACCGCCUCCCCUGCUGCUGCUGCUGCUGACGGUGGCCAGCUGCAGCAGCUCUGGCAUGUUAGGCUGGCUGGCGCUCUUCCUGGGGGCUGCGUUCCUACAACCGUGACGCCCAACCGAGCCAUUGCUAGGCGCCGACGGACGCUCUAGCUCCUCCUCCUGCAGCUGCUGCUGUUGCUGCCCACCCUGGAUUACUUCCGCCACCGUCCUCGUGUCCGCCGCGUCCUCCGCCAGCUUCGCUGUUGUCGCAGCGUUACUGCUACGGCCCCAAAGCCGGAGCAACUUGGCGGCAGUUAGGCGUAGGCCGCGGCCAAAACGGCUGCGGGCCCGCUGUGGCACCACUGUGCUUCCUUCUGACUGAAGUACCUGCCGACGGACGCUGAUAACACGUCCGCCACCAACGCCAACGCAGCCGCUGCUCGCGCGGCUUGCAUCGCUUCCACAGACGGCUCCCUCCUCCGCUUCAAGCAGUGUCGGGCAUACACUUCCCCAUUCUGGAGUAGUGAUAGUAGUACACGCGCGCACCAAUCUCGGUUGUCCGUCAGGGUUGCCGUACCGAUCACCAGCACCGCCGCCAGCAGCAGCGGUCAAAUCUGCGGAGGGCGUAACAGCACCUCUGCCCCGAGGACGGAGGUGCAGCGGCGGCGGCAGCUCGGGCGCCUGCGGCCGCAGCGCCUGCGCCGCCGCCGGCGGCGGCGGCGGCGGCAAUCCCGCGGGUGUCGACGCCUCUUCCCAGAAUCCGCUUUGUGCCGUACUCACCAAGAAGCGCCUAAGGCUGUGGAAGGUGGGCGUGGAGGUUAGGCUGGUAUCGCGGACCAUCGUUGGUGAGGCGCAGGCCAGCAGAUCGGUGGCAGCGGCCCGCAAGCUCCACUCUGGCUCAGUGAAGAACGAAGUUGACAAGAGGGCAUUGCUGGCGGUGGUGACAACGGUGGGUUUCUGGCGUGCCAUGCCCGCCGCAGCGGAAGCCGUGCUGACGUCCGGCGCGGCUGCGGCGGCGGCGUCAUCAGCUUGCGAUGGGACCGCGUCAAUGUCGGUGGCGACAGCUUUGUCGUACAUUGUAUUCACUAGCGGAAUGCCUUGUCCAUGCAAGGCGGAUGCACGCUGCGCGGCGGCAGCGUCGCCGCCGCCGCCACCGCCGCCGCCGCCGCCGCCACAGGGUCCUCCGUUAAUGAUUGUGAAUUGCCCAGCACAAGGAGGCGGCGUGAUGUCUGUGCUGGACAGUGCUGCACGGAAGAGGUGACUGGUGCCGUUGCAAAUGGCGGCGCCUUCCACGGAAAGGUCAUUGGCAGGCUCUAAGCUUUCGCGGAUGUACGGUGGCAAGCUAGUGCUGCUGUGGCGAUUGCCGCCGCCGCCGCCGCCGCCGCUUCCGCGACCGUUCCCGCCGCCCGCAUCGUCCGUCGCAUCCUGCUCCGUUUGCCGUACUUCAAGACCUUCUCCCGGGACAUCCCCAUCACCAAUACUUGCGCUGCUGGCGCUCUCGGGUGUCGUACUGCUCGUCGUACUACAUGCGCACACUGCGUCGGACUCGCUGGUCACCUUCCGUGGUGGCAUCGGGGGCCAGCUGCUCGUGGCUGUAGCACUUUCGGCGGAGCCGGGAGUAGCUGGUAUACUCUGAACGGCGACCGGUACUGCAGCGCUGUACAUAACGGCCGGGCUUGUGUACGGCAGCACAGUUGUAGUUGCUGAGGCGCUCCUACACGUCGCUGGGGUGAGAUCCGCAUACUGUGAACUUUGAGAUGGCUUGGUAUUAGUGUUGGUAUUAGUGUUGGUGUUGGUGGUGGUGUUGUUGUUGUCGUUGCUGGUGUUCGUGUUCGUGUUCGUGUUCGUGUUCGUGUUGGUGAUGGUGUUGGUGUUGGUGAUGGUGUUGGUGUUGGUGUUGGUGUUGGUGUUGGUGUUGGUGCUGCUAAUGCUGGUGUUGUUGCUGAUGUUGUUGCUGGUGUUAGUGCCGCUGGUGCUGGUGCUGGUGUUGGUGUUGGUGUUGGUGCUGAUGUUUUUGCUGAUGUUGGUGCUGGUGUUGUUGCUGGCGCUGGUGCUGGUGUUGUUGCUGAUGUUGGUAUUGGUGCUGCUGGGCGGCUCCAUGAGUUGUCGUGUUCCCGCCGCGUUUGAUGGCGGCUGGGCCUCUGCCUUCCGCUCUGCCACCCCCGCCGGUGGCCUGACUACCGGCAUCCCCAGCUCUUGUUGCGCCUGCACCACCAGCCUCCGCGGCUGGUAUGCCUGCAGUGGAGAUGCUUUUUUUGUCGGGCCGUCGCAGCAGUGAGGCUCUAACACCUCCUUAAAGCUCUCUUCAGCGCAAUUGCCGUACGGCUGUGCAGGUGCCGCCGUGGCGCAGGCGACGGCGGCGGCGUCAACUUUGAAAGACGAAUCUUGCAGCGGUGGCGGUUGCAGUGGCCCAACCGCCGCUGUUGCCGCGGCUAGGGGCUCGCUGCGGCUAUAGGUGCCAGCGACGACUUUCGGCGGCGGCGGCGGCGGCGGCGGCAGUACUGCUGCCGCGUCCGCCGCUGCCGCUAGAUCCCGCAGCGCUGCCUCUGCACGGGUGCCUGCCAUUUGCCGCGCCACGUCCCAAAAGUACGGAAAUUGUAGAAGGUCACGCACCGUUGGGCGCUGCAGGGGCUCCAGGCACAAGCAGGCCUCUAUCAGGUGAAAGAGUCUUGAAUCUAGCUCUGGGAGGCGUUGGCGGAGGGCCCUAUGUACGGUUGGCGGGGCGACCACAAAGCAUCGCACUGCCGGGUUCACCGCGGCGAUGGAAGCUAGUCGCGGCGGUAAGGGACCCAAGCACCUGAGAAUGCGCCACAGCUGGUCCAUGGAGGACUCUCCUGUGCGCGUGAGGCGGCGUGUGUGUGUGUGACGUUAGCAAGUUACAAGUGCGGGGGUGUCCGUGCAGGGUGUCCAUAAAAGCCGGGGGGCCCAUGGAAGGUAAAAGCUGUGUGUGGUUAUGGGUGUGUGGGUGUGUGGGUGUAUGGGUGUGUGGGUGUGGGUGUGAGGGUGUGAACGUUACAAGUAUCUGACCGGGCCUGACGACACUGGCCACAGGGACUGCUGCCCAUUCCCAACGGAAAGAUCGCCUAAGCUCUCUCCCGCGGACGGGAGAGGGGGUUGAGGGGCCUCUCCCCCCUCCUAAGCAGCCGAGAGCCGCAGGUCCACUAGCUCCGCUCUCUCUGGGUGUGGGUGUGUGCAUGUUUGGGUGUGUGCGUGUAUGGGUGUGUGCGUGUAUGGGUAUGUGUGCACAUGGGUCUGCCAUUAUAGGUGCGGAUUGGAUAUGCCCAUAUAGAUUUUAAUGGUGUAAAUGUGGAUAUUCAUGGUAAAAGUGCCGCAUGUGCAGUCAGCGGAGUGUAAGCAGUGAAAGUUCUGCAGAGUGCAGUUGCAGCAGACAGACGGAGGCUAUUAGAUUAUUUGCCAAGUUAAACUGAUACAGAUCAAGUCGUACAUGUGCGCUCAGUCGUAAAUGCGUGAGUAUAUGCAUAAAUGCUCCAACAGCAUAAGCUGUACGCGGCGUACAAGUCGUACACGCAGUACAUGUCGUACAUACCACUGAAACACCGCACGUGUGGUACGACAAGCCCUACACCUACCUGGGAACAAGGGCCGGCCUGUAGCGAUCUCCGCAAUGGUGCAGCCGAUACUCCAAACCUGUUGAUUUGUUACAGGUGGAGACAAGUGCACGUGUGAUAGGACGCAUGUGCCGUACAUUUGUACUUACUGGUCUGGGUUAGUCUUUCUGGAUAAGAGUGGAUGAUCUCAUCCCUUUACUGCUCCGCAAGCUUCGCGGGGGAAUAUGCUCAUGCUAGUGGUAGUGCUAGCUCACGGGAAUCAAAGCAUCGCUUAAACAAGCACACGCAAUGCCAAAUAAUGAUGCCAUGUGUCCUAAUGUGCCUUUUUAGGCAUCGCUUAGACCAACGAGUUCAUUAGUGAUUCUUGCAUUCCCCGUGACUUAUUUUAUUUUAUUUAUUUAUUAUUGGCAGGAGAGCGCGGUAGGAUAUGUCUGUAGGAUAUGCACGUUGCCGGUCUUCUGGCUCAACCCUAACCCAGGAAGGGAUAUUUGUAUAUUAGUCUCUACUGCAGUGCACGGCCAGCUGGCCCGAUGGCUCUACUCUUCGGGAGUCUGGAGCCCACUGUAACAACCACACACAGGAAGGGGGAAAGGCGCGUAGAGGCUGAAAUGCAGCGUCGACGCUGCGAGGACGAUUGGACGGACUCGCGGCCACCUAGAUCUGCAUUCCAUCAUCGUUGCCCUGCAUUACUUUAAUUAUCACCACCGAUAUCGUAUGAUAGUACUUACGUCAGCGCUUGGUCCAUAAUGGCCUCCAAUAAGGACUUCUGUGGGCAAAUAAACAAAUAGAUGAAUAUAUUCACACGGAUAUAAAAGCGAAUGUUGGCUUCAUUAUUAUUUAUUUUUUAAAUAUUCUCCGGGCGGCAAUGGCCAAAGUUCUAAUACUGGCAAGUACACCAGCUGGUGCUGCAGCACCGUACGUGAUCGUACAUAUUGGAGCACGAUACACCAUGGAUAUUAUCGAAAUUCUUAACUAAGACACUACAUACAAGAGUACCAGCGACGGUGAUCUUCCCGCCCAGAGCCGGCGGCAUACAUCCCGGUACGUCGUCGCAUCGAAGCCCGUUCGGUACAAUUUUCCGUGAUUGUGGCCUUUAUCAGAUCUUGGCAUGGUGGCCACACACGACGAAAGAAGACACAAUGGCGCGGAGUACGAAAAAAGCAUAGCUGAGUACGACGUACGUACCCGGGGCGCGGUACCAUCUGGUGGUGAUGUACGCCGUGAGCGGCAGGAUCUCUCGCAACCCACACGUGGUGCCUCGCGCAAAACCCAAGUCGCACAGUUUUACGACUCCUUGGCUGCUGAUGAGGAUGUUGGCUGGCUUAAUAUCUCGGUGUAAGAUCUGCCGACGACAGGCAAACAGAAGAACGGAGACAGAUCGACAGAUAAGCUAACGACGACGCAUUGACAGCAGACGAAAAACAGACAGACGAAAAACAGACAGAUGGACAGACGGACAGACUGACAGACGGACAGGUAAGCUGAUGGCGGAGGACAGACGCCGGAUGAGGGUUAGAAGUUUGGAGCACCAGCAGGCGGGAUGCGCAGACUGACAGACGUACAAACUGACUGACAGACGGGAGAAGAGAGGGAGGGACGGCAAGUACAAACAAGGGGGGCUAUUUCUAUGUGUGUAUGUUAACCAGCCCAAGGAGGAGAAGUGCGAUACGUGCAGACUAGAGAAGCAUUAGCAGUUUAGGAGAGCGCAGCGUCGUGCACCGCAACUGCGGAGUAUUGCAAUUUCCGUACAAUUGGACCUGUACCCUUGCACGUGCAGGAAAGGUGUAAUGGGGACGGUGCCGUGUGAUCGUAUCUUAGUACACACACUACAUCAUGUACGGCAUAUGGGCAUGAGUACGAUAGACGUACCUUGUUGUCAUGUAGGUAUGCUGCACCGGAUAGCAAUUGCCAAGAUAGGAUCUUGGUUGGGAUCGAAGGCAGGCCGCAAGGGUACCGCUCCAAGUGGUCAUGGACGCUUGAGUUGACGUACUCAAAAACCUGGCCGAUAUGAAAUUGUACGUACGUACGUACAGAAGGGCGGUGAAAUCAAGAAUAGGUUAGGAAAACAAGAGGCAUAUGCAGACAAUUAGUGGUAAUUAUUGGGCGUUAAAGAAAAAAAUAAAAAUAUUUUAAAGAUUGUUUAUGAUCAUGAGCUUUUUCCAUUCAUGGCACCGUAUUCGCAGCAUAGAGAGGCAUUGGGGUGCCGCAUCCUGAUACCAGCAUUCUGAAUUGCAUGUGUCAGUAAUAUCGUGAAUGAAGGUGCUAACGGUGUAAGGCGUGUGAAGCAGAAGCGCGCACGGACGGCUCGCUGGCGUUCGCUGCCGGUUCGAAUUCGCGCGCGAAACACGCAUUUGCGCAAUAAAUGAAGCAACAUUACAGUGAGCAUUUUUGACUCAACAGACGUUACGCGUUCAACCGCAGGUUUCUCUUUUUUUGCCUUCUCCGCCAGCAACUCUUUGUCUUCGUGCGCUGUCGUACGUUUACACUAUUCUACACCCGCUUAAGGCGCAGAAACGGUCCGUGCGGGCCCAAGUGCGGUGGGUAGAAUUUCCCGGCAAAGCUUUACUUGCAUAGUUAUGUUCUUUUUGUGGAAUAGCUGGUGGGAACGCGGGCGAAGAAUUCCAAGGAACGUGGCACCUACCAGGUAGACUUUGCCGCUUCGCGACCUGAAGGCAGCAUGUAACUUGACCAGGUUGGGGUGCUUGAUUAGGCUCAGAAGUUUUGCUUCACGCACCGCCAAAUUGAGGAUGACUUUAUCUUGGUGCGCCUGCGAGCAGUAGCAAUCCAUCAUCCGUGCCCCGGCAUAGACACGGCAGCAUUUUCGUUACGAUAAAAGAUGUCCACAUGAAAAAAUUUAAAUUAGUGAAUGGUCUUAGGUCAUACAUGUCUCACGUGCGGAAAGUCGGAGCGACACUGCAACUGGGACAAGCAGUACAUACAGUAGUCGUUCGCAAACACGUUGCUUGCCGCAGCUAGAUAGCUCGCGGGCGCACACUUUGCACGCGCGAGACACUGCAGCAAUUGCUCAAGCACAGGAUUACGUUCAUUUUGGGUGCGCGCGGGUACGAAACACACUUGACGACGCGACGAAUAUGCGACGUACAACGAACAGACGUCUGACAUGUACUGUCUACUGCCGUAGCGCGCAGACCCGGCGUUAAUUUGUCAUCAAAAACGUAAAAUAAAUCUUAAAAAAAAUAUUUGGAUGUGGAGUUUGCGUUAGGUGCUGCCUGCAGUCACGCUUACGACUCAGAAAUGGCUGUGGGGACAAAAAAAUAAGGCGUCUCCAUCCCGACUUUCGCUUGCCCUUCUCAUUUUUCCUGUAAGAGAAUUUCCGUCUUCAAUACCCGGAAAAACCGUCUUUGCAAUGGGCAGCGCCAACUGCGUCCCUCUCAAAGCGGAAGCCUCCACCCAAAGCUGAGCCUAAUGUCUCUCGGAGGUAGGCUGGGGAGACCAGGCGGCGGCACAUCGCGUGCUCAUGGGCGCGCACCGAGCCCAUCAGGCGAGGACGGGUGAGGACGUCUACGCCCUCACUCGGCGCCACAAUAACGACAAAAACUGACACCUUCUAUGGGCCAACCUCCUCAGGCAUUACGGGCGUCCCUCCCGCACUCACUCGUGUGUGUAUGUGUGCGCGGAACCCUUGAAAAAUAGCCCGCGCAACCUACUGAGGCCCGCUACUACUCGCAUACUAAACGCCAACUCCAGACUGUCCAGAAUAUUGGCCGCUGCUAGUUAGUUUUGUAACUAAGUAACCCCGUCUUUUUAGGAUAGGCAGGGUUAAAGUCGGUUCAAUGCAUGGCACCACCGGCAUCCCCCGGGCGCCCGCUGACCUGCUUGAACCCCUUAACAGCCACCAGAUCUCCGGUGCUCUUGUCCCGGCAUUUCCACACUUCUCCAUAGGCGCCUUCUCCGAUUGUUGACACGUACUCGUAGUUCUGCGGUCACAUCAACAGGGAGCGGGAUUUAGGUUUUCGAUGACACGUUUCCUACAAAGGCACUUUCUGGACCUAACAGUCGCGCGGUCAGACUUUGACGCAUAUUGCGUAGCUGAGAAAAGCUCGUUCGUCGAAAAAAAUCAAAGUCAUUGAUUAAAUGCUCUCCUCGCGAGCGGCAUGGAGGGAGCGAGCGUACUUGACGCUCAACCGGCUGGUGUAGGCGACAAGACAGCUCGAGCACAAGUAGCUUUGGACAGGAAGAUAAAAUUUAGCUUUAAUGAAUGUGUAGGAAAUACAAUGGCUAAAACCAAAUGGUGUAAAUUUCGAGCCGGUAGCGCUUCGUCGCAGGCAAGCAUGCUCCGCUUAAAUUGAGCGUAUGAUGAGUAUAUUACAUAACGCAUAAAUAACAGGAAUAAGGUGUUACAUAUUAUGCGCUUGCGGGCCGUAGUCGGUCUUAGGGCGCAGAACGAACGACGGUGAAACGCCCAUAUUAGACAAUUUUAAGCAUAAGCGGCGCACCUGCAUUCAAUAAAAUCUCUUGAACAACCUCUGGCUUGUGGACUAAGGGCAGGCGUUCGGAGGUACCGCCUACUUAACAUGCGGUAAGCAACCGCAUUAAAGAUCUCGUUGUAUAUGUGCAGGGAGCUUUUUUAAGCAUGUUAAAUAUUUUUUGGUUGUAUUAUACUUUGGUUGUGUGCCUUGGCGUCCGUCUUGUACUGACAGUCGUUGUUUAGGAGAAACGUACGACGCCGUUGCCCGUGCGGACUCGCUCCGUACGCGUUGUGUCAAUAAGACAAGAAACGAUCCGAGGGCAGUAUCUAAGCCAUAUAAAAUAUUCUUUCUUCUUCCUGAUUCCCUUUGUGUCCCGGCUACUUAUGAGGAUCUUUCUUGCCCGAGUGAUUUUACCAGCUGCAAAGGUCAUCAAAAGCUCGCCACUAAAAACAACAAAAUAAAAAAAUUCAGAAUAUUUUAAUUUAUAUUCAACUUGUAAACCAGCCUUCCAUAAGACUACGACAGCUCACUCUCACCCUGCAUAUCCUGUUCCUUAAAUUCUUCCCAAAACAAAGGUACAAAUGUUCGCUGUUAACUUUAGGUGCGCGUGGGACUAAGGAUAGGUUUGCUGCUGGAAACUGACUGGGAUUGCGAAGCCGUCCGAAGCCCACCUUGCUGUGCGGUUCGUACCGUAAAUUGUUUCCACCCGAACCUAUUCAUGCAUACGAGUGUUGUGGGAUAAACUGGACGAACUGCCGAUGAAGUGUGGUGGGAAAACAGUGGGACCUCGGUGGCUGACUUGACUGGGUAAUGCAGUCGUGGCCCUGAGUGCUUGCCUCCCGUAGUAGUAGUAGUGCCAGAGUACGGUAACCAGGUGUGCAAGUUUUCCCACUCCAUGUCGUGGGAUCGAAACUAAUACGCACAUGAGGCACUUGUAAGCGGUCCUCUUGCAAAGUUUUCUGUAAAUUCCUUAAAAGUCAUGUGCUUUUGGAUGCCAGCCCGAGCCAAUCCUGCCAACUUGACAGCCAAUUCGACACCCUGAACACGCUAAUUCGAUACCCUGUCAGGCCAAUUUGACACCCCGAACAGGUCAAUUCGAUACCCUGUCAGGCUAAUUCAAUACCCUGUUAGGCCAAUUCGGCACCCGGACAGGCCAAUUCGGCACCCGGACAGGCCAAUUCAGGCCCAGCACAGCCCAAUUACUUUAUAACGGAUUGAGCUGCGUUUGGUGGCGCUGGCGACACAUCACCUGGAUCCAAACUAUUUGCAUUAUAUCGUGUUUGAGCUGUGGACCGGUCCCCGUGCACGUGAGAGUCAUGGAACGGGGACCCCAAAACGAACGGCGCAAGGCCUCACACGGGGAACGUAAACCCUCCCCGUCAAAAUCGCAACAAUUUGCAACUUUGUUUGGUACUUUUUCAGCAGCUCCAAAACAUUCUGAUGCUGUAAAAGCUGCAAGCUUAUUAGGUGUAAUGAUGAACGACGGUUCAAAACGUACUCCCCGAACCGUUCCUUCUCUGUAAUCCAUACCCCUGUGCUGUCCUCCAGUAUAAAGAAAUGUUAUUCAAGUAUACUGGGCCGUAGUUGUGCUGUCAUGUAUAGCGGUAUCAACAAUUACUUGCCCGUAGCCCAGAAGCCAUCGAAAACAAAACCUGCCCUUAAGAAGACAGAAAUAGUAGCGAAGGCACAUAAAGAAACUGCGGAAAACGCCGCCACCAAAGAACAUGUGCCCUUGCUCCACAUGCGGCCUAAUCAAGAUGAAGGUCACGUAGAAGAGUAUUUCUAUACUAACCGUAUACAUGAUGAUGUGAAUGCCGUGGGUGAGGAGGAUGCACCAUCGGGUGAGGGUUCGGACACCGAUGAGGACGAUGAAUUUUGCCACACAUGUGGACAUGCAUUCCAAAACCUCACGACUAGUUCUGAAUCACUUGCGUGUGAAGUUACAGUAUCUCUCCCAGGCGGCUGCGCGGCGCACGAGCGGCCGACAAGCUCGUCUCUCGUGUGUUUCGCUGGAGUGGGAAACCAACGGUUUGCCUGCACACUGGCUGCCAAUGAUCACGCUCAACAUGAAAGCAGCAUCACCACAUACCGGCUGUACGGCCCAAGACACAAAUAGCUCUGAAGAUCUACACGUCAAGUCAUCAAGAUAGCUGCAUGUGUGUUGCUGGCUACACGUUUUGGGAGGGGGUGUGGAAACCAAAGCGAACUAAUAUUAGCCCGUAAUGUUGUAAGAAACCGAUAAGGGGGUGUUUCCACUGGAUUAACAGUCACGGAUGAAGGUAUUUUUGGUCACACGACGGAUUCGCACCGCCCUGGUCUGGGCUCUUAUCUAAAGGUAGAGUAACAAAAACGUGCAUGUUUCUAAAUUUGUUUCAUUAGCUUGAUGAAUGUUAUCAUCUCCACUAGAGAACCAAACGAGUUCAAACGGCGGAGGGCCCCUCCUAAGCAGCCGAGAGCCGCAGGUCCGCUAGCUCCGCUCUCCUACUCCAGGGGGGGGAAGAGGAGGCGUCGCAUGCACGCACGCUUUCAGGAGUCGCGGCUCCGUCACGCGAGUUUGCGCACUGAGCCUGAAACACACAACAAGACUCCUCUCCAUCUCCGGCCAGGUCUGGCUCUUGGGGUGAGGGUUCACUAAGACAGAGGCAACCUGGAAACCCUGUCCAGACCUUACCCCUACCCACUAAGGCGCAAGGUCCUAUUAUAAAGCUCGGUCUCUCACCCGAUUCUCCGUUCGGGGGGGGCGGGCAGGGUUUAAGAAACUUGCGCUAGCCAUCUCUCGAGCACACGCGACGGGGGACGGGCACGGACUGGUCUAGCUGUGUUCCGGAGGUAUGAGCGGUUUGGGCGCCCGUUAGUAAACCACUGCGGUGGGGCUAUUGCAAGUAUUGCCAGCAGCAUUUCAUCAAUUCAAGGACCUGAAGGACCUGGAAGACCUGAACUCGAAGUUGAAGGACGCUGAUGGUCACUUAGCCCCGGGCGCAGGAUCGCGGAAACGGUAAAAAACCCAGCUCUGGGAGAGUUUUGGAGUAGCACGGGGAACUUAGGGUUUGUGUGACAGGUUUUCGGCAACCGGGUUCCCCCAACUGUUGCCUGAAAGUCCGCCGCGACGCCCAACCGCCUGUGCUGUUGUCUUGUCACGCCAUAUCUUCGUUGGUGGGAAAUUAUCCACAUGGGGUACCUAGCGGAUUCUGCUCUCAUACGUCAUAAGCAACGGCGGGCACUCUUAUUGCCUACAGGUGGGGGAAGAAGGCAGCAGCUAUAUCGCUCUUAAGGACGCACUAAAUCGUAUAACACAUAUCCACGUUCCGAAUUGCUGAGACUGAUUAAAUAAAAAACUGUGUGACCUUAUGGCAAGUUUGUUUAUUACCUUUUUUUUGCGUUACUAUACGCAAAACGACACCCAAGACAAGGAAAAAACAUCUUAUUUUAGGCGUAGCCGAAAAUGUGGUUUGAAGAGGGGCGUCAGAGCGGCGUUGUACGGUGCGGUUAGUUGGUUGUUAUUUUGAACUGCUGUUUGCUCGGCGGUGUUUCGUCUUGUCGAAUUAUCUUCCGGGUGAUCUCGGACUCGGCUGCUGGUUGAUACGAGCUCUCUUUACCAGAACAGCUGCUAGCUGCCGUUGUUAUUGUCCAUUGAUCAGCGGUGUGGAUUUGGCGGCCUUUCUCUUGUAAUCUUCAACUCAUUUCGGUCAUAUCGGUCUUAUCAUCCGCAGCUCAUUUCGUCAGUUCUUCCGGUGUUGGUUGCUGUAGACAUGCCGCCCUUUGACCAUCUGCGCACGACCGCCGACUGCGACCGAGAGCUGGUCUCCUUCCCACCGCUUUCAUCGGAUGAACUGGACAUAUUGCAACGGGUAGAUCAGCUCCUGGCCAUCGACGAGGCGUUGGCGACAGACCUCAGCCAGCAGGAGCAGCAUCUGCCCUCGCGGGCCUCGAAAUCAGCCAAAGAGGCCCACACAGCCAAGAUCGAGUCCAUUAGGCGCAAGUAUGAGGCUCAGCGUUCGAGGCUCCUUCGAGCCAACCCGACCGUCCCGGACCUGAAGACUCGCGAUGCCGCUCGGCUCGCGAUCCAGGAGCGUAAACUUCAGCUCGUCUCCGGCGUGCCGCUUCAAGGCUGGCACCCCCUCCCAAAUGUGGGCGAGGAGGACACAGGUAAGCUCCCCGCGUUGGACAACGCGGGACCGGGUGGCUCGGGUGGGCCGGGUCAGCUCGGUCGUGUCCAGGGCACCGUGGAGGGUGGAGCUCAGGGGGCUCGCAUUCCGGCGGGAUCUGACCCUGAAACAUUAGUCGACAACGGUGGGUACAACCAGCUGGCGCGGACGAUCAUCGGCAACCUAGAGAUGCAGCCCGCCCACGGUGCAGCUCCUACCCAGGCGGCCGCAGCCGCCUGGCCGGCACCCCACCCUCCAGCGGCCGUUCGACCUGAGGCCCCUCACCAGGCUGGCGUCGUAGUAGUACAGUGCCCCGUCUAUCGCCCGACGGGGAGGGCAGCUCUAACCCGCAGCGUGUGGGGGCCCUCCAACUGGGCUAAACGUCAGCAUGAUGCCUCCUUAUCCCCGAGGAGGGGGCUGAUAUCGUGGUGCACGCCCCGUCUAUCGCCCGACGGGGAGGGCAGCUCGAACGCCGGCUCGUGGACAAGGCAGAUACGACCCAACACAGGGCAACGCGGGGUAGUCCCUCCCCAAAACACUGACAGGUGCACUAAGCAAGGCCCAACGGGGACGGGGUGCACAAGCAGCCCCUUUUGGAACUCACAUUGGGCAGUGACGUCCACUUGUUGUUGGGCGCCGGCCGCCUUAUGGGUAUGCCCCCAGGCCCCGGCCGCUCGGGUGGCAUUCCAGGGAGGGGGCAAGCGGCGGCCGGCGCCUCCACGACCUACACUGAAGCCAGUGCCCCACGGGCGCCCGCCCGCAAGCGCGCCCAAGCCCUGUUGAUCGCUGCCUGCUGCUGGUCCCUGGGCAUGGCCUGGAGUUGUGGGCAGUUCGAAAGCAGUGGCCCUGCUGGUUGCAGAUUAGGCACGUGAUGUCCUCGGGGCUCUCUUGGAAGCCCCCCCCGGGGGCCAACGUGGCGGCGAAGGGCCGCAUGGAGCCAGACCAGUUGGCCGACUGAGUCUGUCCUGUAAGCACCGCGCCCAGGUACGCUCGCUGCUCGGAGGAGAGAGAAGCGAGGCAGGCGACGAGGGAGGUCUUGCACGGGUCCCCAUCCUUUGCCAGGCGGAUGACCUCCCUGUAGGGCAGCAGCUGUGACAUGUCGUUGAGCUGCUUCUGGGUCUGCUGCGCCUCGGAUGCUGUCUUGUAGUGCUGCACCACCUGCACAGCCAGCUGCACCUGUGCUUCAGGGUCCUGUGUCCCGUCGAACUCCAUUGCAGCCGCCUGAGCGGCUGCAAUGUUGUGGUUGAUGACGCGGUUUGCAUGACUGUUGAAAGCUGACUGGUCGGACGCCAGGCGCUGUCCUCCUGCUGCCUUGAACAUUGAUCCCCACUCCGGCACGGCGUCCAGGACGUCCUCCCGGUCUGCUGCGAGGCCGAGCAUAUCGCUGAAGGGUCCCAGCAAGCCAGGGGCAGCGGUCAGGUCGGCUGCCAACAGGCUUCCGGUGGUGGCUUGGCCCAGCGAGCGCUGGAGGGGUGCGUUGAAGGGGUGCGGCGGGGGGGGGCAUGCCGAACUACUACAACACCAGCCUGGCGAGGGGCCUCAGGUCGAACGGCCACUGGAGGGUGGGGUGCCGGCCAGGCGGCUGCGGCCGCCUGGGUAGGAGCUGCACCAUGGGCGGGCUGCGUCUCUAGGUUGCCGAUGAUCCUCCACGCCAGCUGGUUGUACCCACCGUUGUCGACUAAUGUUUCAAGGUCAGAUCCCGCCGGAACACAAGCCCCCUGAGCUCCACCCUCCACGGUGCCCUGGACGCUACCGAGCUGACCCGGCCCACCCGAGCCACCCGGUCCCGCGUUGUCCAACACGGGGAGCUCACCUGUGUCCUCCUCGCCCACAUUUGGGAGGGGGUGCCAGCCUUGAAGCGGCACACCGGAGACGAGCUGAAGUUUACGCUCCUGGAUCGUGAGCUGAGCGGCAUCACGAGUCUUCAGGUCCGGGACGGUCGGGUUGGCUCAAAGGAGCCUCGAACGCUGAGCCUCAUACUUGCGCCUAAUGGACUUGAUCUUGGCUGUGUGGGCCUCUUUGGCUGAUUUCGAGGCCCGCGUGGGCAGAUGCUGCUCCUGCUGGCUGAGGUCUGUCACCAACCCCUCGUCGAUGGCCAGGAGCUGAUCUUCUACCCAUUGCAAUAUGUCCAGUUCAUCCGAUGAAAGCGGUGGGAAGGAGACCAGCUCUCGGUCGCAGUCGGCGGUCGUGCGCAGAUGGUCAAAGGGCGGCAUGUCUACAGCAACCAACACCAGAAGUUCUGACGAAAUGAGCUGCGGAUGAUAAGACCGAUAUGACCGAAAUGAGUUGAAGAUUACAAGAGAAAGGCCGCCAAAUCCACACCGCUGAUCAAUGGACAAUAACAACGGCAGCUAGCAGCUGUUCUGGUAAAGAGAGCUCGUAUCAACCAGCAGCCGAGUCCGAGAUCCGUAUGUAGCUCCAUGCGAUGAAAAAGGCACGUGGCAAGCUUUACCCCGGCCAAUCCCAGUUACCCACCAUCACCAGCUUCCCCAGCAGCAUGAAAAGUGGACAUGAUAAGGGACAGGCGAUCCGGCAAUACAUCAUUCCCAAUUCGUGGAUGCAUACGCAACUGUCCGCAUGGCCAUAGCCAUUUUGCACAUUGCUCGGCAGCGGCGUCCUAAUCCCUUUCAGGACGUAUCCAAGCACAAACUGCCUUGUAGAUAGAGAGCCUAAUUAUUAUGGUGCUUAAUUAGGCUGGCCUUACCCUUAAGCUGACCCUUGCAGGCAGGCAGCUGCCUGCCUGCAAGGGUCGUUGAUGUCCUUUCGUUUUCAUCUUCCACACCAUAACCCGACGCCGUAAUUCUUAUUAAUGUUCGGUACUUAUGCAAUUGUCCACACGGGCGGUGGUUGCGGCCAGGGAAGGCUGACUGAGUUACGCAGUUGCGGCUUCCUCUGGGCCACCCGCCAUGCCAAUUUCUCCGCAUCCUCCCGAUAGAUUUUUGUUCACAUUUCCACGACUGAUCGGCUUAAGGGUAUAAUUAAUUACGCUAAAAGUCGCAAGGCUUACGGUGCUUGCCGAACGCAGCCGGUCUGCUGACGCGUGCUUGGAGAUGGCGGAUGCAGAGCAGUGUGGGCAGGUGGCCGAAGGUUUCGGUACAAGAAGUCGGUAAUUAACAAGAUAUGAAUUUUAAAACCGCUAACGGGUAUGUCGAGGGCCUCUCCCCGACACUAGCCGGGCAUGCAUGCCGACAGCCUGAGUGGUGUCACCAACACAACCGGUAACGGUACAUCAUCAUGUUAUACUACUAUUUACGCAUCAUAUAAUUCAUGGAUUCCGGCAAAUGCGCAAGUCCUGUGCGGAUAAAGACGACAAGACUACAGACGGAUAGUCGACGCCGGAGGUGGAUACCUGAAUGCGCAGAUGCAUCAGUGGUUCAAACAUCAUACCUGGCAAGUGUGAAUAUAAUCAAUCUAUACAAACAGCCCUGGCUGUUUGCUCAUUUUACUGUCUUCAAACAUGUUGAAAUUCUCUUUGUCAUAAAUAGUACGACUGGUUGGAGGGCCACGCUUCAGAUGCAAAUCGCUUCCACGUAAAUGUUGUUACGAUGCUGUAAAGCUCAGUCGUGCUGCGGAGAGCAUGCAAUAGGCUUGCGAUAUGCAACCACAAAUUUUUAAUUUGCGCAAUGCUCGAAAUCCAAUUGGCACGGGAAAGAAAUCAGUAAGAACUAAAAAGACUGUCCCUUCUGUUCAUCCAUUGACCGAUAAGAAAUUGGGUGUUGAGCCGCCUGGUGGAUUUGAAAAUGGUUCCAUUAGCGGUCAAAGCAAGGCAGCUCCACCUUCCUUUCACAACUCUACGAACAAAGCCGGACAUGGAGAGCGGCGAAGAGCUCAGCCGUUUGGCGAGCGUGUGGCGGGCUACAGUGCCGGCGAUGCGCCGGAGAAGCGGAAGAACCCGGAGCUGUAUACAGGUCUUAAGGUUCGUUCGCCAAGCCGCUGACGUUUACCUGCGCCGUGACCCCGAACAAGCAUUCAUUUGUAUGCCGCCCAGCUCGUGGGGACACAUUUCCCCCUUCCCUUGCACACGCCACCUUCUCCCCGCCACCAAAGCCCCCUUGCAUCAUUCUCUUUUUUCCAAUUUCCUUACUCCAUGGGCGCUCAUCCCCAUCGCCUGGCAUCCCUUCCCUGCACCGCGCCUACCGCUACUCGUUGCUCUUCUCAACCCACAUAUCCCCUUUUCGCAGGCCCCAACGGACGCAUCGCCUUCCUUAAACCCCUCCAAAACCAUUACCACCGUAAACACCACCCAAGUCGACGGCCCUUCGGUGUCCUACAUGCUAUCCACCACCGUUGCACCCACCGCCAUGCCGUCCACAACAGCAACAUCACUCAUCAGCAGCACCAAUAUGUCCGCCGCAGCACCUGGCGCCGCCGCCGUAGCAGCAGCUACAGCCACAGCCGCCGCAGCAGCAACCGGCACUAGCAGCACCGGCGGGCUGGCGAUGCAGCCGCGCCAUCUCCAUUCGCACCGCCAGAAGCCCGAAGUCCUUGCGCCAGUGGGCGGCUGGCCGCAAUUACACGCAGCGGUGGAAAACGGCGCGGAUGCGGUGUACUUUGGGCUGGAGGACUUCAACGCACGUGCGCGGUAGGAGAUGUCACCUUCGGGGGAGAACCAGCGGGAACGAUAGGGGGUCGAGAGGAGGGAAAAGGGCAAGAAGAAGAUGAAAAAGGGCCUCGAAGACAUGGCGCAGACGAGGAAAGCACCCUGAUGUGGAUCACUGAUGUGUAAGGUUUACACCUUCACGGGCUGGAACCCCAAUUCACCCCCCUGCGGUGGUGAAACGUUGUCUAAGCAGGUCCUUGAAUGCUGUAGCUGGGGCUGGAAGAAAGUCCAGGGGUAGAGACCAACGGGAUGCGGCAUCAAACCACCGGGCCGACCGGAACUAUGGAAAAUUUCUGUCAACUUAGGGUUGUUGUAUGAUUAUUAAAAUAGUUAUUAAAACCACACGCUACGCGUUUUUCGGCUUGCCCAAAUAGGAAUUGUCUUAGUCUGUAAUGGGUGCGCUUGAGGGUGCUGCAGCAUUGGAGUUUUGAUGAAUUGUAUUAGUACGGUGAGUCGAAUGAGGUGCGAUUACCUGUGGAAAGCUUACAAGGAACAAAGCUGAUUGAUGGAUUGUGCUCUCGUCCUUUGUUCUCUCCUUCCAUACCCUCUGUUGUUUCUAUCUUUUCGAUCUUUUCCUUCCCUGAAUGCGGAAUCCCUUUCCCCCACUUCCCCCUCACUCUCCUUUGGUCCCUUUGUCCCUCCGCUCUCUCGCGUCCCUUUUCCCAAACACCUUUGCCCUCUCCCUCCCGUUCUCUUCCUACUCGCAUUCCUUCCAUCCUCUCCCUUCUAUCUUUUAUGUCAAUUACAUCCCUCGUGUCCUUGUGGACGAUUUGUACAUUAACGUUGCAGAUGUGCUUCCUAUUAUGAACGAUUAACUCCUUACACUUCUCCACCUGCAGUAUUCGAGUACAAGGUUCUAUGUUUGAUAUGACGUUUUGGCCGAUGUUCUGCGCUUGCUGCUUCACGUUGUCAUGUUUUCUGGUUUCUGGGAUGUGUGGGGGAGAUUCUGAGCUUUGUUGUCGGAAAAGGCAAACACGGCAAUACAAGCAACAUGAACGUGCUCUUCACCCUCAUGUCUUCCCUUUCCUCUCCCUCCCCUUUCUUCUCUCCCUCCUUUCCCUCCUCUCUUUCUGCACCUUGCUUACCCUGAAGGCGUCUCCUCUCCUCUUCCUAUACUCUCUCCUCCUCUUCCUAUACUCUCUCCUCCUCUUCCUAUACUCUCUCCUCCUCUUCCUAUACUCUCUCCUCCUCUUCCUAUAUUCUCUCCUCCUCUUCCUCGCCUUACCGUGAAUACUUUGCUCAUUAAUUUUGCGGACGCACAGCCCGGUUUUAAUGCGCAACUCCUCUUCCUGCAGUUCUCGAACAAAACGUGCAUUAUUGCUAGUUCUUUUUUAUUAUUUCUUCUUUUACUUGACGCUUGCCUUUGCCAUUUUUUCGGGUGUCACAUCCCGUAUGCCUGCGUCAUGAGAACUUUUGUAGCCGCCAUAUGCUCGGCCACUCCUUUACACUGCACAUCUUUCGGACUUCUGCGCUCUUCAUUUUACCAUACUUUCCAUAUUAUUCAAUAACGCCGCGCCAAAGCCCCGAACACAGCGCCUUGUUUUACGGCAUUCCUUCCGUAUUAUGCAAAGAGUACGUGUCUCAGUCCGAGCAUGCUCGUCCAUUUCAUCCAACAUCUAGGUUCUUGUCCACCUUUUAGGUGGGCAAGCCAAUUGUGAAGGUUAUUGAUGAGUCAUUGGCAGUUGUUGUUGUUGUUAUUAUUAUAACCAUGAUGAUGACUAAGAUUGUAAAGUUGUGACGAAGAUUUAUAAGAACUAUGAAGAUCUAUUAAGAUGGAUUGAAGAGGAUGGUGACACCCACUUACAGGCAACCUGCCAACCGUGGGGAUUACAUUUGUGUUCAGCACUUUUAUCCCUACGUUGGGUUGUUGUUGUUGUCGUUGUUGCAAUUGUUGUGCAUUGGCUUUGCAACCUCCUCCGAAAUGUCCCCUCCUCCUCGUCCUCAGCGAUCUAUCAUAGUCCAUCCGGAAAUGACUAUUCCUUGACUUUUACCUUGACGCCUGUGCCCUCGCCCUUCCUUGCCUCGCCCUUCCUUGCCCUGACCCUGCCCUGCCGUGGCGUCUCGCCCUGCCGACGCGGCCACGCGGCUCGCAGCGCCGCUAACUUCAGUUUGGACGAGCUACCUGACGUCAUGUCGUACCUGCAUGCCCGUGGCGUCAAAGGCUUCGUCACAUUCAACGUUCUCGUGUUCGAUGAGGAGCUCCCCGCGGUGGAAGAACGCAUCCGUGCAAUGGCGGCCGCCGGCGUCGACGCUGUCAUCGUACAGGUACGGCAUGCUGUACGGUGGCAAACACUUUUGCACGGCCACCGCCGUACUCUUUGUUGUAGGAAUACAGGCGAUCCAAAAGGUGAUCCAGUGCAUUUUGCUCCGCGCCCCGCUGUCUUAAGCGCCGCGCGCGGCGCAGCAGCGACUGCUUAGCGCCACGUUUGCAUAUAUUGCUCAGUGCGUGUUCGGUUUGCUCGCGGCCUGAGCCCCCGCCCACUCAUAGCUCCUUUGCUUACCACACGCCUGCAGCAUCUCCCCGCUACCCGUUGUUGCCUAGUUAAGCCCCAACUGACCAACCAACUAACUAACUGAUCAACUAACGAACAGGACUGGGGCGUAGUAGAGCUGAUGAGGCGUGUAGCCCCCUGCCUGCCGGUGCACGGCAGCACUCAGAUGAGCGUCACCAGUGCGGAGGGGGCGGCCUGGGUUUCGGAGCUGGGGGUGGAGCGCGUGGUGGUGGCUCGGGAGCUGAGCGUGCGGGAGAUCGCCAAGGUGCUGCCGGGGGAGGGAAGGGGAGGGGAGGGGGAUGGGAUGGGAGGGGAGGGCCCUCUGGGAGGUCGGAGUUUAGGGUUUUCGGAUGUUUUUCCCCCUGGAGACGAUUUAUAGGUUCUCUUUGCUCUACCUUUCAUUCAAUUUUGCACAAUGUUUCGUGCGUUACCUUCACGCACAACACAUACACGCACACUCACACUUGAUGUCCCACUUCCUCUUUACCACCUUCUCCCCCUUCACCCGCUGUUCCCCUUCGCCGCAGGUUCAUGACGGUGUGCCUGGUACGGAAGUGGAGGCGUUCGUACACGGCGCUCUGUGCGUGUCGUACAGCGGCCAGUGCUUUAGCAGCGAGGCCUGGGGAGGCCGCUCUGCCAAUCGCGGCCAGUGUGCGCAGGCGUGUCGGCUGCCGUACGGCUUGCUUGUGGACGGGGUGUUGCGGGAGCUUGGCGACAUCCAAUAUUUGUUGAGUCCUCAGGACCUGAUGGCCGUUGAGCAGGUGGGUAGGCGGGUGGAGGACGGAGAGGGGGAGGGGGAGGGAGGGAGAGAGGGAGGGAGGGAGAGGGAGGGAGGGAGAGGGAGGGAGGGAGAGGGGGAGGGUGGAAGAGAGGGAGGGUGGAAGAGAGGGAGGGUGGAAGAGAGGGAGGGAGGGAGGGGGAGGGAGGGAGGGGGAGGGAGGUAUUUUUAUGAUGCCAAAGGCAAGAAAGCAAUGGCCGACGUGUAAAGCGCCAACUGCGCCCAGGUAGGUAGGUAAGGAGGGUCUGUAGAAGGGAGGCAGAGGGAGAAAGGGAACGGAAGGGACGGGGUGUUGGUCGUGGGGUGUGCAGUCAAGUCUUAUCGUUGGGUCUUCCUGUUCGUAUUCGGUGUCCUCCUCUCCCCUCUGCCUCUCCUGUCCUCCCGGCUCACCCGCGUGCGCACCAGAAGCCUUGCCUGCGUGUCGCCGAAGUUUCCCUUUCCUCCCUCUUCCAGCCCCCCUCUUUCAACCCUCCUUUCAACCCUCCUUUCAACCCCCCUCCUUACCUCUUAGUCCUGCUUCUUGUACACUCUUUCCUUGACAGCAGCUUCACUCGUUCGUGGUUCGUCUUCCCCCUUUUUUUACCUCCCCCUUACCUCCCCCCUUUUUUUUACCUCCCCCUUACCUCCCCCUUUUUUUUACCUCCCCCUUACCUCCCCCCUUUUUUUUACCUCCCCCUUACCUCCCCCCUUUUUUUACCUCCCCCCCUUUUUUUACCUCCCCCCUGGGGGCUGUCAGGUCCCCGACCUCAUCUCGGCGGGAGUCAGCUGCUUCAAGAUCGAGGGCCGACUGAAGGGCCCCGAGUACGUGGCGCUGACCACUCAGGUCUAUCGCAGGGCUGUGGAUGCAGCCUGGGACGCGAUGACAGCAGCGGAGGAGGGGGCGGAGGCGGAGGGGAAGAACGACGAUGGNNNNNNNNNNNNNNNNNNNNNNNNNNNNNNNNNNNNNNNNNNNNNNNNNNNNNNNNNNNNNGGGGUGGGGUGGGGGGUUAGUGCCCUGGAUAUGGCGGAUGGUGAGAUAGUCGAAUAUGUCGUGGGGGAGGUUGCUUGCGUGAAUGGUGCCGUACACGCCCGACAGUCCUUGGAGUCCUUGGAUCUUGUCACGUGCCCCCAGCCCAACCUAGCUGAGGAACCUAACCAUGGCAUGCGUAGCCUGUCUCCCUCCGCUGCAAGCGGUGACCUAACGUACAACCAACUGCCAACCAACUGCCAACCGACCGCCUGCCAGGUCUUUGCUCGCGGACAGGACGGCGACCAUCGCGGACUGACGCCGGGCUUCCUGGAGGGUGUACGACAUCAGCGGUUGGUACGAGGCCGCGCGCCGCGGCACCGGGGGGUGUACCUGGGUCGAGUGGAGGCGGUUCCUUCUCCCAGAAGAGUGGUUCUGGAGCUGCAGGUGAGUGAUGACGUAAUGGGUUCGGUUACCAGGGUUUUAGGACCGCCUGGGAUUUCUUUUUGUUCCCUGUUGCUUUGCCUCAUGACUGACUGGCCAACAACAAUAACAACAACAACAAUCGGCAUUGCCGUACCCUUCUCCUAUGGGAAGCUACGGACACUGACCGACUGACAGACCGACUGGCUGACUGACCGACUGACUGACCGAUUGACUGUGACUUCGGCAUGAAGAAGAGUCAGAAGAAAAACAGCUAUAAGAGAAAUGCUAACGGACUUUUGUGGGGGGUAAUCUCAACAUCUCAACACCCCCCGUAGGCGCCACUCAAACGCGGCGACGGCGUGGCGUUCGACUGCGGACGUCCGGAGGACGACGAGCCCGGCGGCGUCGUGUACGACAUUCUCGAUGCCAAGGGAGCCGGGCCCGCCGCCGCCGGCGGUGGCAGCGACUGGGGCUCCAACCGACCCGUGGGUCCUGGGUCAAGAGUCACAGUGGUGCUAGGGCCCCAGAUCCAGGGGGGUGCGAUGCAGGUAAGGGCGAGGAGGAGGACGAGGAGGAGGAGGAGGUCUGGCUGGGACAGGGCUGAGGGCUAAGCACUGGCUGGCAAGGCUGAGGGGCGCGAGGGCUGUGUGGAAGGGCCGCGCGCGAGAGUGGCAGAGGGAAGGCCGGAGCGUGUGUCGUACUGCAUUGCGCGAACCUCCGCGAGGGGUUUGGAGGAGGGCAGGAACCCCUCCUACUGUUUCAUAAAGGAAAAGACUUGGAAAAUUUAGAGGGGAGGGCAUGACGUUCUUGCUUUUUUGGUGUAUAUGUGUAUAUAUAUGUAUAUAUGUGUAUAUAUAUGUAUAUAUGUGUAUAUAUAUGUAUAUAUAUGUGUGUGUGUGUGCGUGUGAGGGCUUUCCCCGCGUGUAUUCCAUUCUGGUGUGUGUGUGAUGGGCCCCCUGGUGCUGAUAGUCCUGUGGUCAGAGACACAACCUGGGCUAAUGUGCCCUGCUCUAAGUUCCAGGAGGCCGUACCCCCGUACUGGUCCUUAUCGCCACGUCAUCAACCGUAACGGUCUAACGGUCCGCAGGGGAUCUCUCCGGGGCAUUUAAUGUGGCGUACGAAAGAUCCCGCCCUGGAGUCGCGCCUCCGCGCGUCGUACGACAGCCUCGCCGCCGCGAACAUGCGCCGCCUGCCGGUGACGGCGGCCGUCGCCGGCGCCGUCGGCGGUCCGCUGACGCUGACGGUGUACGAUCCUGACGGCCGGGCUGUCACAGCGGCGACGCGGCUGCCGCUGGUGGCGGCGGCCAAUCGACCGUUGACGGCGGAUGACGUGGCGCGUGCUUUAGGGCCGCAGCUAGGCGAGCCGACGUUGGCGCUGGCGGGCGGAGUGGACAUGACGGGUUUAGGUUUGGCGGCGGGUACGGCAUAGGUGCAGAAUUGUACGGUAUACGGUAUACGAACACGCGCCACACGUGCAUGUUCACGUUCGAACCCAACAAAAUCUCUAACAAAAAGAUCUUCUAUCUUUUUCCUGUUCUUCCUUUACUUUUAUCUUUUCCGCACGGGCUGCCAAAAGCAUCUUAGCCAUCCAAAAGCCAAAGCCGGCCCGCGCCCACAUGACUCGUAGUUGACCGUUGCUACGGGUCAUGUACGGCACCCAUUUUCUGCCCCUCUUCAUCUCCUUCCCGUGCCCAUAUGCACGUGUUUCCCUUUUUUCCCUCCCGGGGAAGUUUACUUCUUAGGGGAAGGUGGAGGAAAGGGAGCGCGGCUGCAGGCAGGGAGGGGAGGGGAGGGGCAGGGAGACAGGGGACAUCGACAGGGCCGAGAUAUCAGCCUCCCCCCCCCCCUCCAAACCCUCUGCCCUCUCGCAAAGGGGGGGGGAAAGGGGGGGAAAGGGGGGAGGACCCUCUGGAUGUGCCUCGCGGCCGGGGCAGCAACACCGGUCGCGCGCAAAGGCCGGGGGUACAAUAAAUACCGCACGCACCACGAGCUUCCGGAAAACACGCAUCAAAAGUGAUAAAUGUUUAAACAUAAUCCCCUUCUUUUCCUUUUGGGGAAGGGAAAAAGAAGCCCAAAGUGCAUGUGCCAGCAUGGAAAAGGAUAUGUGGCCCCUUUAUGGGCGAUAGCACGAGCAAGUCAUAUGGACAUAUGGACACAUGCCAUCUUUUUCGCAUGAGUUUUGAAUGGAUGUGCGUGUUGACAUUGACGGCGAUGUCUCUUGCUGGUCCAUUGGAAAAAAAACGUUUUUUUGCCGACUUCUAUUGUUAUCAGCUGUCACUGUUAUCCGUUAUAUUGCUGUUAAGUUAGUUGCAGCUUAGUUCUUGCUUUUCUUCCCCUGCCCACCUGUAAGUCAUCAUUACCAAUUUUUUGUAGCAAAAAAAUGAGAUUUGUUGCUUAUAAUUCUUGUUUCCUUUUUGUUGUUCCGCCCGCCCUCGCUGAGCCGCCGUCAAACCGCAGGUUUGUUCAUGCCCGCCUCCGAGAUCAAGUCCGUCCGGCGGCAGGCUGUUGAGGCGCUGCUGGCGGCGCGACGUCAACACCCGCGCGCCGAUGGCCUCGCCGAGGCACCCGUACUGCCGGACAUGCUGGCUACAGCCAGGGCGGCGGCCCCGCCACCACAAGUGCUACGGCUCCUGUCAGACCUAUCGUGUUCGGCAACUGCAGCAGCAACAACAACAACAAAAAGAACCGUAACAGCAGCAGCGACGGCGGCGGCGGCGGCAGCGGAUGCCGGUGUUGAGGAAGGGUACGACAACGGCAACGAUGACGUCUCCUGGACGGCUAGCGGCGGCGGCGCCGCCGCCGCCGCCGGUUCCCGCGGCGGCGCACCUGACGUGUGCAUCCGCGUGUUGUGUCGUACUCGCGAGCAAGUUGACGCGGCGUUGCAGGUGCAGUGGCUUCGUGAGGUGGUGGUGGACUUCCUGGAGGUGCAAGGUCUUAAGGAGGCGGUUGCGGCGGUGAGCAGGGUGUGGCAGGGUAUACCAGCGCGUGCAUACAUACAUACGUACAUACACAUGCGGCUUGAGCGCAUCCCGCAUGUCCCGCGGGACACACGAAAUGACCAUGAACUUUGGAUAUAUGUAUCUAUGUAUGUCGGUGUAGGUAGAAAGAGGUAGACAUAGAGAGAGAUUGCACACGCGUAUGUACGUAUGUUGUUACAGGGUGGUAUAGCUUCACCAGCGGCCCCCUUUCCCGGGCAGUCCCUGCUCUCCCCUGCUAGAGGGGCACCCUAAUCCGUCACCCCAUCCGACUUCAGAAUGUAUUCGUUGGGUUUGGCAACUCACCACCACCAUCCAACCAAAUCUAGCGGAUCAACGGCGCAUCAACUUAGUUCCUGGUCAGCUCGCAAGUUGAUUUUAUCACGUUCUACACCGUCCACAAGAUGGGGGGCCCUCUCCCAUUUCAUGACUCCUCAAACACCCGAGGAGCCGGCAGGCGGAUUUGAACCCGGGUCG
rnacentral:lncRNA from 1 species